CCAGUAAUAUUUAUACCAAAAUAUUCAAAUAAAUCUUGUAUCAAUAGAUGAUAAUAUGCUAUAUAAUCCAUGCAACGAUUUAUGCAGAAUUAAGCAGUUAUCUCUUUAUAAAAAUAUAAAUUUAAAUAAUUAUUGUACUUAUGAAUUUUAUUAUUAUAUUUUAAUUUCUAUUCUUUAAGACGUAUAAUUAUAUUUUACUAUAAAAAAGCUUAUCUCUAUAUUAAUUAGGCUUAGUUUGGUAUUGAGACAUAUUUAAAGAUAAAAUAGAGUUAGGGUAAAAGUAUAUUGGGAUAUACUUUUGCGUUAUUCGGUAGGACCGUAGAAAAUAUAUUAUAGCCAACUAAUCUCGAUAUGGAGAACACAAUAAUACGUACGGAAACAAAUAGGAUAUUUUUUCACCGCACGUAACGUAAUCUCCCUGCAAUCUCAAAUAAAGCCUUAGUAAGUGCAGUAAGUUAUAUAUAGUCAUUAUUCAUAAUUAUUAUUCAUAAUUAUACUAAAUCUUUCAAAAUAUAUUAUAAAAGUAUAUUGAGACCAAAAAAAUUAAAACACUAGGAGGUCAUGUAUAUCCAUCGACACGUAAGCGUACUAUGUGUUGGCACGGAGACGUACUACAUAUCCAAUGAGGUAACCUGACUUAAUCAUAUUCAGAUUAGAAUUUGAUAUUAGGUAAAUGUUAAUCCUAAUAGAUAAAAUAAUACUUUAUUUGGCUUUAUCAUAUUUGUCUACUAUCUGUUUAGAUUUAAUAGAAUCCUAAUUAGAUUAUGAUUAAAAAUCAAUGAACUCUCUAUAUAAAGUGAUAUCAGUCCUGUCAUCCUUUUCUGCGUACGUUAUAGUAAAUAAUAUCUAUAUCUAUAAAUUCCACGAAGUGUCAGAGAUAUGAGACACCUUCCGAACUUCUCGCUUUUACAGAUUGAUUAAAGUUUUAUUCUCUGUAGUAUUCUGUAAGUACUUCUAUCUUCUUGUUUAUAAUUUUCGGUAUCGAUGUGUUUUCAAGAUUUUUUUGUAAAUUAUUAUAUAUACAUAUCAUGAUGGUCUUUUCGAAAGAAAAAAUUUUUUCUUUGUUUUUUUAAUUUUGUCUUCUUCAUUUUCUUCCACCUCUGCAUCUUUUUCUGCUAUCGCGCCCUUUCUCUCACCUCUACCGCAGCGGCCACUCCGCUCCAAUAAGUUUUCCCUCCCUAUCGUUCUCAAAUCCUAAGACACCCUUGUCGCCAUCACAGUUAUCAUUCAUUAUCAUGCCUUUUGCCGUAGUUUCACCUUCGCGAUUUGUGUUAUAUCCGAAUCAGCGCCGGCAGAGGUGUCGAUGAGGUAAGAGAGAGGUGCACGGCAUCAAAGUGGAGGCUGUGGAAGAGGAGGAGAAGGGAUAAGAAGGAGGAGGAGAAAGAGAGAAAAAAACAGCAAGGAGGUGGGGGACCUAUAUAUAUAUAUAUAUAUAUAUAUAUAUAUAUAUAUAUAUAUGUUUCUUGAUGCAGCCAUAAAUCAUUUAGUUAUAAUUUGUUUUAGUCGUUUUUAAGGUUUUUAGGAUCUUUUUUCAUAUGAAAUAAUUUUUUUGAGAUUAGUGAUAGACUUUAGGGCCGUUUUUAGAUAUGUUUAGAUUAGAAAAUUUUUUAAAAUUGAUAGAUUUGUUUUAGAUUAGGAUCUUGAAGGCCACAUAUAUAGUCUAAGAUUUGUAGUUAUUGGAGAAUUUUAUUUUAGAUUAUUAUAUUUAGUUUUAGAGAAGUUCCCAUGCUAUUUUGGACCUUCUUUUUUGUAAAUAAUUCUAUGAAAAAUUUUAGAGAAGUUCCAAGAUUUUUUUCGGCCAAUUAACUCUCUUCUUGUCAACUCGGUGCUAGAAAGACAGUUAAUCGUAUAUUCGUUUACUAACUUUAGAAAACGGUAAAUCAUUCUCCGUCUUUAGAAAACGAUAAAUUAUUCACUAUUUUUUAGAUUGUUUCUGUUUUUUAUAGAUUUUUUUUUUAAUAAGGAUUAUGAGAAUUUUUAUGAAGUUUUUAGGAUUAUAGGUAAAUUAUUAGAAUUUUUAUUUGAUUGCUAGGAUUGUAUAGAUAGGUUGUUAGAAUAUUUUUUGAGUUGUUUGAGUAGGUUGUUAGGCUGUUAGGAUUAUAUGUGAUUUAUUAAAAUUUUUAUAUAAUUAUUAAGAUUAUAUAUAAAAAGUAAAAAAAAGAUAAAAUUUAUACCUAUAUUUAAGAUGUAUAAAUAUCUUUUGUUUUUUUAGCUACAUCUUAUGUCUUUUCAAUCCUAUACCUUUUCAAUCCAUAGCUAUCAUUUCAUUACUUAUCACAUCAACUAUUUUUUUACUAAAAAUUAGUUAAAUUUAUAUAAAUUCUAUAAUAAAGGGUGUAAGAUCUAUACUGGACUUUUUUUGCAAAUAGCUCCUUCACAAAAUUUUAUUUUAAAAUUGGUCCUGUCAAAAAUUUAUUUGCAAAAAUGGUCCUACCCCUGCCACGCAAGCGCCACAUCAGCGCCACGCGGGCGGGGCGGGAGUUUAAGUUGAACACGGUGAAUGGUUCACCGUGUCCAAUACAAAUAUCAUAUUGGACACGGUGAACCAUUCACCGUGUUCAAUACUAAUACAGUCUUAGCCAAAAAAUGACUAAGUCCUAGGUAGUUGUAUUAGACACGGUGAAUUACAACUAACUCGGUUUAGCCAAUUUUUGGCUAAGUGGGGAUAUUUGUAUUGGAUACGGUGAAUCAUUCACCGUGUUCAACUUAAACUCCUGCCCCGCCCGCGUGGCGCUGACGUGGCGCUUGCGUGGCACAGACAGGACCAUUUUUGCAAAUAAAUUUUUGAUAGGGCCAAUUUUAAAAUAAAAUUUUAUCAGGAAGCUAUUUGCAAAAAAACCCUCUAUACUGUCUAACGGGGCGCACAAGUAGAUAUUUUUUUUUUAGAGAGCAAUGCUAUUGGUAUUCGAUACACCUCAAAUGGGGUGUAAAGCCAAAAGUUUUUUCUUGUUUUGUCAACUUUUUGUUGAAAUAAAUAAUAGAAAUUCAGAGUAUUUUGUAAACCCUCCGAUGAAAAUGGGUAAAGUGAUUAGGAUAAACUUUGAUCGAAUUCGACAUCGGAUUCGGUAGGAUGCGAAUAUAGAUGUCACAAAAUUUAGCAUUCGAUAUAUAUAUUCGUAUUAAAAAAAAAAAAUUGCAGGCAAAUAUGGCUUUACAUGAUUUUUAAAAAAUCCGACCCUAAGAGAUGAGAAAGAUAUAAUUAAAUAUAUAUUGUAGGGAAUAAAGUGGUUUUCUAUCAUAAUUUUUCUUUCAUUUAUUUUACUAAUAAAUUUUAUGUUAAAAUUAUAUUUAUAUUUGUGAAAAAAAUUUAGUUUCAUUAAAUAAAAAUAUAGGUAAACAAAGUUUGAAUUUGAGUAUAAACUUUUAAUAUAUAUAUAUAUAUAUAUAUAUAUAUAUAUAUAUUAGUAUGUAUUAUUAUCCAAAUACGAAUUCCUCUUGUAUUGGAAUUCGAAUCUAUUGUAAGUAAACAUGGUAAUAAAAAUUUAGCAUCUAAUACAUAUCUGCAUCCGAAUUCGUAUCUGAAGAAAAAUUGUCAAAAAUAUGAUCGUAUUCAACUUUUUUCACCUUAGAUAAAGGGGUACAUGUAAAUUAGGGGUGUAAAUUAUAUCCUUUUUAGAGUGUACAAGUAACAACUUUCUUUUUUUAAACCCUAGUAGGGGCAUAAAUCAUAUUUUUUUAGGAAAAAAUUUAGAAUGCAUCAGUUAUAUUGUUGAUGUGGCGUUUCCAACCAAUCAAUUUGUUCUCUUGGGUUCACCCAUCCUAUCAUGGUUAUUAGAAAAUUAUUUUUAUUAUAAUUUUCUCUCAGAAAAGAUAUGUGAUUAGCUGAUUAUUGAUGGUAUAGUAUUAGCAUUACACAGUAGGCCUCCUCCUUUUUUGGGUGUACAAGUAAAUUUUCUUUUUCAAAAAUUAUAAAUAAGGCGUAAGAUUCUAUAUAUAUAUAUAUAUAUAUAUAUAUAGAAUUAUGCUAUUAUAUUAUCAAUAAUAUCAAGCGUUUAGUGCUAUCGAGUUUUCGAUUGUUGGAUGAAAGGACGUGUAGUUAGGAUAAUAGCGGUCUCUUAGGGUUGAAUGGAUGGUUGGUUGAAUAGUAUAAUCUAAUGGGUAGAAAUAAUCAAGGGUAGAUCUAACUGUUGAAAAGUUGAUAGUAACAAGAGCUUGAUACUAUCGAUAGUAUAAUAGCCGGAUUCUAUACAUACAUUAGGCUAGAAUAUUAUCAAUAGCACCAAGCUAUUGGUGCUAUUAGGUUUUCGACACUUAGAUAAAAAAAAUAUACGGUUAGGAUGAUGUGGGUCCUCUAGGGUUGAGUGAGUUUUUGGUCUAAUGGGCGAAAAUAAUCAAAUGGUUAAAUCUAACGACAGAAAACUUGGUAGCACCAAACGCUUGGUGCUAUCGAUAGUAUUCCGGCCGGACUCUAUAUAUAUAUAUAGAGAGAGAGAGAGAGAGAGAGAGAAUUGAGCUAGAAUACUUUUACAAGUAUCACCCCCAUGGUGCUAUUAGGUUUUUAGCCAUUAGAUCUACUCCUUGAUUACUAAUAGCUCUUGGAUCAAACACUAUUCCACCUACNACCACCACCUACCACCAUCAUCUCAACCCUACAUCUCUCCAUCGAAUGGCUCAAAACUCAAAAGCACCAUUUUUUUGAUGCUUUUGAGAGUAUUCUAGUUCAACUCUAUAUAUAGGUGUACAAGUAGCAUUUUUCUUAGAACUUUUUUUUUUUUUUCUAGGGUUCCUUGCAAAGGGGUGUCAACUUUUUCCCACAGGGCGGAAGGGGAAGAGGCUUGUAAAUUCUGAGCAUAUCAACUGGGUAAGCUAGAUAGAACUUUUUUAAUUGGUGACACAAACCGCUUAAUUCUCUCCUUGAUCUACCAUUUCUCUUCUUUUUUUUUUACCAAAAGGGAUUUGCUAAUUCUUGGAAUCUUGGUUUUGAAGGAGAAGGAGAGGUUGAUUCUCUUGAUGAUUCCUAACCCUUUUUUUUUUGUUUUUUUUUGCAAUCAUGAUUUGUUUUUCCAUGUAUAUCUGUUUUUGCUGGAUUGUUGAAUAUCAGGUUCUUCAAAUAAUGCAUUUUAGAUUUCUUGUUGUAGUUCAUCAUCAAGAUUUGAUUCAGAGGUGGGUUUCUAAAUCACCUCUUCCUCUUCCCCUCUCUCUCUCUCUCUCUCUCUCUCUCUCUCUCUUGAUCUCAUUUAUUUGGGCCAUAAAUGGGCUAUUGUGGGCUGUAACCAACUCUUAUAUAUAUAUAUAUAUAUAUAUAUAUAUAUAUAGUAACUGAAAGGGCAUUUUGGGUAUGUGAAAGAGGAGUUCUUUAUUUAUUUGCUAAGGAAAAGGAGAAGAGAAGAGAAGUGGGCUGUUGUGGUUUGGGGAAUUUGUAGGGCUUAUUCCUCUCUCUAUCUCUCUCUCUCUCUCUCUCUCUCUCUUCUUUGGGAGAGAGAAAUAGGGGCAAAGGGAGGAGGGUUUGCAAGGAUCUUCCUGCAGUAAAAUUUAAUAAUAUCCUGGAGAUGGUUUUGGAAAGAGAAGGAAGUUGGGUUCUUGCAAGGCCUUGUUUUGGAUCAAAUCAAGGUUAAAUUCUUUUCUUCUUUUAAGUGUUUGUUUGGCCUCACUACGUAGGAUGUAGUGCUGUUUGAUAAAGUAUUAUUCCAGUAGCAGUAUUCGAAGAAGCACUAUGCUAAAUCCUCGCCAAUGACUCCUCUUUGUAUCGAAAGUAGAAGUUUCAAAUUAGAGCUUUUAAUAUCAGAUAUAUAUAUGAUCUUAUUUCAUGUUUAGUCAUUUGCCAAAUACUCUGUUAGAGGUGACUGCAGUUGAAAGCAAAAGUAGAAUCUAGGCCAACAAUGCCCUUAGGCUAUUUUUGUUUCUUUGAGUUUGGUGAUUUUUUGCUUGAUUAGCCUAGCCUACUAGUAUGUUUGGGCUUAAUGGGGUUUAUGAGGGAGCUUUUCAUGUAUAGAUCAUAAGGUGAAGGCAUUCUCUUGGGUUCUCAUUCCUUGGGGUGAAGAAAAAGAGGUCAAGAGAAGGUUUAGGGUUUCUCUUUUGUUCUUCUUGUUUGAGAUUAGGUCUUUAGGGGUGUUUUGAACUUUAAAGGCAUCUCAAAAGCUUUCUAAGGCAGGAUUUGUUGUAUUAGAGAGGAUUUUGAUGCAGUCAAGAAAUCAACCACAGAUUAAAAGUUAAUUUUUUUUCCCUAAUUUUCGGAAUUUUUAUUUUGGUUAAUUUGUUAUAGUGAAUCUUAAAAGAUUUUUCAGGAUCUUUCUGUACCGAAUAAAUCCCUAAAAAUUAGGAACAUGAUUUUGGAAGUUUAGAAUUAGGAUAAGAUAUAUUUGUAUCAGGAAAAUCACUAAAAUCUUGGGAUUUGAUUAGGAUUAGAAUUAGGUGUUUUUUUUUUUAUUAUAAAUAGGGUCCAAGGCCUGUUGUAGAUGGAGAGUCUUUGGUUAUGAAAAUUUUGAUCUUUGCCUUUGUGGCUUCUCUCUUCUUCAUUCCCUUUCUUCUUCUCUCUAUUCUCCUUUUUCCCUCUUUCACCUAUUGCUACAGAGUCCACUGCUAUAAUACCACAGCUACAAAACUUACUACAGCAUUUUCGGCCUGCAUCAGUUGGUAUCAGAGCGUCCAAAUAGCGGCCUAUUCUUAUUUAGGCCUGCUUCAUACUUGUUCUUGUAUCAAUAAAGGUAUAAUAAUAAGGGUAAAUUCCUAAUGUGUUGUUGAUGUGCCCAUGAGCCCAUCGUUGCGGUGUGGCAAUGUAAAAGAAAACCCUUGUGCUCGUGGAUUUUCAAUUUAUUUUGCGUUCACUAUUAUCUAUCUUCUUGCACAUCUUGGAUGUGGGUGGUUUAUAUCCAAGUCAUUCUUUCUUUCUUGUGGUUUGAUUCAUGGUAGUGCGAGUUCCACUUUACCGCCCUGCAGUCGUCAUUCGUGCCUCUUAUAUACAGAAGUACCCAAUGUGUGUGCAUCGUAUAUAUUAAUAUUGUCAUACAUUCAUUUUGCAAUUAGUUUUACUAUAUUUAAAAAUGUUUUUUAAGGAGUAAUUCAUAACCACAUUGCCCGAGUGAUCACCAAGUUCUCACUGCUUUGGCUGCAAUUUGCUUAAUUUAUAGUUCUCUCCAACUUACUGUCACCUAAUUUUGUUUCGAUUCUUUCAUAUCUUAGAUGGUUUUGAAAUUUCAAAUGAUAUUUCUUUCUUGUUAAAUGUUGCAGGAGUUGGAAUCAAGUAAAGUCACUCAAAUAUAACGACGGUUUAUGGUAUAUAUUUCCCCUCACUUAUAUGAAAGCAUCAUAAUGGUUUCCAACUGAGCAUGGAAACAAGCUUAACGAUCAACUUGUAAUCAGCCACAGGUGGUGAAAGUUAAAUUGAUGUCUCCAAGAAGUGAUAGAUGUUCCCAGGUUGGUCAUAGAAGACCUGUUACCAGAUUUUCAGUUUCGCCGUCAAGCUUCUCUGAUUUGCCAAAUACUAAAAGCAUGUGCCAUAUCUAUGCAUCUAGAAGGAAUGGCUCUAUGUACAAAAGGAAGAACUUGGGUAAGAACACAAUCACUCUCUUGCUCGAAGAAAGUACAAGCAGAGGUGCUAGCUGUGAUAUCGAGAGAGCGUCUGUUGUCUCCUCAAGUGCUCCUAUGAAAGAGUUUCACGGAUCUCAAACCUUGGUAGAUAGUGGAAAAAGUCAUCAGGAAGUGCCGUUCAUGGCUGCAAACUCGCAGAUUGAACAGAUUGCAAACAACGGGGAAAACAAUGUCAGUAAUGAUAGGCGGUCAUCGCCGAAAGCUAAUGCGGAACUUCGAUCAUCUGUGGUUGAGAAAGUAGAUAGUAAGACGAAAGAACCAUUUGAAGGAUUCGCAUCAACAAGGGAACUCUGCAUUCAUGUCCUCAAAAGUAGUGGACUCCUCCCGGAAGAACGGGCUCGAGAAAAUUGUGAUUCUAUAGAUGACCAAUGUGAAAUUGACUAUGAGAAAUCGUUAAAAUGCAUAAAAUGUGGGGUUUCGGAAUGCUCGUCAAAGAUGCUGAUCUGCGAUCUUUGCGAGGAGGCAUUUCAUUUAUCUUGCUGCAAUCGUAGAGGAAAGAAAUUGCCAGUCGAUGAGUGGUACUGCCAAGUUUGUUUUAGAAAAAAACCUAAGCACUUACGCGCGAAACUUUUAAAACCCAAAGACGAACUAGAUGGAAACAGGAAUCAAGUAUCUCGAAGGGGUAUACGUCCUAUUGCUUUAAUGUUGAAAGAUACUCAGCCAUAUACAACUGGGGUUCGAAUUGGGAAAGAUUUCCAAGUAGAAGUUCUGGAAUGGAAUGGUCUAAUCACAGAGUAUGUUUUCUUUUACUCUUAGUCUCAUUCUUUUAUCUAUUUUCCAUUCUACAGAUAUAAAGCAAAAGUUUGUUGUAUUUAGUAUAAAGGUGAAAAAUGGUAGCAACAUUUUGUUAUCGCACAACAACUUCAGAAAACUUUAGGCUUAAUAACAAGUUCGGUACUCAAAGUUUGGCGUUGUUGUCAUUUAUGCCUAAUAACAUAUAACAAAUUUAUGACUAAAUUGUUUUAAAUUGAAACUGAAAACCUAACGGAUAUCAGGAUCAAACUACGUGAAGUAAAUAGCAGCUAAACUAACAUCUAAUUAUCUCGACAGAGGAUUUUCAUAUUGCAGUUAGCACUGUUUGUGUUUACUGUUUACGAGUUUCUCCCAUCACCCAUAAUAUUCCUUGAUAUAUUCUUCAUAAUUACUGUUUUUGCAGUACUCAUGAUUGUCUCGGUGAGCCCUCUGAAGUUGAUCCUGCUGAAUUCAGUAACAUUUCCGUAAGCCUUACGGACCCAAUAAACCUUAAGGGAUUAAUUGCACUAAGAGUCUCCAAACUUUUUAGGAAGUUUCACUUUGGUCCUCAACUUUUUGAUUGUUACUAAUUGAGUUUGUAAUUCGCGAUCCAUUGCAAUCUUACUCUUUUCAUCAGAUUCCUCAGUUAAGUUGGAUGAAAUGCUUAUUCAAUCUCUACAAAAGAAGUCUAAAAGUCGCUCAGUUGGUCGUUCGAAAUGUUUGCAUAGAUAUUUUUGUCCAAUUUAGAGGAAUAUGAUCUAAGGGCAAGAUUAUAGCAAAUCACAAAGAUUAGGGGAUGAAACUGAAGUUAUGGUGCAAUUUGCCCUAAUCUUGUGUUGUCAUAAACAUUUCCGCUUAGCAUGUCUUCUUUUUUGUCACUUAGGAUUUGAAGAGUGACAGUAAGGUCAAAUCAGGGAUGAUAAAUAACUGGAUCCAAUGUCGAGAAAAGAUUGUCUCAAGCGAAACUGACAAAGAAAUGGUUUGUGGAAAGUGGCGCAGGUAAAAAACUCUUCAUAGAAUCAAAGUAUAAUUUAAAUUAGGUUACAUUUUCUCGAUGUAAGUAGUGAUAAUGCUCUCUUUGAGAUACAACAAUGUUGCAUUUUACCAAUUGUAUCUAGCGCAGUUGGCUCUAGCGCAGUUGGCUCUAGCGCAGUUGGCUAUAGGCUUGAUGGUUGGUAUUUGAGGUUCCAAGUUCGAAGCCUAAUUGCUUCACAUUUCUAGCUAAGUUAAUUUUUUUAAAAAAAUGAACGAAGCAGUUAGCAUGCUACCACUCUCUCUCUCUCAAUAAAAAAUAAAAUUUUUAAAAAGACAAUGUUGCAUUUACAUUUCCCUCAUACCUUGAGUUCAAAUGUGCCUUUAAAGCCAAUUCUCCAUUGGCAAUAGAGCAUAUCUUUCUUCAUAUGUUUGUGUUUUUAACGACAAACUCAUGUUGUAUACCAAGGUUUUAAGUGCCCGUCGGCACGGGCUGUAUUCACCGUGCCGUACCGUGCCAACAAGAUACCUGCACGACAGACCCCGUGCCGAUGGCACAGCUCAAAACCCUUUAUUAUUUAAAUUAGUAAGUAAUUUUCUCAAUAAAGUUCGAAAGAUGUGAUAAAAAGACAUAAUAAAUAGUUAGAAUAUUUUGUUGCUAAAGAAAAUAAAUAUUUCAUGCUAUUAUGUGUUGGCACACAAUUUUUUUUGACCGGCAUGCAUCGGCACGCACCGUGCCGUACCGUGCCGACAAGUUUUCGGCACGACCUCGUGCCACGACACUUAAAUCCUUGAUAUAUAUAUAUAUAUAUAUAUCUAUUAAAUCUAUUAAAUAAUAUGAAUCCUCAAUACUUUUGCCACGUGGCACCCCCUCCUUCACCCAUCUGCUCCACUUCCCUUCUUUUCCCAUUGUCGCUAACUAUCACCUCCAAUAAAUAAAUAAAUUUAUUGAUUUUCGUCUACCCUUGCUGUUACAUCCCUCCACUACCUAUUUGGGGCAUUCAUUUCCUUUCAUUUUGAUGCCUAUAUAAUUCAUCCAUCUGCCCCUCCACUACCUAUUUGGGGCAUUCAUUUCCUUUCAUUUUGAUGCCUAUAUAAUUCAUCCAUCUGCUCCCCUUCCCUUCUUUCCCCAUUGUUGCUAACUGUCACCUCCAAUAAAUAAAUAAAUUUAUUGAUUUCCCUCUACCCUUGCCGUUACAUCCCUCCACUAUCUAUUUGGGGCAUUCAUUUCCUUUCAUUUUGAUGCCUAUAUAAUUCAUCCACCCUCAAAUGCUAUGAUGCUGUUACUCCAAUUUUAAAUUAAAUGCCCACUUUCAAUGAAUGAUCCUCCAAUGUAAUUGAUAGCCUCUGCUAAGAUGAAUGCUCAGAAUGGUAGACAUAAAUUGAAAUAUGGUCUUCUCAUAUUUUGGUGAUGCUUUUACUGUCUACAAUUAGUUAGUAUUUUGGGUUUCUUUUUAAGACUUCUAAAAUUGAGUUUUUAUUAUUGCUGUAGUAUGAUAGUUUGUUUAUUAAUUUACUUCUUUGUUAUGUGAAAUAACAUAUCUUCUAUGAUUGUUCUAUUUUUGUUCUAUUGCUUCUGCUAAAUUAUAAAGGCAAAUUUGUGACUUUCUUAUUUCCAGCAUACCUAAAUUUGAAAUGUGUAGCUGUUGUAGUAUUGAGUUUAAUCUUUAAGUUGCCCGGUUAUUUCAUUGUUAUAAAUUGAGGCAUCAAUAUAUUAGUUCAAAAUAGAUUUACAAUAAUUGUAAAUUAAUUCAAAUUUCCUUAGUUAGGGUCUUUUCUUAUUUUUUGCAUAAGAUUUGUUUCAGUGAAAUUUCUUAUUUAGUAGGAACAACAAUUAAAUUAGAGUCUUUCCUUAUUUUUUGCAGUAGAGUCUUUCCUUACAACAGAAAAUUUUUUUCUUGAAUUCCUUUAAUAGUUAGUAUCUUUCCUUAAUUUUUGCAUUAAAGUUUCUUCAGUGGCAUUUCUUUAUUGAGUACGGAAAACAAUUUACUCUUGAGUGAAAUAUGAGGUUUAUAUCGUCUGUCCUUAUAGACCAUAUACAGCAGAAAUAUUCUUCUUAGAAAACCUGUUCCUUAAAAGUUUUGCCAUAUAUUAUGUGAUUAGUAGCUACUCUCUUUCUAUUUAGCAGUAUUAAGAGUAUAGCAUAAAUGUUUGUUUAAAUUUUUUUGAGAUGUUAAUAUUUUACAUUUUUCUACUGAGAUGAUAUAUUAAAUAAGAUUUGAUCUUCACAUUUUCAGUUUUUUUCACAAAUAAUUCAAAAUAUGAACUUCUCAAAUGAUUUUCAAGUUAGUGAUAUUUGGCUUGGUUUCGAAAUAGUUUCUCUAUUCAUAUAUAGAAAGCGGCAAUUAGCUGUCUAACAAAAAUGAAUAAUAAAAAUUGUAUAUUUUGAAACUAGGCAUUCUGAUUUGAAAUUUUAUGUUCAGUGAGAAGUUAUUAAAACUGCCAUCCAUUAUUUUAGUUAUGGUAAUUUUCAAUGUGAGUUGAAAAUUUUUGUUGUAUGAACUUUUUCAAAGAUUGACUGGAAUUUUUAUACUUAUAUCAGGAAACUUUUAUUUACUUUUAUCCACUCAUGAAAUGCCUAUGUAAGUCUUCUUCUCAAAUUUCUUUCAAAUCUCUAUGUAAUACUCUUAUCUUUUUCACAACUUUUUUUCUUUUUUUUUUAAAUUUCUUAUUUUUUUUAUUUUUGUUUGCUGGACGGAGGUAACACACACUUUGUAUUCACAAAUUUUUCUUUUUUCCCAAUAAGUUUAUAUGCCAAUCUAAUGUCCCUUUUUAUCCAUUAAUUAUAUUUUCUCGGCCGUAAGGCCACGUUUUCUGCAUUUAAAUGUAUGAUAUAUGCUUUCCUAAAAGUUCUUGAUGGUCGCCAUCAUUUUCUGUUUUAUUGCUUCAUCAUCCAACUCUGUUGAAUUUCAUAGUUAAUUAGAUGGUGAAAUCAACAGAAGAUCAAAUUAUUCUAUAUAUUUUAUUUGUUUCCAUUUGUAGCAAAGAUGUCCACUCUUUUUAGUAUUAUAUACAAUUAUAUAAUAAUAUACGCUAAAUGGGAUCAUUUGUCCUUACUAAAUUCAUGGAAAAAGAAUUAUAAUAUUAUGCAUUUGCAUGUAAUAUAUAGAGAUAAAAAAACAAAAUUUACAACUCAUCUUUGUUGACAAUUAAAGUUUGAUUAAUAUAAAUUGUUACGACAUAUUUAGUAUUAGUAUCUCAUGCUAUAUAAGGAUACUAUAUAUUACGUAACAUAAAUGAUGAUUACUGAAUGCACACUCUUUCUCCCCCUCUAAAUUUAUAGCAAAGUUUGCUUUGUCUUUCUUAAGGCGUGUUGCAGUAAGCGGGUAGCACGCUACCUUUCUCUCAGAAAUAGCAGCACAAUUGAUGGCAAAAAAAGCAGAAAAAGAACCAACAGCACUAGCAGGACAAUCAAUGGCAAAAGAAGAAAAAGAAAAAUAAAAUACUAUUUUGCCGCAGCUUGAUUUGCAUAUGCUAUCAAUAACACACACCAAGUUGAACAGAACAACAUGUAUCAAAAGAUGUAUAGUCAAAUGAGACAGUAAAUCAGUACAUAUUUUACUCUAUUAGUAUAUUAUUCAUUCUUUGUUCUGCUGUAGCUGGUAAUAUAAUUAGAUAUGUAAAACUUUAAUUGAUUAAUUUAUACAGUUAUGUUGUAAGUAGUAAGUAUAGAAAAAAAAAAAUUUUACUGUAGGGACACAAUAAUUUGUAACAGAAAAGACUAAGGAAAAUAAUGCUCUAGAACUUAUUAAAGAGAAAAAAUAAAUAAAAACUAUAAUUUUACUUCGACAAUAGCUACUCACUGCAUUGUGCGAGUUCCUGCACUAGUAUAUAUAUAAGGUCCUAAAUUGCACAAAAUUGAAAAAUAGUGGACUUUUUUAUUUUCUAUUUUUAAUUAUUUCUUUCAAAGUGCCAUUUUUGGUUCUUAUGCAUGUCUCGCUAAUUUAAUGUGUGUCCUAAAUCCUUUACAGGGCACCUCUUUUUGCCGUUCAAACUGACGAUUGGGAUUGUUCAUGUGCCAUUCCUUGGGAUCCGACCCAUGCUGAUUGUGUUGUUCCUCAGGUGAUUGCUCAUUUUAUACUGGUAAAAUGUACUGAUAGUCCUUAUAGUUUCUAAUAUUUGUGUGAUGCCCCAUUUCAGGGGUCACCCAUCCUAGACUAGUUCUAGCACGAUUAGCCCUUUUAAUCUCUUUGGCCUAGCUACCAUUCAACAUGCUAUAGCUAGGUUUAGAAGUUUAGCUAUAAUAUAUCUUAUAUAUAGGACUAUACCAAGUCCUAUGGUGUCACAUUCCUCUCCCUUUAAGCCCUGAUGUUCUCGUUAGACUCAAGCACACUUAAAAGCACCAGACGAUCUAGCUUUAGCCGACUUUAUAGGGAGCCGUGCUCCACCCACACUGUUCCGGUUAGUGAUUGGCUCUGAUAACAACUGUGACGCCCUACUUCUCAGAGAGUCACCCAUUCUAUAAUUACUCUAAUUCUAGCACGAUUAACCUUCUUAACCUCUUGAGCCUAGUCACUGCCCAACAUGCUAUAGUUAGGUUUAGAGGUUUAGCCUUAUUAUAUCUUAUAUAAGACUAUACCAAAUCCUAGGGGUGUUAUAAUUCACCAGUCUUUUCUCAAAUUUUCACUUACACGCAUAUCGCAAUUAAAUCCCUGAAUGAAAUGAGAAAGCCAUUUUAUAGGAGGGGUGAAAUAGUUAUUGGGAAAUUAGAUCUUUUCGAGGUCCAAGAUGAAGUUGCAAAUUAUAAGAAAGUUCAAGGGCUAAAGUGUUUAAGUGAAAAUUACAAGGACCAAGCAGUAAUAUCAGGAUAAUACAGGGACUAUCCAUACAUUUUCUACUGUUAUAGAUAUCCUUCUGUUCACGUUGAUAUACUUAAUUCCUUGGUUAUGGUUUCUUAUGAUUUUUUACAAUUUAAAAUGCUUAAUUCCUUGAUGUUUCAAUUUUUGAUUAUUGAAAUUUGUGGACUAAUUUCCUAAAGGGUUAAAAUUCAUGGAUUAAAUUACUAAUUGACAAUUUAGCACUAUGCAGGACUCGGCAAAGGUGGUUUUAUAUGUUCUUCUAUAUCUGUUUAUCCAAUACAAGUUUGUCUAUGAAAAUUUCAAUAUAAAACAUAUUUACAAUUUAUGCCCCCCAAUUAAAGCAUAUCUGUUUUAUGCCUUUCACUUCAUAUAUGCGUUUUUGUGAGUUCAUUUCCUUUUUACCAUUUGAUUUUGUCUCCGUCUAUAAUAAUUAAUCAAGCUUACGGUCUUUUAGUAAUUAUGUCGUUAUUUUAUUUACAGGAGUUGGAGACAGAUGAGGUUCUUAAGCAGCUGAAAUAUAUAAAAAAGGUAAUUUCAUAAACAUCUAAAAUUGUGCGAGUAUUAUAUUAGUUUUGCACGAGCGGCUCCUUAUUAUCGACGAUACCAAAUAGUUGGUCCAAGUACUUGGUUUGCGCUCAACUUUUGCUAUAGAGUGGUCGGUUGUACUUCAUUUUUUUACUCAAUGAACAUGAAAUGUGUCUGCAGCUCCGGUGUCGUCUUAGCAAUAAAAAGAAGAAAUCAAACCAAAUAUAGACGAUAACCGGGAAUAGGAGUUGUCGCGCUGUGCUACAGGACCGCGAACAGAUAUAAAGUAAGUUGCUAUACUUCCUAUAAUUAACAUCUCGUGCGUGAAUUUGAUCUGCGCUUGUAUCUUCGGUUGGUUUCUAGGGUGGUAAUAAUACAGGAUGGGAUAGGAAUAAUGUGUUCCGGGAUUUAUUUGCGACCCGUCUAGAGCAAUGGGGAGCCGAUUUCAUUCGUGCAACUAUGUUGGAGAAGAAACCAUCCAAAUGAAGCUUUGUUUGAUCAGAUGGAGCUUCUGCAGAAGUGUUGUUUUUAGUAGGGCUUUUUGGUGAAGUUUUUAAAAUACUCAAAACAGCUUCCCACUAUCGGUUAAGUAGAAAUUGAGGAGUCCCAAGAGUAUUGUUAAAAGCAGAUUCAGAUUAAUUUCAGUUGUUCCAGCCAAGAAAGGAAUUACGCGAGUAUCUCGAGAUUAGAUUAAAAGGGAAGUGAGGAUAUUUAUUUGAAGAGGCUUUUGCUUAUUUACCCCUUACUACUAUUCAAAAAUUUCAAAUUUAUCCUAAAUUUACGAAAGUAUCCUUCUAAAGUCCAAUCCCACUAAUAAACCCUAGGAGAAAUGGGGAUAUUUGAAGGAAUUUUUUAAAAUCAACAAGGGUAUUUUGGUCCACCAAGGGAUAAAUAAGAUAUUUUUGAAGUUUUGAUGUGGGAAAUGAUAUGAAAGUAAAUAAGGUUGAUAUGACAGGUUGCUAGUGCUCUAUAUGGAGGGUUUUCGGCCGAGCCAGAUGCUAAUUAGUUUCAAGUGAAAACUCCAUCAUUUUGAAACUUCAAACCUCGCUAGAAAUGUCGGUGGAAACUUCGGACCUUGAUAGAAAACUUCCAAUUUGGAACCAACUGUUCUUGGGUUGAGGAACUCAUGUCGUCUAUGCCACAACAACAGCUCUAGAUUGUUAAAUGUUUCAUUAGUAUAGAGUUAUUCCAAUCUUCUAGAAGCUAGGGCACGUAGGAACUAAAUCUACUAUGAAUUGUUUCGGCUUUGAUUGAUUGCUAAACUAGUUCUUUCUGUAUUCGUUCUUUGUGUGCCCACAUCUUACUCCUUUAUUGCACUCUUACAUAACCUUUGACAAUAGAAACUCCCGCAAAUUGGAAUCCAUCAAUAGAGGCAAUAGAGGCCUUUUGAUUUCGGGAGAACUCAUACUUGACAUUGAUGGGUCAUAUUCUCAAGCGGAUGUCGGUGCGGGUGGUGCGGGUCCUUUUGAGACUAAUGGUCAUCUCGUUUUUGCAGGAUUUUUGGGUUUUUAUUGCUCAAGAACUAUUGAAGCUUCAAGUGACGUACAUAACCGUCAAUCGUGAGUUUUUUUUUUUUAUGAUUUUGAUACUAAAUUUGACUCUUUUAUGCUCGUGCAUAGUUUGAAAAAGGAAUUCACUUGCCGUAGAAACUCGAAUCCCUUUUUUUGUUGACUCACCUCACCCCCAUUCUCUUAGUACUUGCUCUAAAGUGCUUUUGGAUUUCUCGUGUUUAAUACGACGAAGCUAAAAAUGAUGUUAAGUGGCUCGCAAAUGUUGGUUGUUGUAUUCAAUGUGCUCUUGUUUUGAGAAUAGAGUGGUAGAUAUCUUCUGAGUUGUGCGCCCUAAAUAUCCCCGUGAGUCACAAUGGAUUCGGUCGUGUUGUCAUAGUAUGAGAUGAUGACUCGCGAUGAAUCUCGAUCGAUGGUGCAUAUGGCAAAUAUGCGUGAUGCACGCUAUUACUCAACCUCGUAAGCACUUUCGUGAUUCCACUUUGUUUUGUGGAUCGAAACACGAUCGAGCUCGAGUCGACUCCUUUUUCGUAGUUGGCUCAUAUAUUUUGUGGAUCGAAACACAAUCGAGCUCGAGUCGACUCCUUUUUCAUAGUUGGCUCAUAGGGGAGCUCUAUGGCUAAGGAUGGCCAAGGAUGGAGUAAUGCUAUCCUCAAGAGUAAUAAAAUAUUCAUCAAUUAUGGGGCAAAUAUAAUGAGGAUAUCUACCUAAUCUUGAGAUCUUAUCAAAGCUCUUUUUGUUUCUAUUCUUGGAAUAGAAACUUUUGAGUCCCAACUAUUCUUAGUAUUCUAUAAAGAGGGUAGAGGCUUUGGCCCUAACAAGUUGUUUUGGAUGAUGGGUUGUCUAAAUCGAUGAUCAGUACCGUUAAACUUGAUCUGAAGUAGUUAAAAGUGAUGAGAAGCUUUAAGUGGUUUUUGUCAAUUAUGUACUUUGUGAUUGUAAGGUACCCAAAAUUGGUAAUUUGUAAUGGGCAAUAUGAGCCCCUCUUGUUUAAUUUUGUUGGUUUUUUAUUAUAGAGGUUUUUUCUCAUAUACCCUUAACUACUGUGUCUGGCAAACAGGCGGGUUAGGUAAACUGCGGGUGGGUUAUUGUACCGUAGAUUAUAUGGGUAUGGGUAAAAUUUAUCCAUAAAGUUUUGGGUGCCAAUAUCUUUACCCAUACCUGCCUGCAGGCAGGCGGGUAUGCGGGUUCUUCGCAAGAUAUUCUUUUUUCUUUUUUCUUUUUUCUUUUUUUUUUUUCCUCUUAUACUUUCUUAAAGCAAAAUUGGUAUAUGUAAUUUUCAAAAAUCAUAACAUAAAUUGUGUUUGAAAUAUCACACCAUACAAUAAACAAUAUAAAGUCUUAAAACACUUAAAUUAUAUAAUGUAAAAGUAGUUUAUAAUUUUAAACUUUCAUGAUACAAAAUUAAUAUAGUUUUCAUGUAUGAAGACAAUAAAUUAGGAAUAGAAUUUUUUUAAUUAAAAAAUAUAUGCGGGUAUUCAUGGAUACCCGCGGUUGCCCAAAAUGUCCAUAAUUCAACGGGUAUUCAUCCGUUUUACCCAUAAUUUUUUGGGUAAGCAAAACUAGUACCUAUACCCGCAAAUUUGCUGGUAACCUGUGAGUAUCCUCGGGUAUGGGUAAAGAUUGUCGGGUCUACUUACUACUAUUUACAACUUUUAAAUUUACCUUUUGUUUUCAAAAAUACUAUUCUAAAAUUCCAAUGCCAUUAAUGAAUUCUAGAGGGCAAAGGGAUAUUUGAAGCAUUUUUUUUCUAGGUAUUUUUGUCAACCAGAAAUAAAUUUGAUAUUUUUGAAGUUUUAGAUGGCAUAUUAGAUUUAAUUCCUUUAUUUAUAAAAUAUAUUCCACUAGCUAGAUCACGUCAAGAACAUCGAUCAUGAAUUGAAGAAUUCUAACCUCUAUUUUAGUAGUUAUUUGAUUUUCACAUUCACCGGUGCCACUUGAUGUAAUAAGUGUAAUGCCCCAAUAGUCCUACAUCGCGUGGGAAAAUAAUUCUCAUUAGAAUAUAUGAGGUCUACACACUAGUAAUAAUAACCGGAUUUAAGUAUUUUGGGCCGACAGUUUGGGUCCAACGAGUUAUUAUUGCUAGCGGGUCAGGUUAUUACAAUUGGUAUCAGAGGCGAAUACCAGCCGGAAGUGUGAGAGCUAAGUGCUAUGCGGGGCAAAGUGCUAUACCAACGAAUUUGGUGGGAGUCACAUCUUGAAUCCUUAGGAGCCACCUCUAGAAUCUCACAUCGCAUAGUAAUUCUGGUCUGUAUCUGUGAUCUGGUUUGGAGCCGACGAGGACAUCAGGGUCUAAACAGGGAGAGUCUGUAACGCCCUAAUAGUCUCACAUCAGGUGGAAAAAUGAUUCUCAUUAGAACAUAUAAGGCCUACACGCUAGUAAUAAUAAGUGGGUUUAUGCAUUUUGGGUCGGCGGUUUGGACCCAACAAGUUAUUAUUGCUAGCGGGUCGGGUUAUUACAAUAAGAAUCUGAAAAAUCAUAAAAUUCGAAGUCCACCUACUUCAAAUACUCUAGAUUAAGUUUAAUGCUGACUUUAUCUUCCUUAAAGGAUAUUAACAAGAUAUUGUUGUCGCUAGGUGUAAUUUUGGAACUUUGGGAGAUUUUUAUGGUUUUUGUAGGGGAAUUACUAUCAUCCUAACCCCACAACCCUUCAUCCAAAAGUUGAAAAUCGUAAUCAUCGAUUAUGUAGUGCAAUUAGAAGCAUUUGAUUUUGCAGAUUAAGUCUAAAUUUUUAGUAAACUGAUCAAAUUAUUCUUAUUCCUUUUUCUCUUUCUCUUUCGUUUAUCUUAUAUAUCUUUAUCCUCUCACUUUCUCUCCUUCCUCUUCCUUCCCCACUGCCCCCACCUCAAUGCCUGCUCCUCUUUCUAACCUCGCCCACAUCUUUGCAACUGCGGUAGUGGCAAUGCGGGCUCGGAUAUAACGCAGGUCGUGGAGAUGAGGCUACAACAGAGGGCAUGAUUGUUGACGGCGGUGACGGCGAUGAGAGUGUCGCAGUACUUGAGGAAGAUGGGUAGGGAGCGCGCAUUAGGGGUGGGGGCAGUUUUUUCGACUUUAGCUCUCCACAUAAGAGUCUCCCUCGCAUGUCUAUCGAAUGGAAGCACUUGCUAGUCGAGAAAUGCUUGGAAGUAUAGGACUAGAAUUGGUACCAUUUAAAACUAUUUGAGAUUAAGUUCCAACUUUUCAAACAGUGCAAUUUAGUCUCAAAUAGUUUUAAAUGGUGCAACUUAGCAUCAAAUAAUAUAACUAAGUCUCAAAUAGUAUAACUUCUUUUUUCUUUUUUACUUCUUGGCCUUUCCUGUAGUGGUUGCAGCGCAUGGUGGCUUUUAUAGGAGAAGAAAAAAUAUAUUUUUAUUUUCUUCUUCUUUUUUUUUUCUUUCAUUUUUUGCAUUCUUUUCCACUAUUGUACCCCCUCCCUCGCCCAACACACUUCCACCCCUCCACCCCCACACCUUCGAUGCACUCUUCUUUCUCGUCGCUUUUAAAUCUUGCAGCAUCCUUGUUGCUGUCCACAGCCACGUCCUCCACUGCAGCCUUACCUUCAUAACUUGUGCUAUAUCUGAGCCCACAACGUCAUUGUUGACGUCGGCGGAGGUGUGGGUGAGGCAAUGAAGAAGAUCGUGACAUCGACAUGCUAGUGGUAGAGGAGGAGAAAGGAGAGGAAGCGAGAUGAGAAGGAAAGGAAGGGAUGCCAAGAAUAAAAAAGGACAAAGAGGGAAGAGAAAAAUGAAUAAGAAAGAAAGGAGAGAGAAAGAGGAAUAAGUAUUUUUUUGGUUAGUUUAUUGAAAAUAUAGACCUAAUCUGCAAAAUCUAAAAAGGUGGUUCAUCUUUGCAAAAAUACAAAAUCGAUGGGUUUUUUAUAUAAAUUAGCAAUAUAUAUAUAAUUUUGCUACUAUAAUAUCGAUAGUACCAAGUAUUUGGUGCUAUUGAGUUUUUGACCGUUGAAUGAAAGGAUGUGCGGUUAGGAUGAUAGUGGUCUUCUAGGGUUGAGUGGGUGGUUGGUUGAAUAGUAUGAUCUAACAGAUAAAAAUGGUCAAAAGGGUAGAUCUAAUGGUGGAAAACUUGAUAACACCAAGAGAUUGAUACUAUCGAUAGUAUAGUAGCCGAACUUUCUCUUUUUUUUUCUCUCUCUCUCUCUCUAUAUAUAGAAUUGAGCUUCUGUGCUUUUAAAAGUACCAAAUUAUUAGUACUUGUAGAUUUUUUGCGAUUGGAUUAAAAGAUGUGUGGUUAGGAUGAUAUAGGCUCCCUAAGGUUGAGUGGGUAGUUGGUUGAAUAGUAUAAUCUAACGGGUGAAAAUGAUCAAAGGCAUAGAUUUAUAGGAGAGACGGGGAGAGGGGGAGGGAGGGGCUGGUAUACUAUCGGUAGCACGGAGACCUUCGUGCUACCAAAUUGUUGUCAAUGUUGUGGCUUCCAAAUCAACUAUUGGCUCCGUUCGACUUCAUUUACACUAUUGAAAGUCUUUGAAAACUAAAUUUCAUAAUUUUUCGACAUCAUUUACCUAUCUAAUGAAUAGUCUAAAAAUGAACGGCUGAAAAUAAAAAUCUCAUAAAAAUGAUGGUAAAAGACUUGAAUUUAAUAUCAGAGGUACUGAUUUUACUCUAAAUAGUGAAAAAAAAUUUCUAUAAAAAUUUCAUUAGAUNUGGUAAAAUUUCUCUUUGCCAAGGAGAAGAUGCGGGUUCGAUUCCCGCUAUCCGCCCAUAAUCAUAAUUAAGUAAUGUACUAUGAUAAAAAGAUAAAAAAUUAAUUGACUACUAUACUAACUACUAACUACUAUAGUGGUUAGUAUAGUAGUUCUAUCUUCCCCCUUUCCUUGCCUACCAUCCAAAAACAAAAAUGUUGCGGAGACAGGAUUUGAACCCGUGACCUCAAGGUUAUGAGCCUUGCGAGCUACCAAACUGCUCUACUCCGCGCUAAAGAACUAGGAACUAAUGGGCGAAGAAAGAUUGGAUACGCCCCUCUACCAUAUCUAUACAAAUAGAAUAGUCCAUUUAUACAGAAUGGUAAAGAGGGCCCUUCUAUGAUCAUAGAUCAUAGAGAUCUAUACAAAUAUGAAACGAUAUUUUUAUCCUUACCAACUUGAUCUUGUUGCGCCCGGUAACAAACAUGCAUAAACCAUUUCUCGAAGUAUGUGUCCGGAUAGGCCAAAGUCUCGAUAGUUAGCUCUAGGUCUUCCAGUCAAAAAACAACGUCGAUGAAGACGUAUAGGUGCACUAUUACGUGGUGGGGAUUGCAAUUUUCCAUGAAUUUCCCAUUUUUCACUCAACGAUGAAACUUUGCUUAUUUUUUCUUUUGAGGAUCGGCGAAUCAAAUGAUAUUUCUGUUCCAAAUUUUUCCGCUUGUUCUCCCUCUGAAUCAAACUUUUUCUUGCCAUAAUGUUCAGUUCCUAUUAUUAUCAAUGAUACAGUUCGGAUCCUAGAUGUAAAAAUAUAAGAAGGCGUAUCCUCCCCCUCCAUCGAAACAAAUGAAAUUGUUGCUGAUACAGUACAUAAAAAAACAAUAAAUAACUAAAUUAACCAAAUUUUUCUGAUGUGGAGGCAAUCAAGAAAGCUGCAUAAGUGAAUAUAUAACCCAUGGAAAAGUGGGCUAAUCCAACCAAUCUUGCUUGUACAAUGGAAAGAGCCACUGGCUUAUCUCUCCAUCGAAUCAAAUUAGCCAUAUAUAUAUAUAUAUAUAUAUAUAUAUAUAUAUACAGUUGAGCUAGAAUACUAUCGGUAGCAAACGGGCUCCAUUGCCACCCAUUUGUUUUCAAUGAUGGAGCCUCCAAAUCGACAAUCGGCACCAUUGAAUAUGAUUUAUACCACUUGAAGUGUUUACAAAUCAAAUUUCAAAUCUUUUCGACAUCAUUUGCCUAAUGAUCAAAGGGUUUCAAAAUUUGUAAUUUUGAUGGUCGAUAUGAGGCGUUUUUUCGUUUAACGGUGUAAAGAUAUUCAAAUUAAUUGAAUUUUUGUUCGAAAAUUCUUUAAACUAUUUAAAAUAAGAUCUAUACCCUUGAUCUUGAUUACAAGACUCCUAUCAUCAGUUUUUAAAGAAUAUUCAUUUUCAGCCGUUUAUUUUUGUGUCUACUUAAUGGAUAAGAGAACAAUAUCGAAAAUGUAUGAAAUUUGAUUUUGAUGAUGAGAGGCUAGUAUACUAUCGGUAGCACGGAGGCCUUCAUGCUACCAAAUUGUUUUUGAUGAUGUGGCUUCGAAAUCGACGAUCGGCUUCGUUAGAAUUGAUCUACACCAUUAAAACUAUUUGGAAACUAAAUUUCAUAAUAUUUCGAUAUCAUUUGGCUAGUGAUCAAAAGGUCCCAAAAUUGAUAAUUUUAAUGGUAGAUGUGAUGCGUUUGUGAAUUUAACGGUGUAAAACAAUUCAAAUCUGAUAAAAUUUUUGUAGAAAAUUCUUUUCACUAUUUAGAGUAAGAUCAGUAUAUCUGAUCUUAAAUUUAAGUCUUUUAUCAUCAUUUUUUAUGAGAUUUUUAUUUUCAAUCGUUCAUUUUUGGACAACUCGUUUGAUAGAUAAAUGAUGUCGAAAAAUUAUGAAAUUUAGUUUCUAAAUAGUUUUAAUGGUGUAGAUCAAGUUUAACGGAGCCGAUCGUCGAUUUGGAAGCCACAUCAUCGAAAAUAACUUGGUAGCACGGAGGCCUCCGUGCUACCGAUAGUAUACCAGCCUUGCUCUAUAUAUAUAUAUAGGGUCCGGCUACUAUACUAUUAUGAGUACGAUCGCCCUCGUACUCAUAAGUUGUUUUCGAUAAUAGAGCUUCCGAAUCGACGAUCCACACCGUUAAACGUUAUUUACAGCAUUUAAAACUUCUAGAAAUCAAAUUUUAUAAUUUUUUGACAUCAUUUACCUUACGAUCAAGAAGUCACAAAUUUGACAAUUUUUAACGGCCGGUAUGAGAUACUUGCUAGUUUAACAAUGCAAAAGAAUCGGAAUUUGUUGAAUUUUUGAUAGAAAAUUCUAUUCACUACAUAGAUAAAGAUCAAUAACUCCGAUCUUGAAUUGAAGAUCCGAUUCAUCUGCCUUUUUUUGAACGUGUUUGAAUUUAUACCAGUUCAAUUUAUGCACUUGAUAGACCUUUAUAUAUUCAAAAUAACGAAAUUUAUUUUCAAGAAGUUUCAAAUACCUAGAAUCAUUAAUAAAGUGAUGUCGAUCGAAUGCGCCAUCAUCCGAAAACAACUUAUGAGUAAGGGCUCAAUACUCAUAAUUAAUAUACCAGGCAAUAUAUAAUAUAUAUAUAAUAUAUAAUAUAUACUUAUAUAUAUAUAUAUAGCUAGCUCAAUAACUAUAAUAGCACCAAUUCUUGUGCUACCCAAGUUUUUGUCACAUAUGAGAUUAAAGAUUACUUACGAAUGGGCCCUCCUAGGUUAGUGGUUGGCUGUUUAAUAGAAAUAUCUAACGUUGAAAACUAUCAAAAGGGUAAUCUAAAUGUGGAAAACUGGAGCACAAAGUGGUUCGCAAAUAGCAUAGUAACCUGACAAUAUAUAUAUACUAUAUAAAUAUAUAUAUUACAUAAUAUAUAAAUACUAUAUAUAGUAUAUAUAAGUCACUCACUAUACUAUUAUGAGUAUGAUCGUCCUCGUACUCAUAAGUUGUUUUCGAUGAUAGAGCUUCCAAAUCGACAAUCCACCCCGUUAAACGUUAGUUACAGCAUUUAAAACUUCUAUAAAUCAAAUUUUAUAAUUUUUCGACAUUAUUUAUCUUAUGAUCAAGAGGUCACAAAUUUGACAAUUUUUAACGGUCGGUAUGGGAUACUUGCUAGUUUAACAGUGUAAAAGAAUCAAAAUUUGUUGAAUUUUUGAUAGAAAAUUCUAUUCACUACAUAGAUGAAGAUCAAUAACUCCGAUCUUGAAUUGAAGGAUCCGAUCCUCCUUUUUUACGACGUCGUUUGAUUUUGACUAUUCAUUUUAUGCCCACUUGAUGGACUUUAUUAUGAUUUCGAAAAUUUACGAAAUUUAUUUUCUAAAAGUUUCAAAUACACUAGAUUAUAUUUAACGAAGUGGAUCGUCGAUUCGGAAGCUCCAUCAUUGAAAACAACUUAUGAGUACGAGGGCUCCAAUACUUAUAAUAGUAUAGUAGCCACAGCCUAUAUAUAUAUAUAUAUAUAUAUAUAUAUAUAUAUAUGAUACGGCUCUUAUGCUUUAGAAAGUUAGAAAGUAUGGUUGCCUAUGUGCUUAUAAGUUGUUUUCGAUGAUGGGACAUCCAAUUCUACGAUUGAUUUUGUUAGAUAUAAUCGACGCUAUUAAAAUUAUUUAGAAAUCAAAUUUUAUAAUUUUUCGACAUUAUUUGUUAAGUGAUCAACAUGUCUCAAAAUUGACCAUUUUAUUGAACAAUGCGGCACUUUUGUUAGUUCAAUGGUGUAGAACGAUCUAAAUUAUAUAAAAUUUUAAUAGAUUAUUCUACUUAUCAUGAAGAGCUAUAUCAAUACGUUUGAUUUAAAAGUUGAAUCCUUUAUCAUUAUUUUUUAUUUGAUUUUUAUUUUCAGCCGCUCAUUUUGAGGCUGAACUUCGUUCACUCGCAAACGAGAUUAAAAAAAUUAUAAAGUUUUAUUUUUGGAUAGUUCAAACACUGUAAAUCAUGUCUGACAGAACCGAUCGCCGAUUUCGGACGUCCCAGCAUCCAAAACAGAACUAUCAAGCACGGAGGUCUCUGUAUUUCUUUUGCUAAUUCGUAUUGAAGGGUGAUAUUAAAUCGGUCUAUUUUCGGCAUCAUAUACAUAUUCUAAAGUGGAUGGCAUAGAAAACUUGACAUGUUUUAGGGCCAUGCUUAACAUCAGGGGUCUCAGGAAUAAACUGUUCUUGGUUAUUCUUUGUUAUAGAUACAGUUCUUGAGAUAAUUGUUGAGAUACAUAGGAAGAAGAACAAUUUUUUGUUUACAUGAAAAUUGAAUUUUUUCAAAAAUAGAAAAAUAGCGUUUGGAUAGUGAGAUUUGAAUAAUGAGAAUAAGAAUUACUAUAGUUUGAAAAUGAUAAUAUUUUAGAAAUAUGAAUUAAAUAAUAAUUUAAUUUAUUAUUUACUUAACUAAUUAAUCAUGAAUAUUGCUAGAUAAUCAUAAAUGUUAAUUAAUAAAUUAAUUAACAAUGAAUACUGUUAAUUAAUAAUUUAGUUAACCACAAGUAAUUUAAUAAUUAAUAAAUUAAUAAAUUAAUUAUUUAAUAGUUAGAUAAUUAGUUGAGAAAAUAAUUAGAUUAAUCAAAAUAUUAAUUAGUUAAUCAAAGUAAAUAUUAGUUAUUGUAUAAAUACAAUAAAUAAUUAAUUUUUUAUUAGCUAAUUAAUUAUAAAUAAUAAACUAAUUGAUCAAAUAGUUAAUUAUUAUUUCACCAACAAACCACUCAACCCUCCCUGAUAUCAUACUAUUAAUAGUGUAUAUAUAUAUAGUGUAGAGCUACUAUGCUAUCAGAAGCAUAGAGAGUUUUAUGUUUUCGACUUUUUGACCCAUAGAUCAAAAAUUAUACAGUUGGGAUGAUUGCGGUCUCCCCUAGGAUUGAGUAGUACCCCUAGGGUUGAGUGGUCCCCAUAGGGUAAUAGUAUUAAUCUAAAUGUUAGAAAUGAUCAAAGGGGUUGAUCUAAAGGCCAAAAAGUCGGAAGCACUAAAUCCUUUAUACUUUUGAUAGCAUAGUAGCUCUACUAUAUAUAUAUAUAUAGAGAAAGAGAGAGAGAGAGAGAGAGGAGAGAGAGAGAGAGAUGAUUAAUAGAGAGUUGAGCUGGACUACUAUCGGUAGCUAACGGGCUCUAUUGCCACUCUUUUAUUUUCGAUGAUCGAGUCUCCAAAUCGACGAUCGAUACCGUUGAACAUGGUCUAUACCACUUAAAGCACCUAGAAAUCAAAUUUUAUACUUUUUCGAUAUCGUUUUCUUGUCUAUCAAGUGGACACAAAAAUGAACUGCUGAAAAUGAAUAUACUUUAAAAAGUGAUGAUAGGAGUUUUGUAAUCAAGAUCAAGAGUAUAGAUCUUGUUUUAAAUAGUUUAAAGAAUUUUCUAAUCAAAAUUCAAUUGUUUUGGAUAUUUUUAUGCCGUUAAAUAAGAAACGUCUCAUAUUAAUCGUUAAAAUUAUAAAUUUUAAAACCUUUUGAUCGUUAGGCUAAUGAUAUCGAAAAGAUUUGAAAUUUGGUUUCUAGAUAUUUUAAGUGGUAUAGAUCACGUUCAAAAGUGUCAAUCGCAUAUAAUAUGUUCGUUGCAUAUCAUCUCAUCACCCCACAUCGAUAUCAAUAUCGUAGUACCAGCUGCCUGCUCCUCUCUUAUGUCACGCUCUGGAUUAUAGCGGAAGUUCGUGUUGCGUCAACAGACUCGCCGCAUGCACAAGGAUAUACUUUAUAUAUACGAAGCGUCAACAAAAUAUGUUAAAAAAAUUUAACUAAAUCCAGAAAUAACAGGUAUCAGAGUAAAAUCAAAACUAUAUACUAUAGCAACAAUAUAGAUAUACAAUCAUCAUCACACUAAUUAUCAAAAUGAUACAACAUUUCUUGCCACUCCAAAUCUCAAAAUACUGUACACGCUGUAUUCUUACCUCAAUCAAUCUAGUGUUGAAGGUUUUGAAAUAAAAUAUUAAUAGUUACUAUUACUAGCGUGUAGACAUCAUAAGUUCUAAUCAGAAAUAUUUUUGCACUCGAUGUGGGACUAUUGGGGCGUUACAAACUCGCCCUGUUUAAACCCUAACAUUCAAGUUAGGUCCAAAUCAAAUCACAGAUGUAGACCAGAAUUACCAGGUAAUGUGAGGUUCUUGAGGUGGGGUUUAAACCAGAUCACAGAUGUGGAUCAGAAUUAUCAGAUGAUGUGAGAUUCUUAAGGUGGCUCCUACUGGUUCAAAAGGUGGCUUCCACCAAAUCCGUUGGUGUAGCACUUUGCCCCGCAUAGCACUUAACUCUCACACUUCCGACUAGUACCGAAAAAUACACGUGCGCGCACUUGACUCGUUCGCUCGUUACGAAGAAACGAAGCCUUUUUUUUUCCCUAACUGCCUAAUCUCUCAACCUCCUCUCUCUCUAAAGCCAACUAAAGAAUGAUAAGGGUAGACUCCACCUAAAUAAAAGGCAAAAUGUCUUUAAGCCCCUCAAAUAGCAACUAUUUCAAUCUUAGUCUCCCACGAAUUAAAUUUUAAAUUUUUGAGUCUGUUUUUGCGUCUAUUUCGCGCCAAAAUGUUGACUUUGGGACAAGAUGGUGCUAAAAAAUAUUAGUACGUGGAGAGGCGUUAUUAUAAACAAUUCAGUUAUUAUAUCAAUAAAAGUACACAUUAAUAUUCAUAAUCAGGUAAAUAUACUAUUUAAUAUUUUAUUUUUUAAUAAUAUUUUAAUUUAUUUAACAGGAUUAUUAUUUAGCAAUGAAUUUUAUCAGUAAAAUUGUGCUUAAUCCACCUAUCCAAAAACUAAAGAAAUAAAAUUAGGGUAACUUAUGUGAAUUCUUAUUAAUUUUUUAUUUUUUAUUAAUUUUAUAUAUUUAUAAAAAUUUUUAUUAAUUGGUUUUUUAUACGACGUGAAAUUAAAUAUUUUUAAUUGACAAACGGAAUUCUAGAUGGAAUAAAAAAAUAUUUUAUAUAUAUUGAAAAAAAAUUAACUAAAGACAAAUUAGGUUUGAAAAAUAAAUUGGUUUAAAAAUAUCUAUCAAAUUAACAAUUGUUUAAUUUCAAAUAAUAGAAUGAAAAUUAAAUUAAAAUUAUAAGUUUAAUCAUAAAUUUAAAUCUAAAUUCAAACUUUUUAUUUAAUUUUUAAAAUUAAAUUUAAAUUUUAAGUUUUGGAUAAAUAUUAGUUUUAAAUUUUAAGUUUAAAGACAAAUAUUUAUGGUGUAACUUAAUUAGAAACAUACUUUGAAACAAAUCAAAUUUAGAAAAUAAAUCAAUUGAAAAAUAAACUCUGUUACUAAUAAUCUUUUAAAUUAAAAAUAUAGAUUCAUUAUUUAUUUUAAUUUAAAAUUUAUAUUCAAAUUUAAUUUAAUAUGCAAAUGUCAUUGGCUCAUUGCACUGAUUUUUAACUUGUGGCCAAAAAAAAAAAAAAAAAUCUUAGGAAGCCCAAAUUGUACAGUUUGGGCCCACUUGGGACGAGCCUUAUUCAAGUGGUUGCUUAUGAACGGUCUAGAUCUAACACUGUGACGUGUACAUCUAAAUCCUGGACGUCCGUUGUGUAAUGCUACACGGACCCCAAAAGUACACCAAAAUAUAGGCGUUGAGUUUGUUUGCACACGUGGCAGCUUUUCAAGUGAGCUGGACAAAUUUAACCCAAUCGUUAGAUGCCACAUCAGCACAUCUGACUCACUGGUGUUUAGUGUUUCAUACGUUCUUAGGUGGGCAUAGCAAUCGUUUUGGAUAGGCCUUAAACUUGUACGUGCAUCUUACACUUUAGUCCCUAACUAUCAAAAACUUAUUUUUAUAUAAUAAUAUAAUAAUUUUAUUGCUCAUUUUAAAAUAGGAAAAACUUCAAAUAUCAUUCCUGUAGUUUCGCACUUUUUUAAUUUAGUAUCAUGUGAUUUAAAGUAUAUCAAUUUAGUGCCUCAUGAUUUCAUAUUAUCUUUUUAUUAUUCCUUUCACUAAUUUUUUUUAUUAAAUCAGUGACAAAGUUAAAACUAAAAGGUACUAAAGUGAAUAUUCGAUAAACCUAGGUAGGGUAUCUGAAGUUUUUUGUAUAUAAUUUAACGAAAUGUCAACGGAGGAACUGACGAAAAGAGAAAAAUGAAACCACAUGGUAUUAAAUUGAUACACUUUAAACCACAAGGUACUAAAGUGAGAAAGUGCAAAACCAAAAUGAUGCAAGUCUUGGAUAAGAAUCUACAACGCACUAGAACGCCUUUGUUGAUCCUUUACUCCGACAGCAUCUAGGGUUCCUUGAACAAUGUGACAUCUCACACCGGGUAAAUCCUUCGGAUUCCAGCAUCGAAUAGAUCGGCGGAUAAGAAUAUUUGUCCGGUAGCCGAAAGCAUUACUAGCUUACGCUCUGACCCGAGUAGCAUGGGGCACGUAGAUUCCCGUGUGAAUCAGUAAGGACUACCUUGCAAGGCUAAAUGCUCCUCGGUGACCGAUAGCGAAGUAGUACCGUGAGGGAAAGGUGAAAAGAACCCCCAUCGGGGAGUGAAAUAGAACAUGAAACCGCGGGAUCAUUUACCAUAUCAUAUAAAGAAAAGAAAAAGUCAAAGAAAAGAUGCCUCGAAGAUAAGAAGUAAAAAAAAUCCAGAAUCUCUUCUUUGUGAUGAUAAUGCCAAAAAAUAUCAAGUUGGCUCAUCUGUCUUUCUUUAUGAAGCUGAUUUAUUCAUUAGUAAAGCCGAAGCCAAUAGGAGUACUAUUGUGAAAAAGUUAAGACCGCUCCAGGAUGUAGUUAUCUGAUAAACAAAGGUGUAGUACUGCUCGUAGUAGCGGUCCUUAUAUCUUGUAUUAACAAUCGAAAGAUGGUUGAAAGAAAAAAUCUCUGUUUGAUGGGGCUUCUUCCUAUACCUAUGAAUUCCAUUGGACCCAGAAAUGAGACAUUGGAGUAGCUGUUAAUACGAAUAACAGAAACUUUGUUAUAGCCAUUUCUGUACAUUCAAUGUACUCUAUGGAUAGAAAAAUACAUAGAGUUGAACACAGUAAAAUAAGAAAUUGAAAGAUUUCGUUAAAAUUGUUCAUUUGGAAAUUUCUCAAAUAUCAAAUUAACUAUCGAGCCGUGAAAAAGAUUCAACAAAAGACAGAAAAAAAUCCACUAUCUGUUUUACGUCAAGCAAUACGUGGAGUAACUCCCGAUAUAGCAGUAAAAGCAAGACGUGUAGGCGGAUCUGACAAAGGCUUUUUACUCUGUUCAAUACAUAAUGACUGAGGCCAACUUUGGUUGGUUAAUCCGAUCAGUUCAUCGAUGAUCAGUAAGUAUUAGUUCUCAUGAUGAUCUUGCACGUAUUUCGUGUGUAUCUCACAGGUGGAUUUAAAAUACUGCUGUUUUUAGUUUUGGAUCUUCCAAAUCAUUCCUGCAGUGGAUCUGGACCGAUUUUUUUUUUAUCCUUCGAUAAAAAGAUUCAUUCUCUUAACAACGGAUACCCAAUAUUUAGGGGAUCCCUUCCCCGAACCCAUAUGCAUUUCCGCGGGUCUUACUGUAACAAGUUUGUCUGGAAAUGGUUAGAAAGAGAAAUAUAUGCAGCAAUACAACAACGUAUUGGGUCUGAAUAUGCUGGGCCGUUGGGAAUUCUUCAAGCUAUAGCGGAUGGGACUAAACUACUUUUUAAAGAGGACCUCCUCCCAUCUCGAGGAGAUAUUCGUUUGUUUAGUGUGGGACCGUCUAUAGCGGUUAUAUCAAUUCUACUAAGUUAUUUAGUAAUUCAGGUGGUAUUUGAACUUUACCCUUUAAAAUAUUAGUUUAUGGUAAAAGAUAAGAAUUUUUUUUAGGAUAAAUUACAUUGUUGGUCAGAGAGUUUAUGACUCGCAAUCUAGCUCGUUGUUUGCGAACCAACUCGUGUUCGGUUCAAAACAAGCUCGAGAUCAAUUGCUCGUUUAAUAAGUGAGCUAAACACAAGCUGAAUUUUUUAGUUCGAAAUUUUAAUGAGCCGAACACAAGUUAAGAUCAGCUCGCUUCAUGUUUAGUUCAAUAUAUCUUGAAUAUAUAUUACAAUUUUUCACUAUUUGAAUUUUAAGCAAACUCAAAUACAAAGAAACUAUAUUUUGUAAAUUUUAAUUAUUAGCUUAAGAUUCUAAUUUUUAAUUUUCUUUCAACUUUUCAUACAGUAGUAGACCUGACAAUUUAACUUACUAUUCAUGAUUCGGUAUUUGUUUGGCUCGUUAAUAAACAAGCCGAAUAUGAGCUGAAUUUUUCAGCUUGACAUUUUAACGAGCCAGCUCGUGUUCAACUUCUUUAAUAAAUGUCGGUCCCAGCUCAUUUGUGUUUGGCUCUUUGACGGCCCUAAGUGGACUUACAGUGAAAUUUUGCCUAGGUUACCGAACUUUAAUUUAUUUCAAUAAAUUAUUAAAUUUUAAUCUUUCUUAAUUAUGUCACUUUUUUAUAUAACAUAUAUUUUUUUCCAAAUAAAAUGGUAAAGUAAUAAAUUAUACAACUACUACAUCACAUUUAAUUUAUAAUUUGGAGAUGAUAUUAUUGCCAUUUAAUUACUCCAUCAGUUUUUUAAAAUAAUAUAAUAGUCAAAUAAUAAUUAUUUUAAAAUAAUAUAUUAAUAAUUAAAAUGACUAGCAUGUUUUGUCAUGUCUUUUUUUUUAAUAAUUGAAAUUGAUGUCAAAGUUGAGUACUUGAUUGAAACAAAUUAAAGUUUAGUGGUGUAAUAAAAUUUCACUAAAAUUCAGGGGUCAAAUGUGUUAUUUACCCAUUUUUUAACAGUAAAAAAUUAUAUUAUUAUAUAUAUAUAUAUUUAAGAAUUUGGAAAAUGAAAUAUUAUAGUGAAAUGUGUAGGGACUAUCUUGUAAUAUUGGGUUUGUACAAGGCCCAUCCAUACACUUUAACCAAUAUAAAUAAUUAUAUAAAUUAAUGAGAAAUUCACUCGAAUCGUCUCUGAUCCCCUCUCUCUCUCUCUCUCUCUCUCUCUCUCUAAUGGCGGAAGAAACCCUAACCCGAACCCCGGAGUCCUCUCCCUCGCAUCCGGAGACGCGCGAUGCGGGGAUCGGCGAAUCUCAGGUGCGGUUUGAUCGAUGUGUACAUAUAAAUUUCGUAGCCGUUUCGGCGAUCUCACGCUAUCAGUUUUCGAUCUCUUGUUUGUGGAAUCGAUCGCGAAGUUAGGGUUCGUGCGUUGAUCUCAAUGCGCGCAUUUGUUUUCUGCCCUUUUUGUUGUUGUUGUUAAUUUGGUUUUACGAAGUCGAAUGCUCGUCUCUGAAAUGAUUUCGACCUAAUUACAAGUUGAUAAUUUUUGUUUUCCUGUAUCUCUAUUGUAGUAGUGAGUAAAUUGAUUGUUCAUACGCAACAUUAAAAAUGAUGGAUUUGUAUGGUUUUUGUUGUUCUGAUUAGAAAUGGUGGUGAUCAAAAUGUAGGAUUUUGAAAACCCUAGUCCCUGAUCAGUAAGUUGUCACCCAUGAAUUAUCAUCAAAACACCGCAAUAUAAGGGAUAACCUACCUACCCAGAAACUAAUCCAAAUCCGAUCUGGAAACCUGCAAAAGUUUACCUGGGCUGGUACUCCUAUCUCAAGCUGAAAAUUUGUUUGGGUUUCCCUCAAAAUUUGCUUGGCAUCAACACGAAGAGGGUUGAAUCAAAGAUUUGAGGCACAUGUAGUACUGCUUUCGUGAUGUUUUUUUUCCUAUUUUGUUAUAAUGAUAGUAUGUGAAAGUCCGAGAAACUAUUUGACUAAAUACGUUGAUCUAGAAUUCGCCAGGCUGGUUUGUAGUUUGAAUUGGAUCUGUCCUUAGUUGUAGCAGUUGUUAUCUGCAAUGCACGAAGAAGAGGUUGUGGGUUUAAGCUCUAUUGUGGGCGCUAGCGAAAAAUUGAAAAUAUUAAAAAUAAAAAUCAUGAUCCACAAUAGUGUACUUAGAUGCUUUCCUUUAGCCUUCUUGUUUUCUACCUUUCGAUUUAUUGUUUUAUGUGGUUACCCAGGCAACAAAUAUGUUGCGCUCCCAACAAUCACCAACUGCUGCGUACGAGAUGUUUUCUGCCAUGUACCCCCCAUUCUUACCAGGAGUUCCUCCUUUUCUAAAUCAAGAAGAGAAUGGACAUGGUCAUGGAAUUUAUGCCAUUCCACAGCAUCCCUUUAUGGGGCCUAUGGGUGGCUAUCCUCCAGGUGCUCUUAUUCCACUGAAGUAUAAAAUCCCCACGUAAGUUUUCCGAAUCUUCAUCAUUUCAUCAUGUUUCUGGUUAUUGUGGUGGACAGUAUCUUUUAUUGAUACUCAUAUUGUAACUCAGCAUUUAUUUAUGCUAAAUCUAGUCCAUCUUUCAUUUUUUCUUUUUUUUUCUUUUUUUUUUUCUUUGAAUGAUACUUCGUUGUAAUAGAAUCAGAUUCCCAUGAAAAGGUUAAAAAAUGGAUGAGUUAGGGCUAGUAACAGCAGGUUAAGAUACUGAUUGUUUUAGCUGAUUUUAGAAUUUUGGGAGAACGACCCAACAUAAUAGUAUUUGUGAUUUAUGGUAGGGAAAUAUUGAGUAUUUAUUUUAAUUGCUUUUUUUAAUUAAUUAGAGAAUAUAUUUCGCGAUCUAGUAGUAGAAAUUUGGAAUUUUUAUUGGAAAACAUCCCUAAAAAUCAGGGAUAUUUUUUCUAACAGCAACUUUAGAAUUAGGGCAUUAUUUCAUAUAGAUAAGACCUAUUGGGUCUAUACUCUAUUGUAGCAUAAUGUGCCAGAUGAAUAAAACUUCGAAAGCAGAGCGGUCAAGCUCCUAUUGCCUCUUCUUCAUUCGCUAGUGAGCUGAAUGAGAUAUAACAAAAUGGCAAGAUAUACCAGUGCUAUCAGUUUCAAUUUUGUUGCCAUGUCUAUCACCUUGUCUUUGUCCUUUUUGUCCUGUUUGCUCUUGAUUAGUUCAUCUUGUAAUUCUCAGGAAAUUGCUUGCUUUAUGAGGUUUGUGUGUCUGCUAACCAUCAAUGUCAUCAUGUUGCUUGCAUCAUAAAUUUUCUCUUUAUGCUGCCUCAAAUAUUUGGUACAAUUUGUACUUACGUUAGCGAUGGCCCGUACUAUUAUUGAAAUGAAUCGUGGUGUGCUUCUCUGAGCCCAUGUGGAAACUUUUAUAUGCUUUUCACUAAGUUCUUUAUUGAGUCAAUCCACUGCUUUCUUUACCUUUCUAAUGCGUCUUUCUUUCUUCCUUUCCUUGUGUUCAAACAAAAGAUAGCACACACUGCAGGGUUUCUUUGAACAAAAUUUUCACCCUCUCUUAUCGACUAAUCAGCUGGUAGAUAUAUGAAAUAGUACCUUUUUGCCCACCAAAUAUUUCUGCCGAGUGCUGCUUGAGUAGAGUCAACAGAAGAAGCACUGCACUAACAGUUUUUUUAUUACAAUACGUCAUCAACUUCCUAUUGCAGUAGAAGUAGAAAGCUUCAUCUUGGAGCUUCUGCUUUGGGGCCGGAAGGCCCGUUUUAGCUUCGUGACUUAGCAAUAGCUUUAGGCUUGUUGUUAGACCCAACAUUUGGUUUUUGUAAGCUUUUUUUGGAGCACAAAGAUGUUCUAGAAGCCAACCAAAAAGGUGCGCAGAGUAUAGUACAUGAACUUAUGCAUCUCUUUGAUGUUUUCCCCCCUCCAUGUCAUCAUUUAUAGGAGGGAAAGUUCUGGAGCAGUAGCUGUUGAAGAGCAGCAGGGGCAGGGGCCUAGGCAGCCGCAGCAGCAGAAUGAUCAUCAAAGACAAGUCGUUGUGAGGAGAUUCCACUUUGCUUUUCAGCUCGACUUGGGACUUAUCAUAAAAUUGGCAGCUGUAGUGUUUUUGUUCAGCCAGGAAGGUUCAAAGCAGAAGUUUAUUCUCCUUGUGUUCUUCGCCUCGCUGGUUUAUCUGUGAGCACUACUUGAGCUUUUCUGCUUCAGUUUUUUUGUUUUUUUUAUUUCUUGUUGGAUGAGUUUGUGAGUCGAGUAAAAGUGACCCCUCUAAAAAAAAUUGUAGUUCUUGUCAGGGUAAAAUGCUCAUAUAGCCCUUAUAUAUUCACUACUUGCGACCUAUUUCCUAGAUGUUGGUAUUCUCCGAAACGAAAAAGAAAAAAUUGCCAACUUUUCAUCCAAACAAUUCAGUCCCAGAUUUUGCUACACUUUGCAAUUAUAUCCCUUCCCCUUUAGCCAUUCAAUAUGACCCUUUUUCCUGUGAGAAGGAUUACCUGUAGAGCAUGAGAAAGAACAGAUUUAAGUUUUUUCGGGCGUUAAACAGGGUUAAAAAAGUUCAGGUAUUAAUUGGGCAAGUGAAAAGUUCUGGGAUUAAGUCGCAAUAUUAAGAAAGUGCGAGGAUUAACUAUUCAUUUUACACUUGUCAUAGAUUGGGUUUUUUUUUUCCCACAUUCCGAGCCAUUUUGUAUUCUACAGUUAUCAGACUGGUGCUCUUGCGCCGUUACUUAGAUGGAUUCGCCGAGGCGUUGCACUUCCUCCACCUCAGCCACCUGUUCGGUUAGAUAACCGGAUUCCUCCUGAGCAUGACAACCGGAAUGAUGCUCCACCAGGUAUACUAUUAAAUUUUGGUUUGUUAAAACACUUCACAAGUUAGGGCCUGAUCGCAAUCGCCUGCGACUAAUAAUCGAGCUUACUACAGACCUCUUUGUCCGAUCAUGGCCAAUCUUUUAUUCAUUUGAGUCAAAUUUAAAUCUCCACAUCCAGUUUGGCCUUGCUUCCGGAGCAGCUUGUCUGUUCUGAGAAACUGCAGGCAGGAGUUUUGGCAAAGCAUAAAGUUUGGAGCUUUCGCUGUGCCGAGAAGCUGAGUAAGCUUCUGCAUUCAAAAGGAGAAGCUCUUUUUGAUGCUUUUGCUCCCACUGCACCUAGAGGCUGCUGGAAAAGAUCUGAAUGAAAAAGUUGUUUUGUGCUUCUCAGAGAGAGCGGCUCUAUUCAAACAGCAUUUCGGCACAAGCUUUAGCCUUGCGCGUUGUUGAGCAGGCUCAAAUCUCCUCAAUUUGGUGCAGUACGCUUGUGAUCACUUACGACACAAUCUUUUUAAACUGAAUUUCUCACAAUUAUACAUACUAAUUUGGUCCAGAGGAAAACCUCGAAGCCGAGAAUCAGAAUCAGAACCCGAACCCGAAUGAGAACCAGAACCAGAACACAGGAGACGAAGUACCACCGGCCGCGAACGAGAACCGGCCCGAACCCGAGAGGAGGAACGGACUAAAUUGGUGGGGUAUCGUGAGAGAGGUCCAGACGUUUGUUGUCGGCUUUGUCACUUCCCUUCUUCCAGGGUUUCAACACAAUGAUUAGUUGCCCUCUCUCUCUCUCUCUCUCUCUCUCUCUCUCUCUCUCUCUUCCCCAAGUGUUUUGUAAAAGUUAUAUAGAGAGACGUUCUCAAAGAGAAAUCGGAAUGUUCUGGUUCGAGAGUAAAAUGUUGUUUUCUUUUGUUUAUUAUGAAUGUAAACUCCGUAUUUUGUCAUCAAAUCACCCCUUUUCGUGGGUUUUAACCUAAAUUUGUGUAAUUUGUCAAAUAGGAUGUGAUUAUCGCUUUCGAUGUGAAUUUAUGUUAUCCUUUGCUUGUGAUUUGAGUUUCGCAGACACUUUGCCUCUUCGUCGUGAAAGUUUGGAUUCAAAUCUUUUAGUCCGCAGAUGAUGUUAACCAUCGAAAAACUGAGCUGUAGAAAGGAGAAGAAAAUUUGAAGCGUAUGCAAUUUGAAACUAAUCUUAUUCAUCAGCAGGGAUUGCAUUUGGUUUCUUGUUUUACACUUUAUGACCUCUCUCUCUGUCUCCUGGAUGUAGAGAUCAUUUGAUUUGUAGAGGGAGAAGCGGACGGCGUCGAGUCAUCGACCGUGCUCGUCAUCAUCUGUUGCAGAACUUGCGAAAAUGCUGCCGACUUCUGCUGUCGUGAGCCAUCUUUAUCUGUCGUCGACCGAUUCAGACCAUCGCUGCUGGCUGUUGCGACCACCUACGAGACUCCGGUUGGCACAGCCUGCGACCCCCGAACAUCGAGUUAGGGAUUCAACCCUCCAGUUUCGUUCGGUUCCGACACCGCGAGAUCAUGGGAGGGUGAUUUCAGUUUAUGCCCUUUCAGGUAAGUGCAGAUAGAGCUGCAUGCAUAGAUGCCUAAUCUUUUGUUUUGUUUUAGUUUUUACUAAAAUACAGUAGGCCUUCUAUUCAUAUCCACUUUUUUGACUUUUUUUUUUUUUCUGACUUUCAAAAAUUUAUAUUUACCUCUUCAAAGUUAAAAUAUAUUUUUAGAAAGUUACGGCGUUAGUGGAAAGAUCGAAAUGACCAAACUGUCCUUACUUAUUCUGCAGGAAAAAAAAAUAUUUGUUUAAUGUGAUUUCGUCAUUUUUAAGUAUCUGUUUAGUAUAUGUAGUCGAAUUUUAUAAGAAACAGAUAGAAUAGUAAUGAAAUCCUAACGGCAAGGAACUAAGUGCAUUAGUUUGAAAUUUUGAGGGGGCAAGAUUUAGAUUUUUAAAACUUAGAAAAGAAAAAGAAAAAAUUGAUAUUUAUAUAAAUUUUUCUGUAUUUUAGCUUUUUUUUUUUUUUGGUUAAUUCCUUUUACCUUGUUAUCAUCCUUUUUUCUUGGUUUAGUUGCUUAUAUUUGAAAAAUCGAUUUAUUUGCUAUUAAAUGCAUGCCGAAAAAUUCUUAAUUUAACCGAAAAAUCCAUAGUUAAGAGAGUGUCAAUAAAAAGAAAAAUAGUAGUUUAAAGCUGUGUAUUACAAAGUUGGUCGACAAAUUAUUAUUAUUGAGUUUUUAUUUUAUUGUUGGACACAAAUUAAGAACAUGGAAUAUGGACAUGUAAAAAGUUGGUUUCCACUGUGCCAAAACAAAAAUAUGCUAUAAUUGUACAAAUAGGGAAUGUCUCAAAAGUUUACAAAAGCAUUUAUAUGUAUUUUUUUUUGCUAAGUUACACUUUUUGUUCUCAAACUACAAAAUUUUUUACCAUAUAAUAACUUCUGAUUCAAACUUUUAAAAGUUUCGCGACAAGUCCCAUAAUGCGAUUUAGUUAACUAAAUGCUGGUACUUUACAGAUGUGGAAGUAAUGUAGUGGUGUUAUGAUUGAUGGCGUGAAAAUAACGUUAUUACCAUAUCAGCGACACAUCAGUAUUUAGUCAACUAAAUUAGACAGUGGGACUUGAUUAUAAUAAUUUUAAAAGUUUGAAUUAGAAAAUUAUAAUAAAUUAAAGUUUGAGAAUUGAAGUGUUACACGCUGCAUAUUUUGAGGACCCAAAGUGCAAUUUAACCUAUCUUUUUAAGAAAUUGUAAUAGCAAAUGCUCAAAUUUUAUAAAAGCAUUUAAACAAAUCUUUUCACAUUGUUUAUGGAUAGAUUUUUUUUUUCCCUUUUUUUUUUAUUAUAAUGCUUGGGAAGCACAAAUUUAGCCAAUAUAAUUUGUUCACACUUGUUGAAAAUCACUUCAGAUUAUUAGAAAUUAGUUCAAAAUAACAGCAGCUAAUGUUUCUUAACAAGGGAUUUAAUGGAUUCUGAGUUACAAUUUGCAAUUAACUUAGUAAUUUUUGUGAACCCAAAUAAGUGUUACUAUGAGAACAUUGAUCCUAAACUAUCUAAGAUUGAUUCAAUUACAAUAGCAAUAACUCAACAAAGGUUACAAUAACAUAAAUAGUAUAUUUUCAUUGUUUACUACCAAAUAAGUUGAGUAUAGGGAUCUUUUUGUUUUUUCUUGGGGAGAGAGAAAAAUAAUAAGCUAUCCACUUUAUUCAUCGGAGAAAUGAACAGAAGAAUUUUUGAGGCAAUUAUUAUCCAAAAGAUCGAUCUAACAGAAAGCAAACCCAUUAAAUUUUGAAGAUAGAGAUUAAACUCACAACCUCAUAGAACAAAGAUGCUCACUUGAAUUUAUAAGCACAGGAGACAUUUUGUACUAAAAAGUAUUGGAUACAUACAACUCUUGGUUAAGAACAUACAUAAAUCAUCUGGAGUUGAGCUCUUGUGGUUUAAAGCACAGGAGCAUUUGUGCUUGUGAUUUUUUAACCAUCGGAUCGUCUUAAGAUUCGUGCAGCAUUACUAACGGUGUAUCCCGUUAAGUUUUCUUUAUUAGUGCUGUACAGAUCUCGAAACGAUCGGAUAGUUAAAAAAUCACAAAUAUGUUGAGCUCGUGUGCUUUUAAAAACACAGUAGUAGCUCAACUCAACCAUCACUUAGGAGCUGCUUGCUUUCAUGCAAUUGCAAUUGCACUACCAUUAUAAUAUAUGCAAAUCCAAAUAUGAUAUUUGCAUGGUUUGAUGCAUAUGAAUUCAAUCAUUACAGUUGGAACUGUACGAGGAGGCUCAACUGUAGCAGUUGAAACUACGCCCAAAUUGGUCGCAGUUCUAACUGUAAUAGUUGAAGAAAGUAAUUUUAAACAAAAUAUGAGCUUAUAUCUCUAAUCACUUUUUAAAUAAAAUAUUUUUUUUCUAUAUUGGAGGCAACCUUAUCACCACACUUAUAAACUGAUGAAAAUUUGAAAAUACACUUGUCAAUUGCACGCGACCGAGCAAAUUAUUUAUAGUUACAAUGUAUUUUACUAUAUCCAAUUAAACAAAAUGUACAAAAUUAUUACUGUAUUUUUAAUUUCAUACAUCUUCAAGUACACUAUAUUUCUAAUUACAUCUAACCAAACUGCCGCUCAGUGGCGCGGUAAUAAUGAGAGACCAAAUAAUGUAAUUACUUCUAACUUUAGCAACUUAUACCAUGUAAUUACUUUUUAACUUCUAUUAUGUCCAUGUGGUGCAAUUUACAAUCUUUAUUUCUUGCAAUUGCAUCUAUUUAUUGCAUUAAAUGGCUUUUCUUUUCCCCCAAAACAUGAUAAUGCUCUUUGCAGUACAAAAGUAAUGAAAGGGUGUUUGGUUUUUUGAAAAAGUGUAAAAAUUUUUUUUCCAACAAAAUAAUCUUUCAUGGAAAUUUCUUUUUCCAAUUUUUCGCCAGUUUGGUUUGAAGGAAAAUAACCAUUUUUGGAAAUAUUUUUUCCAUAUUUCAUAAAACACUAGUAUUUUCGUUUUCCGAAUUUUUUAGAAAAAUAAAAACACUAGUUUUCAUAGAAUAUGAAAAAAAAAAAGGGUUUCAUAAAAACUUAUUUUUUAAAAAACAAAUGGACGAAAAACUGAAAAACUAUUUUUUUAUGAUUUUUUUUUUCACACUUUUUCGAAAAACCAAACAGCCUCUAAAUUACGAGGAGUUGCAAAGUAAUCGGUUAGAAACUAAUUCCAAAAUAAUAGAAUUGCCGAACCAAAUAAACUCAAUCGCACUUCAAUUAAUUAAAAAGCUUGUGUUUUUACAAUAUUUCAAAAAUUGAGUCAAAUAACGAUUCGAAAAUAUUACUGGGUCCAGAGUCAUUAAUUCAAAUAGUGGGACAACUAUGGAUUGAACUAGUGACGUUAACAUAUCGAUAUAAAUAUUUAAUUAGUAUUUUUAAUUUUAUUAUAUAGAAAAAAUUUAUAAAUUAUUUUUUUAGUAAGAUUAUCAUAAAAUACUGAUUUUUAGAUAAAAUUAAGUAGAUAUAAAAAUUUCAAGUUUUUUUUUAUAAGGUUAAUUUGUGUCAAUAAGAAAUAAAUUAAUAAGAAAUAAAUUAACCAAGUUGAUUUUAAGCCACUAAAUUUAAAUAUGAAAAAAAACUCGGCUAAAUUAUUGGUUAUUUAACAUCCUUGACAAAACAUAAAAGGAAUUAGAACAUUUUGUCUCUGCCACAUGCAAAAAAGAUUAGAUCCUAUACCUCGCACUAAUUACUCGCUAAACCUAUUUCUUUGGCCCAUUAUACUUAAGCCCAAUUAUUAUUAUUAAAAUUGUUGAUCUUUUUAUUUUUAAUCAUAAUUUAUUUUUUAUCUGAUGUGAGAUUAUUGAAGCGUUACAAAUAGAUAUUUAAAAUGAAACGAUCGGCGCACAGCUGUACUUUAUACAUUUGAAAUUACGAGAAAAUGUGAGACCCCAAGUUAAACUCAGAAAAAUUGUUUCCAUUAUUUGCAACAAUUAAAGUAGUUAAUAUUUAUGAUCAAACAAUUAGCUAAAUCUAAAAUCCAAGCAAUUAGAAACCUCUCAUUCUCUUUUGUUGCACGAAAACUUAAAUGUACCUAAUUCGAACGCGAUCUAUAUAUUGAAUAUAAAUAUUAAAAAAUAUCGUUCUCUAGAAGCGUAAGUUAUUUAAAAAGUAAUGGCUUUUUCAUAUCAUUUAACAUGAUAUAUCUUAAGUUUGAGUUUUUCGUCAGGCUCCUAACGUUAUUUAAUUUUUUCUUGUGGACGUGUAUGAAACCUGAAACUGACCUCGUGUUCGAGGAAACUCUUGUAGCUCUUUCUUGCUGCGUCUCGCGUGUGCGCACGUCGCGCGAGAGCCCUGCGUGAGAAGAGGAGAGCGAGAUGUAGCCAAGGAGUGACUUGCCGGCGAAAUGCACUGAGAAUCUACCACUGUCUUUCGCUCUCUCUCUCUCAAUGCCGGUGCCGGCAAGUCAUCCUUGGCUGCAUUCUGCUCUCCGCCUCUUCACGCGCGGCCGUCGACGAACACUCCCAUCACUCUUAGAUCAUGAUCCUCACAAACAAUCCAUCCUAGCUACAUUGACACCUAUAUAUAUACACAUACAUACAUGUAUCUUAACAAGAAGGUAUUCAAACAUCUCUCUCUCUCUCUCUCUCUCUCUCUCUCUCUCUCUCUCCAACUUCUACUACUUUGCUCUAUCUAUUCUUUUCACUAGAGUGUUGUGUGUGUGUGUAUAUAGAUAUGUACAUAUAUAUAGAGCUAGAGAUGUGUUUAGCUUAAAACAUAGAAUGGAAAAAUAUGGAGAGAGAGGGAGAGAGAUGUGGUGCCAAUCCAAACUUUUCCUUUUUUUUGGUUGGACAUGAUGAGGCCUAAGAAUAGAUAAGUGGACCCAACUUUUUAUGUUAUUAUUGUUAUUAUUAAAUUUUAUUUUAUUAUUUUAUUAUUAUUAUUAUUUUAAGGGAAAGCUAAGUUUGUGCCUUGAGAAUAGGCAUGGCAUAGUGUGUGUGGAGGAGAUGCCACUUUUUCAUGAGUGUUUGUUAUGAGGUUGUUAUGGGAGGAUGAAUUUUAUUGGUGGGGAGUGAGGAAAUGUAGAGGGUGCUUUGAGUGGUUCAUGACAAAGGGAUAGUGAAUAUAUGACACCCUAUCUGAUACGAAUAUGUGUCGAAUUUUAAAUUUUAAUAUCCAUAUUCGUAUUCGUAUUCGCAUUUUUGUUAAUUUGGAUUUGGAUGUGAAUGUAUGCCGAAUGCUAAAAUUUUGAUAUCCAUAUUCGCAUUCUAUCAAAUUCGUAUUCGGAUUCGACUGGAAUUUAUCCUAACCACUUUCACCCCUACUUAUACACAAGAGGAAUAGAACAUUUUUUGGGGGACUAUUUCAAUAGGAACUUAUAAUUGGAAGAAAAAUGCCAUCUGUACAUUUUACAUAUCACGAUCUAAUGAAUAAAAAAUUACUGGCGACUGUCCCGAAGGUGAGACAGUUUCAUUCAUCGUUCAUCACGUAGACAACACGAAUUUCAAAGAUAAUAAACUAUACAUAACGUACACAAAGUGUGAAAUAUAUUGGCCGAUAGAUGAAGGAGAUGUAAGAUUCACACAUACUCUUGAAAUGUAUAGAUAGUAUUGCUCAAUUGGAAUUAAUGUUUGAUUCUCGGCUUCAACGCAAAGGGUGGUUCCAUAACUAGGGUCCAUCAUUAGGGUUUCUUUUUUUUUUUUUUUAAUUGUUAGAGCUAGUUAAGUUUUACAAAAGUAUUAUUUGAGAUUUUCAUAGUUAGAUAUAAAAACUUCAAUUUAGAAAGUCAGAAGCUCAUGUCAACUUUCGCCACGAUCCAAAUGUCAAAAAUAUGGUAACUGCCAUAACCCGACUUCCAAUUAUUCAAUAAAAAAGAGAAAUUGUUCUUAAAAACUACGUUAAGUAUACGAUGGAGGGGAAAACUUCAAAAACCCUACCUGUGGUUUCGUAGUUUCUCACUUUGCCCCCCCUGCGGUUUAAAAUGUAUCAAUUUGCCCGCCUGUUGUUUCGUUUAUAUCUUUUCGGUAGUUUUUUCGUUAAUAUUUUAUUAAAUUAUAUACAAAAAACUUCAGAUAUCCACCUAAAUUUAUCAAAUAUGUACUUUAGUACCCUUUAAUUUUAACUUUAUCACUGAUUUAAGAAAAAAAAUAAUAAAAUUGAUAAGAAAAAGAGAGAAAAGAAACCACAGAGGGGACAAAUUGAUACAUUUUAAACCACAUGGGGGGAAAGUAAGAAACUAUGAAACUACGGGGGGGUUUUUGAAGUUUUCCCUAUAUGGAGCUUUAAAGCUGAGACGCUUUUUGUAAAACAGUUAAUUAUAUUCUAAAGCUUAUAAUUAAACCGCUGUAUAAGAUCGUGCGCAUCGUCCUCUAUCGAGCCCUCCGUCUAGUACAUAUUUUCAACCUAAAAACAAAACAAAAAAAAAAAGAAAAAAAGGAAAAAAAAAAAUUUGAGGUCAAAGAUUUUCAUCUCAGUGUGAAAAGUACUUCUUAGAUAUGUCUAAAGCUUUUUAGAGUUGAUUGAUGAAGAAUUUAAUUUGGGGCUUCUUUUGCAAUUGGUCCCCUGAAAAAAUUUUAUUUUAAAAAUAGUCCCGAUAAAUUUAUAAUUAUAAAAAUAACCCUACUCCUGCCACUCAGGCGCCACGUAAGCGCCACGCGGACGGGCUAGGUUGCUGGUUUGGCAAGUUGAACACGGUGAACCAUUCACCGUAUUUAAAUAUGAUAAAUGGUUCAUCGUGUUUAGUUAGUUAUUCUGCCCCGAAAAAGAUGGUUUAUAUCAAGCGGGGCGAAUAACCAAAAGAAACACAGCGAAUGGCUUACCGUGUUCAACUUGCCAGGCAGGUGCCCAGCUCGCCCAAGUGGCGCUUGCGUAGCGCCUGCGUAGUAGGGGUAGGGUCAUUUUUGCAAUUAUAAAUAUGUCGGGGCUAUUUUUUAAAUAAAAUUUUUUUAGGUGACCAUUUGCAAAAAAAACCCUUUAAUUUGACAAAAAAUUGGUUAAAUUAUAAUUAAUCUUUUCUUAUUAUAUUAUGGAAUGUUAGGUUUAGCAUUUCUUUCUAUCACCAAAAAAUCCCAAAAUUGGUAAAAAUGCAUGAAAACCCCUGUAACUAUAGCCAAUUUCAUAAUGGACCAUUUAUUUUGAUUUUAGUUAUUUUAAUCAAUUGAAUUAGAGAUUCUAUAAAAUAUAAUGUUUUCUUAGUUAUUAUUCAUUAAUUGUUAAUAAUAUCUGUACUUUUAUUUUGGCUGGAGAAUAGUUAGAGACAAUAAAUUUGACCAAUCUGACUAAUCACAAUGGAAAAAUAAAGGGAUAACUUCAAAACCCCCCCCGUGGUUUUCAACUUUCUCACUUUAGUACCCUGUGAUUUAAAGUGUAUCAAUUUGCCCUCAUGUGGUUUUAUUUUUCUUUUUUUUAUCAAUUUUAUUGGGUUUUUUUCUCAAAUCAGUAACAAAAUUAAAAUUAAAGGAUACUAAAGUAAAUAUUCAGUAAAUAUAUAUGGAUAUCUGAUAUUUUUUUGCAUAUAAUUUAACGAAAUAUUAAGAAAAAAGCUAUAGAAAAAAUAAAAACAAAACCACUGGGGGGCAAAUUGAUACACUUUAAACCACAGGGUACUAAAGUGAAAAAGUUGGAAACCACAUGGGAGGUUUCUGAAGUUUUCCCAAAAAUAAAUAAAAUUUUGGGUUUAUUUUAAAAUUGUCUAUAGUUGAGGAGUUCUUUGCGAUUCUUAAUUAAUUAACGAUAAAUACCACACUGUUUUAAGCCAACAAAAUAGUUAGAGUGGCGAAAUUUGACUGAAUCAUUUACAUGUGAAUGAACUCCCAAAUUUAAUUGAAAGAAAAAGGAAAGAUAAAUUUCUAGAGGUUUAUUUCCAAAUAGCCAAUAGUUGAGGGGGUCUCCAUACAUUUUUAACUCUUUUUUUUUUUUGGGGUCUAUGGUUUAGCCGUUAUUCCUAUGUAUGACAUUCGGGCUUUUUUAUAAAAUGACCCUCCAGAAAUUCGAUUUUGACAAAAUAAUCGUACCAAAAUUUUAUUUAUAGAACUAACGCUUCUUUCGCCACGUGGGCGCUUCGUAGAUUCCUCAAAAAGAGGUGAAUCAUUCACCGUCUUUAUAAUUUUUGUUGUAAAAGCGGUGAAUGGUUCACCGCCUUUAGAAGGCGGUCAACCAUUCACCGCCUUUAGUGCAAACUUUUUCUUUCCGCCCUUUUCCCUUUCCGCCCUCUCAAGUCUGUUGUUUCUGUGCCCUUGAGAAGAUGGGGAAUGAUUCACCGUCUUAUCAAGGACACAUAAUAUUAUGAACUUGAAAAGAUUUGCGCAGAAUAGGAAUUUGUACUAAAGACGGCGAAUGGUUCACCGCCUUAUGAAGACGGUGAACCAUUCACCACCUUCACAACAAAUAUCAAAGACGGUGAAUGAUUCACCGUCUUUUUGAGAAAUCCCUGACGUCGCGCCCAUGUGGCGAGAGGAGGGUUAGUUUCACAAAUAAAAGUUUCACAGACUUAGUUUGGCAAAUACGAAAUUUUACAGAAUUAUUUUCAAAAAAAGUCCAUGACAUUCAUUGAAUUUGCUUUUUAUGUAGCAUUUUUUUUCUUUUUCUUUUUCUUUUUUUCUUCUUUUUUCUUUUCCUUUUUUUUAUAGUGUGAAAGGGACUUUUUUAUGUUGGCUUUAAUUUGGGAAAAAAAAAUUUCUGUCACAAUUAUUCCAUUUAGGAAUGAAUAACAAAUUGCAUAAAAGUAAAAAAAAAAACGUAACUUUAAACCAAUAUUUUUAUAUAAAAUUAUCAUAUUACUUCUGAUAAAAUAUUUUACUUUUUCAAAGAAAAUAAUACUAUCAGCUUGUGAUAUGUUUCACAUAUUAUUAUUCACAAAAUUCAUUCUACCAAUAAGCAUUCCAGUUCAGAAUUCUUUUUACCUCUUUUACCCCGCUGCUAUUUUUGUUUUCAGCUACAAUAAUUUUUGAUAGAGUGUUCGACAAAUAUAAAAACGUACAGCGCUUUUGCUACGACAGGAAGUUGAAAUAAGAUAUUGGGUCUGCUAUUGCGAAGAAACGCAAGCGUCUGGAUUUUAAUGUAACAUUCCUCGCGAUAGCACAAUUAAGAGAGUAGUCUAUCAAACAUCAAGACACCUUAAAACAAAACCAAGCAUUAUUUAUUGGGAAAACUUCAAAAACCUCCCCUGUGGUUUCGUAGUUUCUCACUUUGCUCCCCUGUGGUUUAAAGUGUAUCAAUUUGCCGCCCUGUGGUUUCGUUUUUAUCUUUCCGGUAGCUUUUUCGUUAAUAUUUCGUUAAAUUAUAUACAAAAAAACUUCAGAUACCCAUCUAGAUUUAUUAAAUAUUCACUUUAGUACCCUUUAAUUUUAACUUUAUUACUGAUUUAAGGAAAAAAAAUAAUGAAAUUGAUAAGAAAAAAAGAAAAACAAAACCACAGGGGGGCAAAUUGAUACAUUUUAAACCACGGGGGGGCAAAGUAAGAAACUACGAAACCACAAUGAGGUUUUUUGAAGUUUUUCCUUUAUUUUUAUUCUUUUGCGAAUAUCCUUUUGAAGGGCAUAUACGAAAGCCAUAAGCGGACGUUAUAGCGGUAUUUUUAGUUGUAUUGUUUACUGAAGUGUUAUUUUUACGAAUCUGAAAAAAAGUUAAAGUUUUCGUUUCUUGCUGUUUUUCAGCGAAAAACUAAAACUUCAUUCAUUUCCUUUUUCACAAAACCAAACAAAACAUGAAUUUUUUUUUUUCUUUCAGUGAAACAAAUGUUGAUCAAAAACUUUUUUUUUUUUUUUUCUUACAAACCAAACACUACAAGAUGUAAAACUUUUUUCCACCAAAAUUUUUUUCACUAAAAAUUAUUUUUCACGAUUUUAUAUUCAACCAAACGAAUAAUAUAUAAAUGUUGAAUAAUAAUAAUACACAUAUCUCCCUUUGUAUGAAUAAUAUAUAAAUGUUGAAUUUUGUAGAGAUAUAUUUGUAAUUUACUAUAUUUGCAGGAAUCUGUAUAAAAUUAAAUUUUUUUUAAAUUAUAAUAAAUUAUAAAAUAGUUAAGUAUAAUUUUUUAAACCGUAGAAUGACAAAUUAAAAAUGUGCUAAACACAGCCGAGACAAAUUAAAGUUUACACUUUACACUAAAAAGGAAAAAAUUAAAAAAAAGUUGGGUAGCCACUUUCAAAUUAUACUGUAGUUGAGGGGCCUCCUUACAAUUUUCACCAACCAAAAACCCUACCAAAACUCCCCCUUCUCUCUUUUUCGCUUUCUUUUUAUUUUAUUUUGGGUAAACUUUAAAAACCACCCCUUUGUUUCAAAGUUUUUUACUUUAGUACCUCAUGUUAAAAUAUAUCAAUUUAAUAUUCUGUAGUUUUAUUUUUCUCUUUUCGUUAAUCCCUCCAUUAAUUUUUCGUUAAAAUAUAUACAAAAAACUUCAAAUACUCACCUUUAAUAUCUUUUAGUUUUAACUUUGUCACUGAUUUAACGAAAAAAAUUAAUGAUGGGUAUGACAGAAAGAGAAAAAUAAAAUCACAUAGUACAAAAGUAAUACAUUUUAAAUUAUAGGGUACUAAAAUGAGAAAUUGCGAAACCACGGGGUGGUAUUUGAAGUUUUUUCUUUUAUUUUUAAUAAAAAUUCUAUUUCCUUUUCCAUACCCUCUUCGUCAUCUUCUUCUUCUUCCUCCUCCCCCAAACCCUCUUCGAAUCCAAACCCUCGUCUCCACCUCCUCUGUCGAUCUCAAUCCCAUGGGCGACGCCGCGAAGAGCGCGGCGGAGGCGGCGGAGGAGGCGGCGGAGGAGGGGCGGCGCCGCCGCCUCGUCCUCGUGGCGAGGAAGGGUGGAUUCGGCCUCCCCACCGCGUGCCCAUCGUGCCUCCCCGUCUACCUCUACCUCCGAUUGGCCCGCGUCCCCUUCGAUCUCGAGUUCGAUCUCGCCUACCCAGAUGCUGGUUCGUUUCGGAUUUUUUCCCUUUAUUUUGUGAAUUUUUGGUGUUAUCAGUGCGAAGAGCCGCAGCUCUUGGUCGAUGUGAUGUGUAUAUGUUGCGGGUUAUAGCAAAAUUUGAUCUCGUAGAGGUUAAUGUGUUGUGGAAUUGCGUAAUGUUGUUGAAUACUUAGUGCUUUCGAUCGGCCCAGGUCUCCUUCGAUCUUGAGCUCGACCUCUCCUACUUAGAUGCGGAUUUGUUUGGAUUUUUUUCUCUACUUUUGAAGGAAUUUGUGUGUUUUGUCUUCAAUUUAGUUAUUGCCCUCGAAGUAUUCGACGUAAUGUGUGUAUGCUGUGGGUUUUAGCAAAACUUGAUCAUUUAAUGGUUUAAUAACUUGUGGCAUAGUGUAGUGUUGUCAAGUACUUAGUGCGUUCGAUGUCUAGCUCUGGCUCCGAUUGGCUACAUGUCCUUCGAUCCCGAGUUCAAUCCCUCCCACUGUAGAUGCUGGUUUCCGGAUAAUUCAUUUAGUUUUAGGAAUUUUUGUAUUUUCUCUUUGAUUUUCUUAUCGCCCUUUAAGUGUUUGAUGUAAUGUUUCUGAGUGGAUAGUUGUAUUUUGUGUAUAUUUGAUAUGUGUAUGUUGUGGGUUUUAGUAAAAUUUGAUCUUUGUUGCUUGCGGAGUGAUGUAAUGUUGUUAAAUACUUAGUUCUUUCCCUGCCUAGCUCCAUUGGGCCGCACUUCCUUCAAUCUUUGUGUUUGACAUGUCCUUUCCAGAUGCUGGUUUGUUUGGAAUUCUCUUUCUCCUAUGUACUAUAAAUAAUAUCUUUGUGCUUUAAUCUUUGAUUUACUUGUUGCAUGCCAAGUGUUUAAUGUAAUGCAGCAGUAUUUGAUCGUCUUGUGGUUAAAUUAAUUGUGAAAAGGUAAUGUUGCCUACUUCCUUCCUCUAUCUCCUAUUGCCUAAAGUUUCCACGUGUAAUUAUUGAUCAUUCUUUUAUUUAAAUAUCAAAUUAUUAAUAUGUAGAAAUAGGUGCCAUGUCGAAAGCCCUGUACAUCAUUGAAUAUUGUCAUUCAAAAUCUACCAAUUUGAUCCGAGGACUCAAAAAAGUAAUCCUGAAUACAACCCAAAAAGUAAGAAAUAACUUAGAGAACUCUGGGUUAAGAUUAUAUUGCCUAUGUAUUAUAUAAGUGUUAUCUUAAAAUUUAGUAAGUAGAGAAAAGUUUGGAGAUACAAAAAGAGAUAAAAGAAUACAGAUUACUCUGUGAUUUACUGAAAUUUGCAAUAUGAGAUUGUAUGCUAAUAAAACAAUCAAACAACGUAAUGAUGAAAUUAUAUGCUAAUAAAACAAUCAAACAUAGUAAUGAUGAAAUUAUAUGCUAAUAAAACAAUCAAACAUAGUAAUGACGAAACGAAAUCAAAAUUGAAGCUUUGCCUAUUUAGUAUAGUAGUUAACUUGAAGUGUCCAGGUAGAUAGUCAUCUAGAUUUCAUGCCUAGAUGCUUUAUAUUCUACAAGAGAUGAAAUGACUUCAAGCGGUUGUUUCUUUAUCUACUAUAUGGUCCAUUCGCAUUGAAAUAACACCUAGGCACUAUUUACAGCGAUUGGUGAGUAUUCAUUGAACCGAUUAACCAGGUAGAUUCUAUGAAAUCCUCGCUGAACAGUUAUUAUGACGCUGUAGGCUUACCUUUUACCCAGUAAGUGCUUGUUUGGCCUGGCUUCUCCUUCUGCUUCAGCUGCAGCCGCCUCUCAUAUAGCAUUUGGCGAACAGAGAAUUUUGGAGCUUCUAUUUUGGGCUGUGGCAGGAAGCUAAAAUGUUAUUCUGGUGUAAGCUUUGCUUGAGCUUCUGCCUCUGCUUCUGCUUCUGCUACAGAGAAGCUGUUGUAGAUAUUUUGGACGAACUAGCUGUUAAUGCUUCCCUAAUAUCACUACUCAACUGGCACUCCAUCAAUUGACACUGCACUCUCCAACAGGGUCAAACAAGCUCUCAGUCAGUCCACUCGUGAUUUUUGUUUGUUUUACAACUAGGACUAGGAUUGCAAAUGAGUGAUAGCACUUAAAUUUUUGUCUCGUUUUCUUUGGCCCAAGUGGGUCUGGGGUCUUAAUCUCUUUUUUUAUAUUUUGCUAUUAUGCAGAUCAUAUUCCUUAUGUUGAGUACGGCGAUUAUGUGGCUUUCAACAGUGAGAGAGGAGGGGUGAUCGAAUGCUUAAAAGAAGACAAAAUCGUGGACCUUGACAGCUCAAAACUUGCGAGCCAUCUAAUUCCUGAAUUGUUAUCUACGAAAGCGAUGGUCACUUCAUGGCUUGCAGAUGCAGUGCAGUAUGAACUAUGGGUGGCCAUCGAUCGAAGUGUUGCCCAUAAAAUAUACUUCUCUGAUCUUCCUUGGCCAAUUGGAAAGGUUCUUCACUGGAAAAAAUCUAGAGAAGUGAAACAACUACUCAGUAUAACAAAUGUCAAUGCUGAAGAAAAAGCGGAAGAGGUCUCUGUCCUACUUUCCUUUAUAACAGAAAUACUAUUCAUUUAUGAGAUUUCACACACAUACACACACCAACUAAUCUGUUUACUUUUAUAUAUAUUUGUAUCCUUGCAAAAUUCGAAUUUUCGCAUAUGCUUUUUGGAACCAUUAUUUGUUACAUAUAUGCCCUUGUUUCUAGAAAAUAUUCGCCCUUUGAUAUGAUCUUUUUAGUGUAAAAUCAGCUUCCUGCAUAAUUGGAUGACUUCCAAUAUAAGGGUAUCUUUUGUGAAGAAACUGCACUUUGAGGGAAAUAUAUGAAAAUUUAAAUUAAUAGGAGUAAAUAGAUGAAUUCGUAAUAUAUACAUAAAAACCCCUACAAUUUGUUAUCUUUUGUCUGAGAUAUCAGUUGCUAUCUUCAAAGCGAGUCAUUUUGCAGGCAUGGAAAAGCUUGCUUAAUUGUCAUCUAUGAUUAUCCAUGGAUGAUCAGUAUCCCCGUCUGAUCUCCAUAUCUUAAUUUGUUCUGUCUAAUGUCUUUUUAAGUGUUUCUCCAGUGCUUUCAAGAAGUGUCAUAAUAAAGUAACUUUAUAAUGAUUCAGUUGUGAUUUCUUCAUGCAACAGAUUUAUAGAAACGCGAAUUCGGCUUACGAUGCUUUGUCUAUGAGGUUAGGGGAUCAGGUCUUUUUCUUCGACAACAGGUACUUGUGAAUUGUCGGAUUGUGUCUAUUCGUAAUUCUUUUUCUCACCAUCAGGAAUUGAUGUCAUUGAACUGCAAUAGUUAACGACAAAGUUUUAUUUCAUUCGAUGUUAAUUUGCGGCCUUUUACACAGGCCCACAGAAGUGGAUGCUCUUUUCCUUGGACAUGCGCUUUUUGUCCUCCACGUUUUGCCGGUAAAUUCCUGGUUUCUAUUUACAGAUAUCAUCUUAUCUCAUAAGCUGCUACUUUUAUUUUUUGGGGUUGUCAGUUACAUACUAAGUUUUAAGUAUUUUUGAAAAGCUUUAACAGUCCAUCAUUAUUGUUGGACCCCUGGACCCCCUGGACCCCAAUUGAUAAUCCACUUAUUUCUUCUUGAUUUAGAUAACUAAAACUAUUUAGAAAUGAAAAUUAAUUAUGUUGAGACAUGGAGAGUCCUCUUACCUAUUCAUUAAGACAUUGCAAAGCAAACAUCACAUAAAGUACUACUAGUCUGCUAUUGAUUGCAAAAUGUAUGGUUGGGGCUUCGACCUAUUCUAGUCAAAACCUGUACAGACCAAACUUCAUAAAUUCCAAUACUCCUAAAGCAUAAAACUGGGUAAAAUUGUAUUUGGCCGUCAUAUUCAAUUUUCGAUUUUAGCCUCCAUUUUCGGUUAUCUGAUUUCUUUUUUUUAUUCUGAAAAUAACCUUCUCGUUUAGGAUACCUCUGUGCUUAGGAGCAAUCUUUUGAAGCACGAGAAUCUAGUAAAAUACGCUGAGCAUCUUAAGGUUGAUUUGUUGGAGAACGGCUCGUCGUCGUCGUCGUCAUCACUACCAAUACCCCCAUUCGAAACAUCAACAUCAUCGACGCCCAGAAGAAGGGCCUCCCCUGGAUGGAGUAAGUAAAAAAGCAUUAUCUGUUUAAGAAUUUUCCUAUAUUUAUACACCCUAGAAAUAUGUAAGAUUGCGCAAAUACCCUUGAAUACUUUGUCAUGCCUGGGGUAUCUAUACCAAAAUGAUUUUGCGUAGAUACCCUUGGCAGGACAUGUCCGCUAUUAAACAAGGCCAACAAAUGGCGAACUUUGCAGCAGUACUUGCAUAAUAUUUUGGCAUAUUUGCUAGGUAUGCGUGAAAUGAAAAACCCUUUCAUAAUUGCUAAUUUUAUGGCAAAGCACUUGCUUAUGUUUUAAUUUAAUGCAUGCCACCCGAACCAUUAAAGAAAUCAAUUUCACAUCUGCAACUGAACAUGUCUACAAUUACAAUUCAGAUCUCCAGAUUCUUUCAGCCUAACGUAACCUAUUUAUCUGCAAAAAUACUUUGCACGAAAUUACUUUCUUUUUUGGAGUUACUUUAUUGCAUAUCUCGAUGUUUCCGUCAGAUAUUUUAGGUUCAUUAAGUGUUAGACCAAUCGACUUUUCAUCCAAUACAUUUCUCUACUUCCUCCAUUCUAUAAUGGCCUCACUAAACUGCUUCUCCAGGCUCUAAGCCAAAACCGAAAACCAAAAGAGAGCGAACAGAGGAAGAGAAAACGUUCCGAAGAAGAGCAAAGUAUUUCCUCGCAGCACAGUUAGCCGCGGUUCUUGUAUUCCUAUCCCUCAUGGGAGGGGCUGACAGCUCCGAGCUCGACAACGGCGAUGAUGAGAUGGCCUACGAAGAAGAAUAGAAUCUUCCCUCUGUUGUAGUACAAUUUUAUUCGUUCUUGUCAAUUCCUCUGACAAGCAAUAACUUUUCCUUGUAGUGAGGAUUCACUGCCCCCCACCACCGCCGCCGCUUAAACAUUUCCAUAGAUUUUGCGAUUUUAACCAACUCUUUACAUCUGGAUGUUGCUCCGUUGCGACAUAUAUCAUCAUGGGUUUGAGUUACAGAAGCGGUGGCCUCUCGUGGUGAAUCGGAGUAAUGCCGCGUACGAUUCGCCCUUCGGAUAGUGAGUUUUGUGCAUUGGGUCAAGGUCACCCCUUUCUAUUUCUCAUGCUUUUUAGUAGGGUUUUUUAAAUGAAAUUGAUCUUUUGAUGAGCUUUUCUUCAACUUAAUGGGAAGGUCCAUGACUUCAUGUAUCAUGCUACAUGCAUUGAAUCUUCUUUUUAUACAUGGAUAGCAAAAUGCUCCCUACUUUGUUAGCUCUAUAAAUAUUCAUGCUUUACUUUGCAGAAAACAGAAUUUGCUUCUUCUUUGAACUUCUUUGAACAAAUAUAAAUUCUCAAUAUGCACAUAACAAAGGCCAAAUUACACUUUGGCUCCUAUAAUUAUAAACGCAUGCGGCACUAUUUCUCAAACUUUAAUUUGUUGUAAUUUCCAGUUCGAAUGUUUUAAAUUGUUGCAAUCAAAUCUCACAAGAUAAUUUAGCUGACUAAAUAUUGAUGCGUUGUUAAUAUAGAAGUAAUAUAACAAUGUACACAACAUUGAUGAUUUGAUAAUCAAAUGUACAAUAUCUACUACAUAGUACAACAUUGGAAUCAUGCUAACAUAGCACAAGAACACCACCACUGGCCCAAAUAUACCCACAAUAAAAUGUAUUUUAUCGCGACGACAAGUUCACGGCAAACACCAUAUACAGUGUUGCUGAGGGGCUUCUAGAUGUAGUAUGUAUUGCUUAUUAGGAGAAAGUCUACUGUAUCACACUUGCACCACAUAAUCAGUAACAAGUCAACCAUAUCUCUCUAUUUAAGAGAAAAGUACAAUAAAAAUAUGUUUCUAUUAAUCAUGAUGGGAUGUAUCUCAUUGGUUGAGGAUACUACAUCAGUAAUAUAUUCGGUGCAUUCUAAAUUCUUUUGCUUAUCAAGGCGGCAACGCCCGAUAAGAGGAGGAUGGAUGUCGCGGCCAUCAUGGUUGAGCCCAUAAUCGCGUUUUGCGGGGCUUGCACGGCGAGCAUGCUCUUCUUCUCAUUUUCCUUAAAAAGAUGCAAUGUUAGAGGUUAAUAAGAAACUUAAUGACCAUAUUAGUUAUAUUUCGUAAAUAAAAGAGCAUAAAUAUGGUAAAAAAAAGUUAGAUUUCAAUGUAUCUCAUAGUCUUCUAGUAAAGAUUUGUCCAUCUUUAAUAUCACUUUCUAUUAUGGAACUCUUUAAGUAACUGUACAAACGCAGGACUAGCAACUCUAGCAUAGCUUGUCGCAUUAUUGUGGAAGUAAGAUUCAACGUACUUUGACUAAAUUCAAUGCAUCUUCUCUUUUUUACAGUAAAAGCAUAUAACAUCACUUUCUAUUGCCAAACUAUGAUAACUAAAAAAGUAGCAGCAAGUCUAACAUGACUUGUCGCACUGCUUUUUUUUAUUUUAUUUUUGUUGAACUCAAAUUUAUUGUAUUUGAUCAGAUUCAAUAUAUCUUUUUUUCUUAGUAAAGUGACUAUUUUUAGUGAUACUUUUCAUUGUCGAACUCGAAUGAUGGGACGAGUGCGAGACUAGCAUGACCUUUUCAUGCUUUCUAUUAACAUGAACUGUUGCUCCAGUAGUAUCCGACUUUUCAUUUACAUCGCACUGCUUUUUUUUUUUUUUUUUUUUGUUAAACUCAAAUUCAAUGUAUUUGAUCAGAUUCAAUGUAUCUUUUCUUUUAAUAAAAUGACUAUUUUUAAUGGUACUUUUCAUUAUGGAACUCGAAUGAUGGGACGAGUGCGAGACUAGCAUGACCUUUUCAUGCUUCCUAUUAACAUGAACUGUCACUCCAGUAGUACCUGACUAUUCAUUUACAACAAGAAUGAAAUCUCUUUUUUUUUGUGGUCUCUUAUUUGGGCUUUACGUUAGUUUUGAAUCUAAUCAUGCCAUUGCCAUUGGUUAUUUUUGUUCUUGAUAAGUUUGGCAUAGCAUACUUUUACCAAAAAGGCUAAAAAAUCACUUGUUAGGGGGUGAUAAUUAUGGACUAGAGCAAGUGGCAAAGAGCUUGGUGGUUGGUACCCGAGACCUAGGUUCGAAUCCUAGUUGAUUCACAUUUCCAGCUAAGUUUAUUUCUAAAUGAAAUAAACGAAGGGGGUAGCGUACUACCUAUCUCUCAAAAAAGAUAAUUAUGGACUAGAUUCCAUAACACGACCUAAAUACGAUUGAAUCUAUUACUAUAUACUAAAAUCCGUGGAGAUAUAGUAUUAUGCUAUCACGUGUCUGUGAACUGUUUUUGGUGCACCAUAGACCAAAGCCAGCGGAGUUAUGUUAUUGUGCUGCCACAUAUUCACAAGCUAUAUAUCUUCGAUGCACCUAGUGCACCAUAGAUCGUUGAUUGUGGACAUAUGUAUAGUCCAUGGGGGGAUCUUAGGCGUAUCUAUUAUAUAUAUAUUUUUCUAUAUUAAAGAAGUGCACCGUAAACCACCCUCCCCUCCUCUCUCUCUCCCUACCUAUAUAUAUAGGGUUUUAAAAUUUUAUAUUAUAAAAUUUUAAAUUUUGGGCAUCGAAAUUUUAAAUUUUACAAUUUAUAAUAUUAAUUACCAAAUUUUCAACUUCAAAAAUUAAAAUUUUAAAUCCCUAUUGUACUUUCUCUCUUAAUUUUUACUUAAUUUUAAUGUUCAUAUAUUUUUUUUCUCUCACCGAGAAAUGUGCAUACUGCUUUUCUCUCUCCCUUAGUUUAAUUUUUAAUUUAAUGCUCUCUUUUUUCUCUUUUCCCAAACAAAAAAUAUGAAUCUUUAAAACAAUUUUAAACUUGAAUUUAAUUAUACAUUUUUAAAAAUCUUUAAUUUUUAUUUUUUAUAUUAUGAUUAAAAUAUGCUAUAUUUGUAAGUUUGAAAGUGCUCUUUCUCUGACUUUAAUUUUUAUUUAAUGUUCUUUUCUCUCUAUCCAAAUAAGAGAUAUAUAUAAAAAUUAGCAGUUUUAUUUGACUCUAUUAAUGACUUUACAUAACAUAUAAUAUAAUAAUUAUGAACUUAAAUAUCGCACCUGCUGCAAAGUGCGGGUACAUUGCUAGUACAACAUGAAGUUAUUGAGAAAUAUCUGAACUCAACAACACUAAACAUUAUGUAUUGUUGACCCAAAAAUUAGCACAACAUGGGAAUCAUUUUUGGUAUAUAUAACUUAGGUUGGAUGAAAAUGACCAUUAUUGAAUGAUCGAGCUAUACAUCACAAUUAACAAAUACAUUCUCCCUAUUAUAAAAAAAACAAAAAAAUUAUUAAGGGCCUCUUUGUCCCUGCUUCUACUCUGCAAUGUAGUAAUGUUUAAAGUAUUGUUUGAAUAAUAUUAAGGGCCGUCUGGUUAUAUGUAAUUAUAGAUGCAAUGUAAUUGAAAAUGUAUGCAGUUGUAAUUACAUGCAUUUUAUUUAGUUGGAUAUAAUAGAAAGCGCUACAACUACAAAUAAUUUAUUCGGUUGAAUGUAGUUGAGAAAUAAUUUUUGAACUUUUAUCGUUUUAUAUAUAUGAUGAUGAGAUUACCUUAAAUAUAAAAAAAAAAUUUAUUUUUAGUUAAGAAAUAAUUAAAGAAGUAAGCUUAUUUUUUACUUAAAGUUACUCUCUCCAACUGCUGCAGUUGAAACUGUGGCCGAGUUGAGUGUAGUUCCAACUGUGCUACAAUUAGACCUCCUAUAGUUCCUACUGCAGCAAUUGAAAUUAAAUACAUCAAACCAAACACCAAAUUUAUAUCUGUAUAUAGUUAUAACUGCCGUGCAUUUACAACUACAUGCAACCAAACGGCCCUUAAUAAAAGGAGCACUUCAUCAAUGUAACAACUGGCCCUAUAAUAGAAGCCAAGGCUUUUCAAAAUCAGACCUAUAUUUAGAGCUCGAAAUCUCAUUUCCUUUCCCAUUUCUUUUUCCACUAUAGUAGUAUUUUUUAAGCUCUCUAUUUGCCAAAGAGUCAGUGCCACUGAAAGCAAAAGCAGAAGUAAAAACAAGGCUACAACAAAAGUAGGACACACAGACACCAAGUACAUACUGUGCUGUUUACCAAAUACAUAUCUCUUCUGUUUGACCGCACUUUUACUUCUGCUCUUGGCGACAACCGCCUAUAAACACAUUUGCAAGUAGAAAAAGUUUGAAGCCUUUUGCGGCAAAAAACUAUAAUAACCAAUAAGCUCUAGUAGUUUUAGUUCAAUAAUUCCAAACAAAAUUAGUAAUAAGCAUAAAUAAAAGUGUAACUUCACAAAAAGAAUAUGCCAUUGCAAUUGCAAUAUCACAUGAUUCCAGAGAAAAUACCGCAUUAAAUUUCAAAUAAAUUCAAGAGUGAACAGACCUAAACUUAAUUAACUCAGUCAAAAUUGUCAUUCAGCCCUUACUUUGAAACAGAAUAUAUCGGCAAGCGCACAAAUAGAAAGAGGUUGAUAAUCAUUAACAAUGGUUUAUACAAGCCAAAAUUGCUGUGAAGUAAAUUUAAAUUAUUAUUAGAAACCUAACAAAACUCAAGAGGAUGCUUAAUUUUCCUCCCAAAAACCUGAAUAUAUAUCAUAAUAUACAUGUCAAUAACCUAUAUCUGUAUAAGGAGGCAAAAAGGAUGAGAACUUGAAGAACACAUUGAGACAUGGAGACAGUUCAAACCUAUCGGAGUCUGAGGGGAUGGUAAUAGCAAUUCUGCACUUCUCAGAGCCGAACCGCAAGAAAGUUAACAAAUAGUGAUAUAACCAAGUAGAAUUGGAUGUCCGUUCCUAGAGGCUUAGUUUAUAUAGAGGCCUUUCGCAUAUAUAAACCCUGCAAAUAUGAGAGAUCGGCAAAUACCCUAGCAAAGUGGGUAUUUGCACGCGCGCCUCUAAAAACUGUCUUUAUUUGGAUUUGCUUCCAUAUGUGUGAAAAUGAUUGUUGCAUGAAUACCCAUGGCGAAUACCAAUUUCGCAGAAGCGGUUGAGCACUUUUGCAUAACUGCAGGGUGUGUAUAUGCAAGAGAAUGGGAAUCCUGCAGAUACUCAGCAUUCUAUCCGCACUGCACCGCUCUCCGAAGUAAUGAACUUAGGCUUUCUGACCACCCGUUCCAAGCACUGAAUAAUAUCCCCAACACGAAAAUCGUCGCAGUCCUGGAUAACCAAUCCACAGUCGCUACCCUUCCCGACAGCUUCGACAUCCUGCUUCUCUCGCUUUAGAGACGCACACGAGCCCUCGAAAACCACUUCUCCGCUCCUCAAUAGCCGCAUCGUCGCGGAUUUAGUGAAGCGGCCAUCCGUUAUCCGGCAACCCGCAAUUUUGACAUCCGGCCCUUUCGACUUGCUGCGGCCUUUGAGCUCAAAGAUACUUAGAACCUCGGCCUCACCAGCUACUUGAGUCUCGGAAGUCCCCGGUGCCUUUUCAACAAUCAGUUUGCCGAUAUCCUCCAAGAGAUGGUAAAUUACCCUAUGCAGGCAUAUCUGGAACAAAAACAAUAAAAAAAAAAUGACAAUAAGAUUACUAGGGAUAAAAAAGAAGAAAGCCUAAUUCCAGCCACAUCAUGCGCUUCAAACUUCUUUAACUCUGCAGAAAUGAUAAGCAAUCAAUGCCAAUCUUCCGAAGCAAUUAAUCUUCAUUUGUAUUGCAAAAAUUACCAGUUUACAUUAAUACCUUCUCAUCAUAGUAGUUCCAGAUUCCUAAUACAACUAUGAAAAUCAACAUGAGUAGCAAAAGCAGCUAGAAAUGUGAAAAUUAUACCCACAGAAUCAAAUGAGUACCUUAAUUUUGGCCUGAUUGCAAGCAAGACUGAUGGCGCUUGGAGGAUUGCGAAUGUUAAAACCAACAAUGCAUGCGCCACAAGCUUGGGCCAUAUCAAUAUCAGAUUGGCCUAUAGGACCCACGCCAACAUGAACAAUAUUCACAAAAACCUGGACACAGAAAAAAAUCAAACAGGGAAAACAAAUUUCCAUACAAAAUGCGUAAAAGCCGUUUACUUCUUAGCACGCUCAAACACAAAAGGAUGCUUCUAUGGCUCCAUAAGGAGCAAAAAUAUAAUAAAACCUAGAAUAAAUUAUAUAAACAAUUAUCCACAAAAGACUAAUGAGAUAUGGAUUAACAGUACUCGAUCUUGAUAAUCAGUUAGAAAAUGUGAACAUGCAAAACCUUCACCAUACAUCCAUUCAACUCAAAAUAGUGUAUCCAUUAUAAGAUAACGGCAAUAUGACAUGUUUGAUAUCUAAGACUAUGAGACACUAACAAAGGAAACGAACCAAACCUCAGUGAACAGCCAUGUACCAGAAAGGUUUAGACUGGGUGUCUGAACUUUAAACCUUUCGGUCUUCCUAUAUAAUGGUACAGCAUGUUUGCGUACCGUUUCCUCAGAACAUAACAGUACUGGAAACUCUUUUGACAGAAUAUUCUGACUCCUAAACCAAAUUCUGUUACUUACUGAAGUAAUCUAAAACUUUUUAACAGAAACUCUUAGAAUACUGAGAGAACUCGACAGAUUUUCUGAAACUAAGAGUAACAAAAGGUUAGGUAAUAAAUAACAUCUGUUAAAACUCCAGUAUCACUCUUAAAAUGACCAACAGGUUAUAAAAUUAUUCAUAGAAUGUACUGAUGAUUAGUACCAGAAAUAUUAAAUAAGAUCAACAUCUUUCACACAGAGUUUGGAUAGUUUAGCACAAUUAGCAAGUACCUGAGGGCUAUUAAGACUUCUCAAUGCAUCCGUAACUGCUUGAACGGUACCUUGUACAUCAGCUUUUACAAUAAUCGGCAACUCAACCCUUUUAACAGGCUCUUCUUCUGAAUUUUCUGGCUCGUCCUCCAUCUUCUCCUCGUUAAUCUUUUUUCUAACCUUAUCUUUCUCCAACUUCUUCUUCCUCCCUUGACUAAGAAUUCUUGCCCUUUCUUCAGAAUAGACAACAACAACAUCGUCACCAGCCAUCGGAAGACCUCUCAGCCCUUCGAUCUCAACUGGUGUUGAGGGGCAUGCAGAAUCAGUUAUAACUUCCCCCAUCAUAUCCCUAAUCGCUCUUAUCUUCCCCCACUCCGCACCUACAACAACAUACUGCCCACACAAUAAAGUCCCCGACUUGACAAUAGCAGUAGCCAACGGGCCUCUACCCCUAUCGAGUCUCGCUUCCACCACAUAGGCUUGUGCUGGCCCAUCAAUUCGGGCCUUAAGGUCCAUCAUCUCAGCCUGCAGAAGCAAAGCCUCUUCUAACUUGUCCAAACCACUUCUUUUCACGGCAGAAACCUCAACAACCUGCACGUCACCGCCCAAAUCCUCUAGCAAAACCCCUUCUGAACCAAGCUGAAUCCUGACCCUUUCAGGAUCGGCUGCUGGCUUAUCGCACUUGUUUAUUGCAACCACGAUCGGAACAUUAGCUGCUUUUGCAUGGGAAAUGGCUUCCAAGGUUUGAGGCAUGACACCAUCAUCAGCUGCAACAACAAGCACUACUAUAUCGGUGAUGGCAGCCCCUCUCGCCCGCAUGGCACUGAAGGCGGCAUGGCCUGGGGUGUCUAGGAAUGUGAUGGAGGAGCCAGAUGGCAUGCUGACAACAAAAGCACCCAAGUGUUGGGUAAUCCCACCAGCUUCCUUGGCUGCAACGGAUGUUUGGCGUAGGGAGUCAAGUAGUGAGGUUUUGCCGUGAUCAACAUGGCCCAUAACUGUCACAACAGGUGGUCGCGGUUGGAGCACCGCGCCUUCGUCAGAAUGUAACCUUCGAACAUUGACCCCUACUUCCUAUGAAAGAAAUGAUGAAUGCAAUAAUAAAUAUGAUUCCAAUAUCCCAUCAUUUAAAAGGAAAAGCAUGGCAGAGAUUGAUAAAAAGGCCAAGUUUUUAUUUUUUUAAACUAUAUAGAGAGAGACCUCCUUGACUACAGACCAAUUUCAAAUAGAUCCCUCAAGUCUUCUCCACUUAUGCUUAUUUGAGUUGAGUGAAGUGAGGAUCCCAUUAAUUUCACCCUGCGUGCCAUUUUAUCCGGCAAAACUGUAGAUUUGGUUAACAAAUAUCAACCGUUAGCUAAUAGAGACAUUAAUUUUACACGAAAUCACUAAUUCAACCUAUAGAAGUCAGUAAUCAAAACUAGCAAGGAAUGUCAAUCAAAAGAAAUAAAGUUGGGAACUUGGGAGUCUUCUUCAAAAUGGGCUAUCGCUUAGGAGGUCUCUAUACAUUAUAUCUUUUCAUUAUAAUCAAUACUUGAACAUUAUAUGUAGCAUAAGAAAUCGUGGCAAAUUGAUCCAGCUAGUAACAGUUUUCAGCGAAUCAAGUAAUGAAAAAAGGGGAAGUUGACUCAUACCAUCGCAACCAACUCAGCAACAUCGAUGCUGACGGCAUCAAACUCCGAGUCAACUUUUUCACCAACAUUUAUGAGUAUGUCUUGAAUUGCGCUGAUAGUUACACCAGUUCGCUUAGCGAGCUCAAGUAUUGUCAUUCCUUCAAAAAUUUCAAUGGUUUUAUCUGGAGAGGAUUUGGUAGGUAAUUUUGGUUUUGGGGGAACAUAUGGUGCUUCAACAGGUGCUUGGGUCCUAUUUUCUUUUCUGACUCGUUUCUCUUUUUUGGGCAUUUUUAAGCCAGGAGCUUCUUCCGUUUGCCUUCUCCAUGCUAACAGAUCGAGACUUGCAUGAAAGCUCCUAUUUUAAGGAAACAUUGUCACCAUAUGUCAGAACUAUUUCAGUCCGAGAAAAUGGUACAAAAAUGGUCUUUGGCAUAUAAAUACCCCCUGCAAAUAUGUGAAACUGCACUACCCUAGAAAAAUUGGUAUUUGCAUAUGAGACCUUGAGAAUUGUAAUUCAUUGUAUUCAUGCCCAUCCGUUGCAAAUAUGGAAAAACUCUUUUUGUACAGAUUUUUCUAGAUGAGGCAUGCACUGAAAUAAGUGAGGUUCUAAGUGGUAUACUCGUAUGUUUGCAAAUACAAACUUUGAAGGGAUAUGCACAAUUUCUGAAGUUUUGUGAAAAAGUAAUCUUAGUAGUGUAACUGUAAAAAAUGCCAGCAGAAAACUCCAAAUCGGAAAUCUCAAAUUAUGCAAGGACUCUGACCAACUAAAAUCACGCGACAAUGUUUGCAUCUCAAGCUCUCCAUUAGCUGUCAAUAAUAAUAAUUUUAAAAAAAAUCCUGAUGUCUAUUAUCCUGAUUAGAGUUUAGUUAUAUUCCUAAAUUAACUUGAGCAACAGUGGUAAUACUCUCAAACAUUAUGAUGUUACAUAUUAAAAUAAAUAUUCCUAUUUUCAUGAUUCUUCAUUAUGUUAUAAUUAUGGCCUUAUUGGCCCCGCUUUGAAACAACUAGUCCACUUGAGAAGCAAAAGCCAAGUGUUCAAUAAUUUAAAAUCUAGAGUGUCUAGCAAGAGCAGGAAGCCACUAUGGGUAUGUAGACCCUAAAGCAGAGGUUCAAAUCUGAAGUGUAAACUUCCAGCUUCGUUCUAAAAGUUAUUAAAAUGAUCGUAAUUAAAUGUUGUUAAGAGCUUCUUUGGACAGCUCCACUGACUACUCAAACAUCACUUUGCAACCAAAUAAUUUACAAAAGGAGAGGAUGUAAAAACAUUCCCAUGUUUUGGCACUGAGCUGUAUCCAAUGCUCUUCUCUACUCUAAUAAUACAAAAGAGUAAUAAAGGUGGCAUACCAAUGCAAUUUCAGUAGCGGAGUUAGUUUUCAAAGUCAAAAUGCGACACUUUGCAACCAAAUAAUUUACAAAAGGAGAGGAUGUAAAAACAUUCCCAUGUUUUGGCACUGGCAGUUGUAUCCAAUGCUCUUCUCUACUCUAAUAAUACAAAAGAGUACUAAAUGUGGCAUACCAACGCAAUUUCAGUAGCGGAGUUAGUUUUCCAAAGUCAAAAUGCCAUGAUUACUUUGUGUAAAACAAAAAAAGAGUAUAUAUUUUAUUUAAAGCAAGAACGAAUGUAAUAAACAUUUAUAUGAGCAACACACAGGUGAACACACCGGAUAGUGGAAUUGUUACUCAAAACCUUAUAACCAGCAGCACCGCGAUGUCUAAGUUGGAUAAAAAUAUCUGCAACACAGUAAACAGUAUAAUAUAGCAAUUCAGACUAUGUUCCUGUUAUUUGAAUUAUAUCUGUAUGGGAGAAUAAAUAAGAUCAUAGGUGCUUAAUUCUGAUAGCUAAAUCCAGUAAGUAUUCAGUAGCUCGCCUGGCAAAUUUCUAAGAGAACUGGAGGGAAAUCCCUGAGUUGUAAAGGGAGAGACAUUCAUUAAAUAUGCAUGGAAACCCUGAAAAAGGGACAACAAAAGAAAAUGAUGACUUUUCCUCAAAGCAAAAAAGCAGUUUAAGUAAUCAACUGUCAGAGUAUUACAAGAGAAAUAUCAACAGGAUGACAAAAAGGUACACUGACCAAAGGUUGCACAAGAUCAAGAAAACUCCACACAAAAAUCAGACCCUGCUUCCAGAUCAAGGACUUUAUUUAAUCUGGAAAGCCUUAGAGUUGCACUUGAUAACAUAUGCUUUCUUAUUGUUCUCACAUAAGUAAAUUUAAAAGUGUGGUUUACAUGCAUAUUCUGGCAAAAUCAUCAGUUUAUAUGCAUACCACUGUAGAAUCCAAGCAACCUCUAAAGUGCAGCUUCUUACAAAAAUUCGCUAUCUUAUCUUGAAGAUUUAACCAACUUAAAGGGGAAGUUGGUAUAGUUUUAUUUGCAUUUUUGUAAGUUUUUUAAAGGCAUAGAUGAGCUCAAAUUUUCAAAUGAUAUGUGUAUACAAGUGUACAUGCAUGCGUGUGCAUAGAUGGUUAUACAGGAGUAAUCUCAGGGUAGUUCAAUAAUCAGAUUUUUCCAACAAAAAAUUCGAAUUUGAGCUUUACUAAAUUACACAUUGGUGUAUUAACUGACUAUACAGAGGAAAGAGACAAAUUCUAAUAGGAAAAGUCCAACUGACAACGUAAAGAAAAGGAGGUCUCCAGAAAGUAAAUCUUGUGAUAUACAAUAUCAUCUUGGCCAAAAAGAAAAAACAAUAAAAAGAAGAAGCAUAUAUAGUUUAACUUCCUUUUCAAAAGUCAGUAAUCAGACCAAGCUGGAUAUGGAUGAAGUGUGCAAAAACUUUAUCAUACUGGUUUUCCAAAACAAUUUAAUAACUAAAAUCUACAUGUGAAUUGUGAAGCAAAUCUAACAUAAUUGUCAAAGAGCGACAAGCUAACCUUUUUCCUUAACACCCUCCAGGCCAUUACUUCGUGUGUGCUUUACGCUGGAUAAAAAGAUGGAACAAAAUGAGCAUGAGAAGAAUAAGCCACAAUUAUUCACAAAACAUUCAAAAUAAAAGAAAGCUAAAAAGCAUACAAACCUUAGCUGAACUAUAUGGUAUUUCGCAAUUAUACUUGAGUUUCAAAAGCUUUGGUCGUAAUACCUAAUAUUGCAAUAUGUGUAAUUUACAUACCUCUCAAUCAGAAUUUAAUGGUCUGCUGAAUCCUUUUCUAACACCAAAUUCUUUAACCAAAAAGAAUAUUCAGGUACUUGGCAGAACAUUAUUUUACCCAAUGUUCAGGUUACGUUUGGAUGUUUUUAUCUUAAAAAAAUGCAGGAAAAAUAGCUGAAAUAUGUAGGAUCUGGCAUUAGAAAUAGAUGUCGCAAUGUCCACAUUCAAGUUCUUCUCUUCUUAAGAAACCUUUCAUACUUUUGGUUCCUACAUUAGGCUUAAAGCCUAAGAAGUGGCUACUCCAUUUGAGAAAUAAAUCAUAGAAAAUUAGGUAAAAAUGAGAGAAAUAGCCCCCUCAAAUUUAUUUAUUUAUUUUUUUUAUUGUCGCCACCUUAACUUCUGAUUUUUUUUUUUUUUUGAAUUGAUUUUUUCUAGUUGGUCAAGUUGAAAAUUUUGUUAAUUUAGCUACUCUGUUAGCUAUUACCUGUUAUUUGUUCCAGUUCCAUUUACUAAGCAUGAUUAAAACCAGUAAAUUUGAUGGAAUCACUGAUCAAUUUAGUAAAAAAAUCCCCAAUUUAAUUCACCAAAAUCAUUCAAUUCAAAAAAAACAAAUCAAAAGUUAUAGGGGAAUGAAUAAAAAAUAUUAAAUUGGGGAUUUUUUUACUAAAUUGAUCAGUGANCCCUAAUCACUUCGCAAAUAAAAAUGAGCUUCCUUGUGCUGUUCGUUUCAAAGCGUAUCACGUAGAUUAAUGCAACCCUAACAGAGUAUCAGGGAUCCGAAGAAGAAGAAGAAGAGAGAUUAGAUGAAGCUGCAACGAAACCCUAACAAGAUGCAAUACCUGGGAAUCGAAGAGCGCCAAGAAACCCUAGCGCCUCACCAGGGCCUCUGCAAGUUGGAGAGGUUGUCGAAACCCUAGCGCCCCGUUCGCCUUGCCGCGAGAGAGAGAGAGAGAGAGAGAGAGAGAGAGAGAGAGAGAACCUCAGAGAUAGAGAGACGCGCACGUAGCGAAGAGAGAGAGAGAGAGAGAGAGAGAGAACCUCAGAGAUAGAGAGACACGCACGUAGCGAAGAGAGAGAGAGAGAGAGAGAGAGAGAGAGGAGAGAGAGGGGCUUUUUAUCGAAUAAACACCUGUACAAAUUCUUAAUUUUUGAUGUGGUCCCCGUAAAAUAUCUAAUGGAUCGAAAGAUUCGAAACACAUGAAACUAACCUUAAUUGGACAUAUUCAAACUAGCCCCUAAACUUAUCUCGAAUUUUAUCUCGAUCCUUGCAUUUCUAUUCAAUGCCAAUUUUUCUUUUAACUUUUAACAAUAUUUCACUUUAGCUUCAUAAUUUUUACUGAUAUUUUAUUUUAAUUCUUGCUUUCAAAUUUUUUUUUUUGGCUUAUAUUCAAUUCAUUUGUAUAUUUUUACACUAUGAAUAUAUCCAUCUAAUAAUUUUAACUUAACAUCUCAAUUUUUGAAUAGAGAAUAAUGUAAUUAAAAUAUAAAAUAUAGUAAAAAAUUGAUUCCUGCACGAAUAUAAAGAUAAAAAAUAAUUAACUAUAUACCUCUCAAAACUUCAAAAAUAUUUAAUUUACUCUUAUUUUUAUUUUUAAUAUAUUUGAAAAGACGAAAAAUCAAAAUACUUCUUUUGCCCCUAACUGAAAGGCAAAUAAAAAAAAAUUAUUAUGGUAAAAAGAUAUAUUUGAAAUGGUCAAAUAAUAAUUUUAUAGAAAUAACCGUUAUUACUUAUACUUUACUGACAGAAUUAAACUGUAUAUUUAAAAUAACUUAAAACGUAAGAAGAGUAUUUUUAAUAUUAGCUUUUUAAAAGGGGUAAAUUAUAAAGUCGAAAAUUUUUCGGGAGUAUAUGAACAAUUGUUCUAGAUCUUAAAAAGUGAGUUAUCAGAUAAUUAAUUAAAAUUAUACACAAAAUUAGAAUAAUUUUUUUAAAAAAAAUAGUAUCCCCAUUUUGAACUUAAAAGAUGAAGGACCAAAAGUAAAAUUAGGCAAAAGUUAAGGGACUAGAAGUACAAUUUACUCGCCAAUUCCAACCGCGAGCUAGGGUCGAGGGUUUAGGGUUUUUCUCAAACCGUAGCGAAGAGGAGACGUGAUCGAGGAGCCAUGGCCUCUCGAGCUCCGCUUCUCUCUCCAACCCCAUCAACCCUAACGUUCUCCCCUUCGAUCCGUCGCAUUCGCCCCACAAAUCUCCCCUUCUCCCCCACUUCCUCUCCCAAUCCCUCUCCCAACCCUAAACCCUACCAAUCCCGCUUCAAUCUCCGCCCAAUCCGCUUCCGAAACCCCCUUCCUCGCUCCUCCGCAGCUCCACAUGGCCGGGACCCUAUCCCGGUCGCCGCCGAGGAGGCGCGGGAAGCCCUCGUCGAUCUCCUGCGCGAAUUCGGAGCCUCCGAAGAGGAUUCGAUCCGUAUCUCUUCGAACUCGCCGAAGUACAUCGACAUGCUCUUGGCGAGCGUUCGAGAGCUGGAUGAUCAUGGCCUGUGGGGUUCGUGGAGCUCUGGAAUCGAUGAGGGAGGAGAAAAGGGGGAUUUAAGUAGCUUUGAUUUGAAGAGCAAGGUGUAUUACAUGGCGAAGAGUAAAGGUGAUAAGGGGAUGCUUCCGUUUCUCGAGAGUGUCGGACUUAAGCUCUCUUCGGCGAUGCUCAUUGCUAGGUACCUUUCGUUGCAGAGUCUUCCGGAGAUCAUCGAUAAGGUAAAGCUCUCAACUUGAUGCUUAUUUCAAGUUGAAUUGAAUUGGUAUGUUAGUUGAUUGGUUUUAUCUGGUGGAUUAAGCUUGGCCUCAGUGUGGUUAUUGCUUCCAUAGAAGUGCUUUUGAGUAGAGUUGUUUAGAAAAGAACUAGUAAUUUUUCGUAAGACCGAAUGCAAAAUCCGUCUACUGCAGUAGAAGCAGAAGUGUAAAUUAAAGUUUUGGGUUUCUGGGUCGUAGACAAUCGUUUUGGCUUCUGACUAGGUCAGAUACUCUUAGACUAUUUGCAUGCCACAUACCAAAUGCCUGGGUGCUGCUUCUUUAGAUGCCAAGUUAAAAGGGGGUGAAACGUAGAACGCUCUUUACCUGCUUAACAGUACCAGAUAAGUGUAUGCAUUCAUCAAGUUAAAUGGUUAAGCGGCUCGUUUCUUCUCUGUUGGGUAUUGUACAUGGGCAUUAGGAGGCUAAAAUUUGCGUUAACCAUAAUUUUCGUUUCUUCUUUUCAUCCUUCCCUGUUUGAGGCUUCUUUCCGCUCUUGCUAUCAUUUUCCUUCAAGCUGGUGAUGACAUCUUUCCAGUCAGGGAUAAGAGAACGAUGGAAUCGUGUUGCUUAUUGUGAUAUUUUUGCAUCUUCUUGCUAUGAUGGAAUUUUGCAAAAUUUGGUGGUUCGGCCAAAAGACCAACUGAAUGUGGCUCUUUGGCUGCCGGAACUAAAUUUCUGUUUAUAAUUACUAUUUAGAACAUCAUGAAGGACAAGAGUAGGCCGUUUAAUCUGUGGGUUACAUACUUUCCUGAUAUUGUGUCUUCACGUCUGUAAGACGCCUUUUCAUUUCUCUUACUUUUUAAAUUAAUAAUUUCAAAGUUUCACCUGGCAUCAUGCUACCCUCUAUAGAAAGAAAAUACAUCACUUUUUGCCUUUUUGGUAAGCUUCUUGUCAUUUUUACUGUUUUGUCCCUGCGAAGAAAAUUUCGCUUGAUGUGCUGAAUUGGUAUGACUUUCCAAGAUUUUAGGUUGGUCAAUGUAUUUGCAUGGUUCUUUCUCUUUUUUAAUUAUUGCGGAUAUUUAUAGGUUAUGUUUGUAAAAGAGAUGUUAUUUUCGAGCAGUGGCAGUGAGGUACUUACAGGAAGAAAUGCUAAACGCAUGAUGCUACACUUCUCAAUACAUGCAGAUGAGGACAUCCAAAGUACUUUAUCGUUCUUUGAAAAGGUAAGCUGCUAUGUUGUUGCAUAACAUGCUUUCUAUUUCUUUCGAAUUCUGAAGGUCUUUACGUGUAUAUACACACCUGGAAUCUCUUCUACGUGUAUGUGCAUGCCACAUCAUGCACAUCGCCCUUAAAAUCUUAACAUCUUAUGUACAUACUCUUGUUCUUAAGACACAGGUAUUAUUUUAUGAAACUGCAAGAUUAAGGUGUAUAUAAUUAUAAGGAAAUUCUGAUUUUUCUAGGGUAUACAGUGAAGAGAUGAUUUUGCUGGAUGUAUAUGUAGAAGCACUUUCUUGCAUAUAGUUUGUGUAAACUUGUUAUCUAUUUAAUCUCUCAUGGUCACACAGAUGGAGGCAAGACAUGGAGGGUUGAACAUGUUGGGGCAUGAAAAUGCCUCCUUCCCGUACCUAAUAGAAUCUUUUCCAAGGCUUCUUUCACGUUCAAAAGAAAAGCAUUUGGAACCGUUGGUCUAUUUUCUAGAAGAUUCCGGUAUUCCUAAGUCAGAGAUUUCAGCUAUUCUCCUGACAUUUCCUCCCAUCCUUUUGUACGAUAUUGAGAGGGAUCUCAAGCCAAGAAUGCACGCACUCGAGAAGGUAUUGACUAAAAGAUGCCCUUUCAACUAUUUUCUUCUCUGGAUUUACUCGUAGGAUAUGUUCUCUGUAUGGAUAAAGGAAAUUUUUAUUUAUCAUGGAGAAUGCUGCCUUUUACUUGUAAGAUGCCAUUUUUUAUGUCAAUUGAUGCCUUUGAGAACGAAGUUCUUACGGCAAAUCAAAUUACCUAUAUCCAUUUCACAUUUGAUGCUUGUUUGUCGUUUAUGUGAUACUAUGAUGUUUGUUUUUUUGAUUGGGCAAGAAAUCAUAAUUUUCUGAAGAAUUGACUAGACAUGGUUAGAAGUUUCCAAGUCAUUCUACAUGGUGUCCUUAGGCUCAUUUCAUAUGUCUCAUUGCUCUAGGCAGGUGUGGAAGAAAAAGACAUUGCUAGUAUGUUGAUGAAAUACCCAUGGAUUCUUUCAACAAGCAUUCAAGAGAACUACUCAGAGAUACUUGCAUACUUCAAAGGAGAAAAGGUAGCAUCAAUUCAAACAACGUUCCUUUUCAAGUCAGUGAGAAUACAGGAGAUCUUUCUUACAUUUAUACAUUUUGUUUAGCUUGCAUUUUUUUGUUCGAUAUUUCCAGUCUACUAUUUCAAUCAGAUGCUAGAUUCUAACAGACAAAAUGUUCAAUAAAAUGACCAUCAUUUAUCUUUCUUGCACACACAUAGCAUCAUUUCAUACUGUAGCAUGGUUAGGUUAAUAAAACUGUUAAUGCCCUAAAACAAUAACUACAGAGGGUAAAGUGGAGCACUUUAAACCCCAGGGUGUUAAGAUGCAAAGGGCCUAUAUAGCAACAGGUUAUUUUUUUGAAGAUUUCUCCUAAUUUUUUGCGCUCUAGGUUUAAGAAUUCCUACUUACGCAUGUUUCUGUUUAUUGCUGGUAAUACUUUUCUAUAUAUUGCGAACUUGCAUUACAUUGCAGUCCUCUUCCUUUCUUUUUUACUUUGCCUUGAUCAUUUAUCUGCUUUUAGUGAAUUGUUUACAUGUCAUUUGAUUUCAGGUUCUUAACUCGAUUGUUGAAAAAGCUGUCAGAAGUUGGCCCCACAUAUUGGGCUGUUCAACUCAAAAGAUGAAGUCAAUCAUGGAGCAAUUUAGUGGUUUAGGUGUUACUAAGAAAAUGCUAGUGCCAGUAAUUACUUCAAGUCCACAGUUGUUACUUAGAAAGCCUGAUGAAUUUCUUCAGGUCUGAAUCGUAUGAUGAUCUAUUUAAUCAUCAUUGGUUAAAUUUUGCGACAUCUACUUUCUGCUUGUGAAAUUUUGUUUAUGCAUUAUAAAAUAUCAUGUCUUUUCAUGUCUCCUGAAUAUGUUUUGUUCUUUUAGGUGGUUUCUCUUUUGGAAGAAAUGGGUUUUGAUCAUAGAAAAAUAGGGAGGAUUUUAUGUCGCUGCCCAGAAAUAUUCGCUGCAAGCGUCGAUAAUACUCUCAAGAAGAAAAUUGAAUUCCUAAUCAAAUUUGGCAUUUCAAGCAACCACCUUCCUCGGAUUAUCAGAAAAUAUCCAGAGCUUCUUUUGUUGGAUAUAAAUAAUACAUUACUACCAAGGUAAUAACAGCAGUAGGAUGAUUAGAUGGAACUCUAAAAUAGUUUGUUUUCAACCUUUGCAAACUUGUGGUGGAUUUGUAGUUGUUUGAUGGUAUUUAUCAAUAUCCUGAUGGUGCUUUUAUGUAUAUCUUUCUCUCUGAAAAUCUUUUUUUUUUUUCACCUAUAUACCUCGAUGAAAUCUGAUAUUUUAGUAGCAAUGUGAAAUCUGCAAAACAUCUUUUCACGUACUUACUACAUAUGUAAAAAAUAAAUUUUCAGGAAUAUGAACAUAUAUAUCUCAUUGAAAAAUUACCUCCCCUUUUUCUUAUCCCUUUCCCCAGGGCCCAAAAUUCAACAAUGAGGUCCUUUCAGAUGAACAUAUGAGGGGCCUUGGAUGCGGACUGUUUAAAAAGUAAACUUUUAAAUGAGCAAAAGGGGUGGUGGACAUUGUAAUUUAAGGACAAAGUGGUAGAAUAUUCUGGGAUGCCGACUUCAUAAGAUCAUCUAAUAAGAGAUCCUCGUAUAGAAUUUUUAUUUCUUUUUCCUUCAUUCAACAAUCAUUUACUUGCCCUAAUUUUUUUUUAUUUUUUUUUCUGUUUGUUGCCCAUGAAUUGCAGAAUGAAUUAUCUAAUGACAAUCGGACUGUCUAGAAAAGAAGUAUGUUCCAUGAUAUAUAGAUUCUCUCCUCUUCUUGGAUAUAGCAUUGAAGUUGUCAUGAAACCGAAGCUCGAAUUCCUUUUGAACACCAUGAAGAGGCCUUUAAAGGAAAUCGUGGAGUAUCCGAGGUAUUUCAGCUAUUCAUUAGACAAGAAGAUUAAGCCGAGGUUUUGGGUAUUAAGAAACCGGAAUGUCGAAUGUGGUUUGAAAGAUAUGUUAUCUAAAAAUGAUGAUGGCUUUGCUGAAGAGUACAUGGGUAUCGGAAGACUACUUGUGGUUCCUUCUCCAGUUCAUAAAGAUAGUUCUUAGUUGGAAACAGGAAAUUACUAAACUUUGGCUCUUGUACAUGUGAAGCGUCUCCUUUUACCCCUAUUCAGAAAGGGUUGCUCAAGGAUGGUCUCCAAUGUUUCUGGCCAAUUGAAAAUCCACCUUGUUUUUUUGGAUUUUACGACUUCAGCUCUCUUUUUUUUUUUGAUUUUUGCAAUUUCGGAGUAAAAUAUUUUAGAGUGCUCCUAGCUGAAAUGAUUGCGCAAAGAUUUAUCGAGGCAGGCUCAUAUGAUUUAUUUUACAACCAAGAAUUUACACCCAAAAUUGCAAAAAUAUAUAAAAAAAAGUGGACCAAAAGUUGCAAAAUCGAGGAAAAGAUGGAUUAUUAUGAAGUGAUCAUCAAGCUAUUAAUGCAAUGGAGUUACAAAAGAUGCCACACCCUAUGAAGUUAUCAUUGAUUAUAUUUCGGCGGAAUACUGGCCUGCUUUGGACUGAUAUUUAUGUUGCAUCAGAUACAAAAGGUAAGGGAAAUUCUUCUCAUUUCUCGUAAGCAUUUGUGCAAUUUGAGUAUUAAGAUUAUUUGCGUUUUAUGGUGCAUUUGCUAUUUUAUUUGUGGUGCUUGAUUGUUUAUCUAAUCAUGUUUCACUUGGUCUACAACUUUCUCUCAGUUUCUCAAGUUUUUCUUGAUAUGUAAUUAUGUAUAUAUCUAAUUUUUUUAACUUUUUGGUAAAUAUAUUGAUAGGCUAGCUCGAAUUUAUUAGACCAACGGUUUUGUAUGAGUGACAUGAACAGAUUAUGCAUCAUACUUAAUCACUAUUCGCGGGUGGAACUUCUCUAUUUAGAGAAGCAGCACUUAUGUUUGGCAAGCAAAAAAUUUGAAUCUUUUGUUUUAGUUGGAAGCUAGAAUGAGUUUAAUAGAUCCAAAUUUGAGCCACGCUGCUGUUGUUACCAAGUUGUUGCUGUACUUUAAUUUUAAAAAAAAAAAAAAAAAAAACCUGUUUCUACUUCUUCGAACAUCUUCUUUACUCAUACAACACUUUUGCAGGAACUCUGUCGGGGCUUAACAAGCCCUUGAUGCGAAAAUAUUGAAGUUCACUUCUCUUUUUCUUGUAAAGAAUAGUUGGGUUUCUCCAAAAUAUGAUCUUACAUUCAUAUUUGUACUUUAUGCGGUCUCCAUGCAGGGUCAUCUACUCAUUAUGCAGGAAGCUGAAUCUGGUAAUUUGAAGUGUAAAUGGAGGAGAUUUUCGUUACUAAUGCGAUCUUUGUCCAUGUUUUGGAUUCGAAGAUUGUGUGUAUUGUUCUCUGCAAGAUAAAUUUUGUUCUUUUUUUCAGAAUCCUAACUAAUGGAAAAUUAGUAAUGUGAUUUUUCUUCUUUCUAAUGACUUUAGUUAUCAAGAGUUCAGUGCUGUAAUGUAUUCGAUUAUGUAUCCACAUACAUCAGUAAACUAAAGUACCAUGGAAUGUAAUAUUUUGGUUGUAAAAGAAAAAUAAGUACUUUUGUUUGUGUCUUUUUAUUUUUUUGGGUCAGCGACUUGUGUAGAAUUUCAGUACUAUCCUAUGAACUUGUUACUGCAACAUUGUAGUUGCUGAACUUUCUCAUAUGUUGUGAUUUCAUUUUUUUUUCAUAAAAAAAAAAAAAUGAAUCCUGGUAUGUGGGAACAUAUUUGAAUAAUCCUAAUAGUGAUUUAGAUUUUUUGUAAUAUCUAUUGUUUUUACUUGUGGUUGCUGUAUUAGUAAUUUUAUGUGACAUUUUUCGUCAGUGUGCAUCAAUUAAUCAAGUUUGCCUACAUCGUAAUAUUGAUACAUUAAUAAUAUAUAAGAGUAGUAUUAUGGAAGAUUUGUGGCAGUAUUAAACUAUUAAUUGCUUAUUUUUGGCAUUUGAAAUAUAUUUUCUUAGGGCUUUUUUUGCAAUUAGUCUCCUGAAAAAAAUUUAUUUUAAAAAUAGUCCUAACAAAUUUAAAUUUGCAAAAAUGGUUCUGGUCCUGCCACGCAGGCGUCACGUCAGCGCCAUGCGGGCCGGGUUGGGCCAGAUAGUCAAGUUAAACACGGUGAAUGGUUCACCGUGUUUGGGGCAAGGGAAGGGAAAGAAAAAAUAUACAUAUUAUGAAAAAAAUAAGUAUGAAACACGGUGAAAAAAUAUACGUAUUAUGAAAAAGAUAAGUAUGAAACACGGUGAACACGGUGAAUGGUUUACCGCGUUCAACUUAACGCCCCAAUCCGUCCACGUGGCGCUGAUGUGGCGCCUGCGUGACAAGAUCAGGGUCAUUUUUGUAAAUUUAAAUUUGCUGGAUCUAGUUUUAAAAUAAAUUUUUUCAGGGGGCUAAUUGCAAAAAAAGCCCAUUUUCUUAUCAUCCAUUCAAUUAUUGAUAACUCAUAUUUGUAAGGCAAGUUUGUAACAUUAUUGGAACUGGGCCCCUGGAUUCAAUCAUUUGUCAAGGUCAUUUACAUGUCCUUUGUCCUUUUCUAGGGAAAUAAUUUUUUUUUUUUUUCUGUAUAGUAGUUAUAUUAUAUAAAACAUAAUCAAGAGUAAAGUACUUUUUUAUUAAAACAAUGUUAAGGAAAAAUUGUUCAUGUACUUUUGAACAACAUAAAGAUCUUUAAUUGAUUGUUUUUAGGAUAAACUUCAAAUUGCCUACAUAUUAUUUAGCUUAUUUUUAUUUCGUUUGUUUAAAAAGUUUUACUUUAUCCUUCUAUAGUUUAAUUUUUAUUUUACCAAAACAUUAUAUAUCAAAUAAGGUGGCAAAUUGAAUAUUUUUAAAAAUCACAUGAUGAUAAAGUAAAAAUGAGUCAAACCAUUGGAGAGGGCAAAAUAAAAUUUCUUAAACCUCGAGGUGACAAAGUAAAAAUGAGCUAAACUACAUGAGCCAAUAUGAAAUUUAACUCUUUUUAUUAUUUAUAUGUAAAAUAACUGUGAUAGAAAAUACUUUCUCAUUGUUUACCGGCAUAAUAUUGCUUUUUAUAUAUUGUUGAUAUACUAGUAAAUUCAUACAAUUAAAGGUAUUUUCAAUUUUGCUGGCUUUGGAGCUAUAAUUAUUCCUUUUUUUUUGUUUGUUUAAUCAAAAAAGUUCACACUAACACAUAAAAGAGAUGGUUUAAAAAAAUUUAACAAUUAUUUUUUUUAACUUUUUUUUUAAUACUUUUCACUCACUCAGUUGGGACUUGGGCACAUUGAAAAAAUAAAAAAAAUAAAAAAAAAAUUGAGCUACAGACAAUUUAUUUAUGGCAAAUCAAACAAUAAGAAUUAGUAAUUAGUGAAAAAUAUGUCCCUUAAUGAUCAUAUAUAUAUAUAUAUAUAUAUAUAGAGAGAGAGAGAGAGAGAGAUAUAGAGAGAGAGAGAGAGAGAGUUUUGCUAGAAUACUAUCGGUAGUAAACGGCUUGAUUUACUAUCGAUUUGUUUUCGAUAAUAAAGCUUCCAAAUUGAUGAUCGGCAUCGUUAAAAAUGAUCUAAACUAUUUAAACUAUCGAGAAAUCAAAUUUCACACAUUUUCGAUUUUGUUCUCUUGUCCAUCAAGUGAACAGAAAAAUGAAUGGCUGGAAAUGAAUAUCCUUCAAAAAGUGAUGUACAAUUUUUAUAUUUGAGAUCUAGAGUCUAGAUCUUAUUUUAAAUAGUUUAAAGAAUUUUUUAAUAAAAAUUUAGUUGAUUUGAACUCUUCUAUACCGUUAAACGUGCAAACGCACCAUAUCGGCUAUUAAAAUUAUAGAUUUUGUGAUUCUUUGAUCGUUCAGUUAGUGAUGCCAAAAAAUUAUGAAAUUUGAUUUCUAGAUAAUUUAAAUGGUCUAGAUCAUGUUCAACGGUGCCGAUCAUCGAUUUGAAAGCUCUAUCAUCAAAAACAAAUCGAUAGUAAACCGAGUAAACUCCAUAUAUAUAUAUAUAUAUAUAUAUAUAUAUAUAUAUAUUAUCUAAAAUCUCCAUGUCAAUACAUUCCCCCCUGUCAUUUAAAAACCUACACUUUGACCCUUGUAAAAUGAAAAAUGUUCACAAGGNGUGGGAACAUAUUUGAAUAAUCCUAAUAGUGAUUUAAAUUUUUUGUAAUAUCUAUUGCUUUUGCUUGUGGUUGCUGUAUUAGUAAUUUUAUGUGACAUUUUUUGUCAGUGUGCAUCAAUUAAUCAAGUUUGCCUACAUCAUAAUAUUGAUACAUUAAUAAUAUAUAAGAAUAGUAUUAUGGGAGAUUUGUGGCAGUAUUAAACUAUUAAUUGCUUAUUUUUGGCAUUUGAAAUAUAUUUUCUUAGGGCUUUUUUCGCAAUUAGCCUCCUGAAAAAAAUUUAUUUUAAAAAUAGUCCUAACAAAUUUAAAUUUGCAAAAAUAGCUCUGGUCCUGCCACGCAAGCGCCACGUCAGCGCCAUGCGGGCCGGGCUGGACCAGAUAGUUAAGUUAAACAUGGUGAAUGGUUCACCAUGUUUGGGGCAAGGGAAGGGAAAGAAAAAAUAUACGUAUUAUGAAAAAAAUAAAUAUGAAACACGGUGAAAAAAUAUACGUAUUAUGAAAAAGAUAAGUAUGAAACACGGUGAAUGGUUUACCGCGUUCAACUUAACGCCCCAAUCCGUCCAUGUGGCACUGAUGUGACGCCUGCGUGGCAAGGUCAGGGCCAUUUUUUAAAAUUUAAAUUUGCUGAAGUUAUUUUUAAAAUAAAUUUUUUCGGGGGGCUAAUUGCAAAAAAAGCCUAUUUUCUUAUCAUCCAUUCAAUUAUUGAUAACUCACAUUUGUAAGGCAAGUUUGUAACAUUAUUGGAACUGGGCCCCUGGAUUCAAUCAUUUGUCAAGGUCAUUUACAUGUCCUUUGUCCUUUUCUAGGGAAAUAAAUUUUUCUUUUUUUUUUCUGUAUAGUAGUUAUAUUAUAUAAAACAUAAUCAAGAGGAGUAAAGUACUUUUUUAUUAAAACAAUGUUAAGGAAAAAUUGUUCAUGUACUUUUGAACAACAUAAAGAUCUUUAAUUGAUUGUUUUUAGGAUAAACUUCAAAUUGCCUCCAUAUUAUUUAGCUUAUUUUUAUUUCGUCUGUUUAAAAAGUUUUACUUUAUCCUUCUAUAAUUUAAUUUUUAUUUUACCAAAACAGUAUAUAUCAAAUAAGGUGGCAAAUUGAAUAUUUUUAAAAAUCACAUGAUGAUUAAGUAAAAAUGAGUCAAACCAUUGGAGGGGAAAAAAUAAAAUUUUUUAAACCUCGAGGUGACAAAGUGAAAAUGAGCUAAACUACAGGAGUCAAUAUGAAAUUUAACUCUUUUUAUUAUUUAUAUGUAAAAUAACUGUGAUAGAAAAUACUUUCUCAUUGUUUACCAGCAUAAUAUUGCUCUUAUAUAUUGUUGAAAUACUAGUAAAUUCAUACAAUUAAAGGUAUUUUCAAUUUUGCUGGCUUUGGAGCUAUAAUUAUUCCUUUUUUUUUGUUUGUUUAAUCAAAAAAGUUCACACUAACACAUAAAAGAGAUGGUUUAAAAAAAUUUAACAAUUAUUUUUUAAAACUUUUUUUUUAAUACUUUUCGCUCACUCAGUUGGGACUUGGGCACAUUGAAAAAAUAAAAAAAAAUAAAAAAAUUUGAGCUACAGACAAUUUAUUUAUGGCAAAUCAAACAAUAAGAAUUAGUAAUUAGUGAAAAACUAGUGAAGUUACCCGCGCAUUGCGGCAGAAUGAUACUAUAGAAUAUAAAAUAUAAAUAAAAUAAAAAUUUUAAAUUUUUUGAUUUGAUAUGGGACUUCAAUAAACACAAAUAUAAAAUAUAAAAUAGAUAUAGAUAUAGAUAUAACAAAAUUUAUAAUUUCGAUAAAUAAAUUACACAUAAUAAUAAUAAAAUAAGCAAUAAAAUUUUUUUACCCCAUACACAUCUUCAUUGCACUAUUGACAUCGGAGAGGCAAAUUCCGAUCUUUACAUCGUCUUUGCCGCUAGUGUCCAGCUCUUCUUUAGUCACGAUCAUAUCAAUCCCGUAUCCACAUCCACUGCUUCUUCUCUCUCACUGACUCCAAAUCUAUCACCGUUUUCUUCUGCAGCGCUCCAUCGCGAUCCUCGAAACCCUAAUUUCAAUCCACACACAACAAAAAAUUUUAAAAAGUUACAAAACAUGAGCCCUUUUUGUGCGCCAAGAAAAAAAGAAAAAAAAGAUAUGAAGGAAUGGAGAUUAAACCAUGUAAACAUAUUAAUUGAGAGAUAAGGGGGAGAAAAAAAAAUAAUAUGAAAAAAAAGAUAUGAAGAAAUGGAGAUAAAACCAUGUAAACAUAUUAAUUGAGAGAUGGGGGGGUUAGGAAGAUGAAGCAUUUGGUGGAGAUGGUAUUAUAUAAACACAUUAAUUGAGUGGGGAUUUAGGAAGAUGAAACAUUGGGUGAAAAUGAGAGUGGAAAGAGAGAAGAGAAAAGAGUGAAGGAGAAUUCGCCACGUGGCAAAAAAUUAGGAGAAAUAAUGUAUAGGUAUAGAGGUAUAGAUAUGUCCCUUAAUGAUCAUAUAUUAUUAGAUUUUGCUAGAAUACUAUCGGUAGUAAACGGCUUGAUUUACUACCGAUUGUUUUCGAUGAUAGAGCUUCCAAUGAUCGUCACCGUUAAACAUGAUCUAAACUAUUUAAACUAUCGAGAAUCAAAUUUCACACAUUUUCGAUAUUUCUCUUGUUCCAUCAAGUGAACAGAAAAAUGAACGGCUGAAAUGAAUAUCUUCAAAAAGUGAUGAUACAAUUUUUAUAUUUGAGAUCUAGAGUAUAGAUCUUAUUUUAAAUAGUUUAAAGAAUUUUUAACAAAAUUUAGUUGAUUUGAACUCUUCUAUACCGUUAAACGUGCAAACGCACCAUAUCGCCAUUAAAUUAUAGAUUUGUGACCCCUUAAUCGUUCAGUAUAGUGAUGCCAAAAAAUCGUGAAAUUUGAUUCUAGAUAAUUUAAAUGUCUAGAUCAUGUUCACGGUGCCGAUCGUCGAUUUGGAAGCUCUAUCAUAAAAAACAAAUCUGUAGUAAUCCGAGUAAACUCCAUAUAUAUAUUAUAUAUAUAAUAUAUAUAUAUAUAAUGAGCAGGGCUGCGUGCUCUCCAGAGACGAGAGGCCUCCGUGUCCUGAGCCGUUUUCGAUGAUGGAGUUUUCGAAUCGACGAUCGCUCCGUUAAACUUGAUCUAGCGUAUUAAAGUUUCUAGAAAUAAUUUUUGGCGAUUUUUCGAUAUCAUUUACCUACAAUCGAAAGAAUUCAAAUCAAUAAUUUUAACGCUGAAAUAAAAAUCCUAUAAAAAGUGGGUGAUAUAGCACUAAAAUUUUCGAUCAGAAAUAUAGAUCUUGUUGUAGAUAGUAAAGAAUUUUCUAUCAAAUUUCAUCUGAUUUGAAUACUUCUACAUCGUUAAACUGAAAACGCGUAAUAUCAACUCAUUAAAAAUUAUGAAUUUUGAAUCCUUUCGAUCACUAGGUAAUGAUAUCGAAAAAUCGCAAAAAUUAUUUUCUAGAAACUUCAAAUGCGCUAGAUCAAGUCAACGGACCGAUCGUCGAUUCGAAAAUUCCAUCAUCGAAAAUAGCUCAGGACACGAGCCCGUGCUCUGAGAGCAAGCCAGCCCUGCUCUAUAAUAUAUUAUAUAUAUAUAUAUAUAUAAUAUAUAUAUAUAUAUAUAGAGUGAGGCUACUAUGCUAUCGGAACACGACUUCCGUGCUUCCAGCUCGUUUCGAUAUUGCGACUUUCGAAUGUCCGAUCGCUCCGUUAACUUGAUCUAGAGUAUUUGGAACCUAGAAAAUAAAUUUUUAUAAUUUUCAAUAUCAUUUGCCUAGUUGAUCGAAUGGGCCUCAAAUCAACAAAUUCAAUGGCCGUAGUGAGCCGUUUGCAAGUUUAACGUGUAGAAAUAUCAAAUCACUUGAAAUUUUGAUAGAAAUCUUAUACUAUAUAAAACAGAUCAAUUUUUUAUUUAAAAUUUUAAAUGUCAUAUUAUUAUAUUUUGUAAGAUUUUAUUUUCAGCCAUUGAUUUUGAGGCCCUUCGUUACUAGGGAAUGAUAUCGUAAAUCAUAAAAUAUUAGUUUCAGGUACUUCAAAUUACCUAGAUCAAGUUUACGAGCCUGAUCGACAAUCUCGAAAAGUCGCAACAUCGAAAACGAGCGGAACACUGGAAGGCUCCGUGCUUCAAUCAGCCAUAGUAGCCCACUCAUAAUAUAUAUAUAAUAUAUAUAUAUAUAUAUAUAAUUUAUAUAUAUAUAUAUAUAUAUAAUAUUAAUACAUUAAUAAUUAAUUAUAAUAGAGACCCAAGUUCGAAUCCUAAUUGAUUCACAUUUUUAGCUAAGUUUAUUACUAAAUGAAAUAAACGAAACGGGUAGCGUGCUAUCUAUAUCUCAAAAUAAUAAUAAUAAUAAUAAUAAUAAUAAUAAUAAUAAUUACAGGAAUCCACCAUGUUUCCUUAUCCAAAUAUCCAUUUGGACCAUUUCAUAUCACUCUCUCACGCUAUAGAACAAAAUAACUAUCCAUGCAACUCCCCCAUUACACACGGAAUUUUUUUUCAAAACGAUCCUAUAAAAUUUUCUAAUUAAGUAAAUAACACUAUAAAAAAAAUAUAUACAUACUAAAUUUUCUUUUGCCAUGUAGAACUUUUGAAUUUUUCCUAAUUUUUCACCAAAGCAAUGAAUUAUUUACCGUCUUUCGCUUAUUUACUAUUUUUUUCUUUUUUCUAUAUAUAACUCUAAUAGCUUUAUAAAAAUUUUAACAAAUCAUAUAUAAUUUUAACAAUCUCAAAAUCGUAAUAAUCUAUUCAUACAAUCCUAACAAUCAAAUAAAAAUUUUAAUAAUUUACCUAUAAUCCUAACAAUUUCUCUUUUUUUUUUUAUUUUCUGUACAAUUCUAAUCAUGACGAAGACGGUGAAUCGUUAAAUGCAAUGAACGAUUCACCGUCUUUAGAAAGCUGGGAGAUUUUCAGAAUGCGGUAAAUGAUUCACCGCGUUUCGAUACGUGGUGAAUAGAAUUAGUUUGCCAAACACAAAUUUUAUAGGAUUAUUUUACAAAUUAUAAAAUUUUAGAGGAUUAUUUGGUAAAAAAGUCCGCGCACACACGCACUCUCAUAAUCCCCAUCAUAAUGAUGACAUCAUCAUCAUCAUAUCAUCAUCAUCAUAUAUACACGUUGGGGAAGUUAUCGGGUACAUUUGCCGCUCCGCACACCCUCUAACUCCUCGCCUCGUGAUUCGCGCUGUGAUUGAUUGGUCAACGCCUUUGACUCUCAUCUCUCCCCCAUCCCAUCUCUCACACUUCCACUGCGACCGUACGUGAAAACGGUUACAACCCCGCCCACCACCAAUUCGAAGAUGUCGCAAACAUCCCCCCCUUUCCCCUCUCUCUCUCUCUCUCUCUCUCUCUCUCUCGAAUUAGGGUUUUUGCGAUCCCAACUCCUCUCCUCACUCGUAUGCUAGGGCUCUAGAACGGGGGAGGGAGAAGGAGCUCACGAUGAGCGGCAAUGGCGGUGCCCUCACCUUCGCCUACUACGUCACCGGCCACGGAUUCGGCCACGCCACCCGCGUCGUCGAGGUAGUUCGGUUCAGUUGGCGAUCUCCCAUACGUUGUNUAUGUGUAUUAAUACAUUAAUAAUUAAUAAUAAUAGAGACCCAAGUUCGAAUCCUAAUUGAUUCACAUUUCUAGCUAAGUUUAUUACUAAAUGAAAUAAACGAAGCGGGUAUCGUGCUAUCUAUAUCUCAAAAAUAAUAAUAAUAAUAAUAAUAAUUAUAGGAAUCCACAAUGUUUCCUUAUCCAAAUAUCCAUUUCAUAUCACUCUCUCACGCUAUAGAACAAAAUAACUAUCCAUGCAACUCCCCCAUUACACACGGAUUUUUUUUUCAAAACGAUCCUAUAAAAUUUUCUAAUUAAGUAAAUAACACUACAAAAAAAAAUAUACAUACUAAAUUUUCUUUUGCCAUGUAGAACUUUUGAAUUUUUUCUAAUUUUUCACAAAAUCGAUAAAUUAUUUACCGUCUUUCGCUUAUUUACUAUUUUUUUCUUUUUUCCAUAUGUAACUCUAACAGCUUUAUAAAAAUUUUAACAAAUCAUAUAUAAUUUUAACAAUCUCAAAAUCGUAAAAAUCUAUUCAUACAAUUUUAACAAUCAAAUAAAAAUUUUAAUAAUUUACCUAUAAUCCUAACAAUUUCUUCUUUUUUUUUUAUUUUCUGUACAAUUCUAACCAUGACGAAGACGGUGAAUCGUUAAAUGCAGUGAACGAUCCACCGCCUUUAAAAAGCUGAGAGAUUUUCAGAAUGUGGUGGAUAAUUUACGGCGUCUUGAUACAUGGUGAAGAGAUAAUUAGUUUGUCAAACACAAAUUUUAUAGGAUUAUUUUGCAAAUUAUAAAAUUUUAGAGGAUUAUUUUGUGAAAAAGUCCGCACACACACUCUCAUAAUCCCCAUCAUCAUCAUCAUCAUAUAUACACGGGCUUUUUUUGCAUUUAGCCCUCUGAAAAAAAAAUUAUUUUAAAAAUAGCCCCAGCAAAUUUAUAUUUGCAAAAAUAACUCUAGUACUGCCACGCAGGCGCCAUGUCACCGCCACGUGAGCGGAGCUGAGGCCAGUUUAUUAAGUUGAACACGGUGAACUAUUCACCAUGUCUAAACCUAUAUAUUGUGAAAAAAAUAUAAGAAAAAUAAAAAGGAGAAAGAAGGGAAUAUAGGUAUGAAAUACGGUGAACCAUUCACCGUGUUUGAACAAGAUGAUUGAUUCACUGUGUUCAACUUAAAACCAUGGCGCUAAUAUGGCGCCUGCGUGGCGGGGAUAGGGCCAAAUUUGUAAUUAUAAAUUUGAUGGGGUAUUUAUAAAAAAAAUAUUUUGAGGGGGUCAAAUGCAAAAAAAGCCCUAUAUACACGUUGGGAAGUUACCGGGUACAUUUGCCGCUCCGCACACCCUCUAACUCCUCGCCUCGUGAUUCGCGCCGUGAUUGAUUGGUCAACGCCUUUGACUCUUCCUCUCGUCCCCGUCCCAUCUCUCACACUUCCACUGCGACCGCACGUGAAAACGGUUACAACCCCGCCCACCACCAAUUCGAAGAUGUCGCAAACCUGCCCCCAUUUCCUCUCUCUCUCUCUCUCGCCUCGAAUUAGGGUUUUUGCGAUCCCAACUCCUCUCCUCACUCGCAUGCUAGGGCUCUAGAACGGGGGAGGGAGAAGGAGCUCACGAUGAGCGGCAAUGGCGGUGCCCUCACCUUCGCCUACUACGUCACCGGCCACGGAUUCGGCCACGCCACCCGCGUCGUCGAGGUAGUUCGGUUCAGUUGGCGAUCUCCCAUACGUUGUCAUUUUUCGUAGAUCUAAUUCGUUUUCCGGAUCUACACUGCGCCUUUUCUACAUUUGUUCUUCGAAUUGGGGUUUUGUUGAUGGUAAUUUCGGACAACAGGAUAAAAAUUGGCGAAUGGGUGUUGUUAUUGGACUUUUGUUAUGUAUGAUUAAAGGGCAAAAAUUGUGUUUUUUUACUUGCGUGUGUUUGUAUGAAUCUAGAUCUGAUUAAACUGUGCUAUAUGUUGAUUAUUUAUUUUUAUUUGUGGCAUAGCGUGACGAUUUUCUACUUUGGGAGAAACUAGGAAAUUGGUAAAAUUGCUCUUCGAUGGUUAUUAGAUGCAAUUAAAGUGUGCAAAAUUGUAUAUUUUACGUGUGGCCAUGCAUGCAUCGAGACCUGAAUACGCUGUGUUGUCUUGUUACUUUAAUAUAAUUUGAAGAUUUGCUGAUGGGGAUCAUUAUUUUCCUCUGUUUUCAGGUAGUGCGGCAUCUGAUUGCCGCCGGUCAUGUAGUUCAUGUUGUAACGGGUUCUCCGGAUUACGUGUAUACGACUGAGAUUAAUUCACCCAAUCUCCAUCUUAGGAAGGUUGAUUGGUUCAGUUUAGAAGUGAUAGUAUUAAAAUUAGUAGAUUUUGUGCUUCAUAUGUUGCUUUAGUCUGAGAUGUUACUAAUGCUACUGUAUGGUUGCUUUGGUGAAAAUUGGAUGAAUAGGUUUUGUUGGACUGUGGAGCUGUGCAAGCUGAUGCUUUGACUGUUGAUUGCCUUGCCUCUUUAGAGAAGGUAUCUUCUUCAUCCCCAUUUUUUUUUUGUCAUUUUUCUUAUGUUUCCUCUCUCCACUCAUAUUUGCAGGAGAUUUUAUCUUGUGUUUUAUUCACUCUCCUAAGCUUUAAAUGUUAGGUUAAUACACUCACUCAAGUAGAGCUGGUCAGCUAUAGCGCUGUUAGAGCAAGCCUGGACAAUUUUUUCAGUAUAUCCCUUUCACAACUGUAGCUUCCAGUUGUAGCUUGGAAGCUUAAGCUUUAAAUCUAAGCUUUUGCUUUUGGGGACCAACAAUUCAUUUGGCUUCCUGCCACAGCCGGAAGCUCUAGACUCCUAUUUUGCCUCAUGCGCAGCUUUUGCUUCUCGAGGAGAGAAACUCUUUUAGAAUUGGGCCAAUAAUGUACUUACUGUGUUGUAUUAAAGAAGUUAUUUGAUUUGUGGUAUGAUAUAUUGUUGAUAUUCUGAUUUGUUCUUGUAUAAUCUUAAAAUUUUUCUUCCUGUGCAGUAUGCUCAAACUGCAAUGGUGCCUCGGGCUACUAUUAUGGCAACUGAAGUAGAGUGGCUGAAAUACAUUAAAGCUGACCUUGUGGUACUUUCUUACAAUCUCAUCAGUUUCACAACUAAACCUCACGUUAUGCUAAUUUAUGUUGCCCAUGUAUUAUUACAUAGAAGAAUGUACCAUUAAUUUUCAGCAAAGAUACAUGAUCAAGUGGUAGAUCAAGUGGCAUUGUUCUUUUCCCUUUGAUGCAUGACUUGUUUCCGACAACAUAUUUUGUGCUUUUUGGGGAGGAAACUUUGUUGCUAAAUUUGUUGUUGCAAAUGAUUGUGGCGGCAAUAGGUCUCUGAUGUUGUUCCGGUAGCAUGUCGAGCGGCAGCAGAUGCUGGAAUCCGAUCUGUUUGCGUCACAAACUUUAGGUACUUGAUUUUUUUUUUCCUAUUUAAGUUUCAUUUGCAUGUGCUUUUACCAAAAUGAUACAUCAUUUAGUCAUCAAACUUUCCUCUUAGUAUUGUAACUUUGUCUAGGUGGAAUAAUCAAUUGAUUAGCUUUCCGGUGGCCUGACCUUUCAAAAAAUAGGGGUUCUUUCCUUUUUAAAUAAUCAUAAAUUGCGUAAUGAGUUGAAAGAUGUGAGAACAGAGGAAGAAGAGGGAAAUAUAUGAGGUUGAAGAUGAUAUAACUUUCCAUAGUGAAAAUAUACUACAGUUUUGUACGAAAGUAGACAUUUCUAUGUCAUAUAUAUCUAGAGUGAUGGCUUGGUAUGCCAAGGCAGUAGGAAAUAAUGGAAUCAUUUAUAUGGUGAUGCAUCUAUUGUUGAAACCAAGGAUAUAAGUGCCACGGCACAGGGGUGUGCCAAGCAGUUGUCGGCACAGUAUGGCACAGUGCAUGCCAUGCCACGUUGUGCCGAUAUGUGCCAUUUACAAAGUAACUGUGUGCUGACACAGGCAUAAAAUGCUUAUUUUCGGCAUCGGUAUAUUAUAUAUCUUUAUCAAAUCUUUUACACUUUAUUGAUGUAACUACUUUCUAAGUUCAAACAAAAGAUGAUUUUAAACCCUGCCAUCGGUACGGGGAUUGUAUCAUGCUCAAAUUUUGUUGGCACGGUGGGCACGGCCCAUGCUGAUUGGCACUUAAAUCAUUGGUUGAAAUUAUCAAGCAGCCAUCAUUAAUAGUUUGAAGUAUUCAAUGAUUUGAUAACUGCCUCCAAUUUCCUUGAAGAUGAUCUUUUUGAUCUUUCUCGAAAUUGACUCAUAUUAACAUCAGAUAAUAUUAUCUGCGAGUUCAUUAUUGUCAAUUAUUGUUGCCAGAAUCCUAGUAUGCGCAAUAAUUUUCACCUUUAUGUCUGUAAUUGUUUAUGAUAGAUGAUUUACUUUUCAUUACUUUCUUAAUUUUGCAGUUGGGAUUUCAUAUAUGCAGAGUAUGUCAUGGCUGCCGGUCACCUGCAUCGUUCUACAGUGUGGCAGGUAACUUUUUCCUUAACUAGCCUGUACAGUAUGCCAUGAUUUACUUUUUUUCUUUUCUUUAGAGAAGCUCUACCAUACCUCGUGAUUUCUAUCUUUGGAAAUAUAAACUUCCGCAACGUCUUUCCAUUUCAUCUUUUGAUGCAGAUUGCUGAAGACUAUUCUCAUUGUGAGCUAGUUCUCCGGCUUCCAGGCUAUUGCCCAAGUAUGUUGGCAGACAUUCCAAUCAUGUGGUUUUUUGAAGUACCUUCCAUCUCUCCUUUUGUAUACAAAUGAAUUUAUUUAAUAAACAUUUGUUUUGAGAUUUGAAGUGCCUGCCUUCCGAGAUGUAAUUGAUGUUCCUUUGGUUGUGAGGAGAUUGCACAAAUCUCGACAAGAGGUAAUUUUUCCCCUCAUAAAUUGGGUUAUGUUUUAAUGAAUGAUAACUGUUUGCUGUAUGGUGUAUCAUUCUUCGUGCUGAUUCAGGUGCGUGAAGAACUAGGAAUUGGAGAUGAUGUAAAGGUUCUUAUUUUCAAUUUUGGCGGACAGGUAGAAUAUUCAUAGUUAGUUUUUCUUAAUAAGAAAUUAUAACAAAAUUUUCAUUUAACUUUUCUCUCUUUCAAUAGUUUACUAUAAGGAAUAGAUCAAGUACUCAACUAUGCAUAUUCUAGUUGAUCGAUUGCUAGCUACAUGAAAAAAUAAAAAAAGAGAGAAUCUUUUUCUCUUGAAAGGGGAUGUUAUUGUUGCAUGCUGGACGUAUGUACCUAUAUAUACACAUGUUCUUGGAUAGUACUUUUUCUGUUGUUUGAAACAUCCUAGUUCUCUAUGGAAGAAAUAUAGGAGAAUUCUCUUUUUUUAUAUUGAAAUUCCAUUUGGUCUUUGCAAUUAGCCCCUACUCCGGGCCCCUAAUCUGUUCUACAUUAAAGCACCUCAUCGUUGUGUUAUCUCUGAGUUAAUAUCUACUAAUGGGUGAAUUACUGAUGAUUUUCUUUUACAUUUGUUAUCUCAUGUUAUUCGAUAUCCUACACCUACAGCCAGCUGGAUGGAAGCUGAAGCAAGAAUGGUUGCCUACUGGUUGGCUAUGUCUGGUAUGUUUUUUUAGCUGUUUAAGGAAGUCAUUAUUCAAACAAACAGAGAACUGUCGAACUUUACUUCUAAGCAAUCAAAAGGAGAUUUUACAUAUAUAUAUGCUGGCAAUAUAUAUAUAUAUAUAUAUAUAUAUAUAUAUAUAUAUAUAUAUAUAUAUCCCCUUGAAAGUGCAGCUUAUUGAGAAGAUGCUCUUACUUAAGUUGGGGAGUCAUCCAACAUGUGGGGAAGUUGAUUUUGUAUUAAGAAAAUCUUUUCAAUGAGAGUCAUUUUGUAGUUACAGUGGUAGAUAAAUUUAGUUUCUGCAGGAACAUAUAGCCAUAGAUAAUUCUGUAGAGAUAUAAGUGAUUAACUCUAAUUAUAUUUAUCCUUUUUCACUUGAAGGUCUGUGGAGCACCCGAUGACCAAGAGCUUCCUCCUAACUUUAUAAAGCUUCCAAGAGAUGUAUACACGCCUGAUGUAAUUGCUUCAUCUGAUUGCAUGCUUGGUAAUAUAAUUGAAAUCUUUCAAAUUGCAGCUUCUUCUUGGAAAAAAUUAAGCUUAACAUGGUUCACCUGUCUGUUACUUCAGGUAAAAUUGGGUAUGGCACAGUCAGUGAAGCUUUAGCAUAUAAGUUGCCUUUUGUUUUUGUACGGAGAGACUACUUCAAUGAAGAGCCUUUCUUGAGAAAUAUGCUUGAGGUAAACCUUUUCUAUUCUUUCUCAAGGGUAACUUGCACUAGGAGACCUCGAUACCGUUGUUUCAGUUUGGUCCCAAAAUUUAUUAGAAAUAGCCCUCUAAUUUAUUGUGCUUGACCCUUUUGGUCCAAAUUUCUAAGUCAAACUGGACAGAAAUAACCAUGCAAUCUUUAGUUUUCAGAUAUCUCAUAUGAUGGUUUUGCAGCCAUUUUUGUCCAAUUUAACCAAGAAACAUAAUGAAAAUUGUAAGAUUGCAACCAAAUUCCAAGGUUAGGGAUACAAAUUUAAGGUUUGGGACCAAACUAAAGCUGUCUAAACUCGUAGGGUACUGUUGUCUAAUUUAUCUAUUCUUUUAGGUAUUCAGUUUAUUUUGGAAAAAUAUUGCUCCAUCCUGAAUUUGAUAAAAAUUUAUGUCUUUAUACAUCAUCUUAUGCAGUACCACCAGGGUGGUGUUGAGAUGAUCAGGAGGGAUUUACUUAGCGGACAGUGGAUGCCUUAUAUCGCACGUGCACUUACUCUUAAACCAUGCUAUGAUGGUGGCAUUAACGGUGGCGAAGUACUCUAUUUUUCUGAUUGUCUACCUCCUGCAGAAAUGUGAAAUCUCUAAAUUAUCUAGUUGCUUUGAGCUUUAUUAUUACGAAUUUUCUAAGUACAAUCUCUUAGCAUGCCCCAAAAAUAGUUCUUCAAGAUUCUUUUGGCACUUAAAACUUGCUACUUGUUUAGUAUUAUCUCAAUAAUUUGAGAACUUGUUAUGACCUUGCAAACUAUUGUCUGUUUCAAAUUAUACAUGUGUGGUCAAAUCUUUGAAGGGUUUGUGCAUGUUAUUUAUAAAUUGGAGUGGCGUUAUGUACUUUCAGACUCAACUGUUCAUGUAGCAGCAACACCUUUAUUAUUGCCCUUUUGCAGGUUGCUUCCAACAUUCUACAGGAUAUUGCUAAUGGAAAAUGUCAUGCAUCAACAAAGGUAGGUAUCGUUUAUAUAUUAUAAGCCUUGAGCUCAAGAUUUUAAUGCUGAUUAUUUUAAGAAUUAGAUCAUUUCUGGAUACUAUUUGUGUAGUAUCGUAAUUCAGUGACAAUUGGUUUGUUGCAUUAAGUAUCGGUCAGAUCACAUGCUUGUUGAGUCAAAGAACCCUAAGAGCUCAAUAAUACUUUUCUUGUUUAUUAUCAGAUCAGAUUAAGGAAAGGAAAGACGGGUUUAUGCAUUAGGAAUUAGGAUUCGGGCUAUUGGAAGGAUAGCCACUUCUAAAAUUAGCCACGAACUGCAAUAAUUAAGUCAAACAACUCAAAACAUUGGUUGUGGGACAACAUUUUAUGGUUUCAGUUUUCUUUUAAAAAAAUUUGUUCAUUUUUGGGUCACGUAGAUGAAAACUAAAUGAUUUCUGCUUAAUGGUGGUUUUUUUUAGGGGGGGAGGGGGUGGUGGGGGGACUGGUUAAAACCAAACUGUAACUCCUAUUUAAUCCUUUGAUAUUAGUGAAUAAUUAUGUAACCCGAUACCAGCUAGCUUAUAACUGAGUUGGUUCCAAAUAACCCUUGUCCCAAUUAUUCUAAAAACCCUUGGUUAAUGCAUUUUUUUUCUUUCACAUGUUUUUUUUUUUUAAAAAAAAUUGCAGAGUGGGGUAAGGCGGUUGCAUGAUGCGAUCAUUCUUGGGUAUCAAUUGCAACGAGCCCCAGGAAGGGAAAUCAACAUACCAGAAUGGUAUUCUAUGGCUGAAAAUGAAGUGGGCCUUCACCUUGCACCGCCAAAUGUGGAAACAAAUGGGAGUGCAUACUCGGAAGAGUUGUGAGUUACUCAUUAUUCUGCCCAACAAUUCCAUGAUUUUAUGAAAUAUAUCUACAUGUCAAAAAAGCUUUUACAUACAUAUAUUGCUGCAAAAUCAUCCAUUUACAUCUAUGCAUAUGCGAAAUCUGAAUUUUCACAUACUCCUCAAAAGUGUCGGUUUUUUCAGAAAAAUUGAGGUGCAAAUCACGCGGGAAAGUUGUUUGUAUUAAAUAUGGGUUAUCAAGAAGGGCAUGUUUUGUAGGUACAAGCACAUAAAUGUAAGAACUUAAGCUUUCAAAGAACAUUUAUGAAAAUUCAGAUCUUCAGGAGUAUAUAGGUAAUUAGAUAAUUCUAUAGGGGUAUAUACUGCAAAUAUCUUUGACAGAAUAAAUGACAUCAAGUGUAUCUUAUGCUAGAUGUAUUGAGAACUUUGAGAUUCUUCAUGGAGAACUGCAUGGCUUGUCGGAUACAGUAGCAUUUCUGAACAGCCUGUCGAAUCUCGCUAGUGAAGCUGAUCCAGGAAAAUAUACUGAGAAGCACAUGUUAAGGGACCAGGUCGCUGCAGCUGCGUUUUUCAACUGGGAGGUUUUCAUCUAACUCAAAUGCUAAGAUUGCAGAAAACCCCCACAAACAUCAGUGUUUACAUGGUUCCCCAUGAAAUCUUAAAGCCUACAUUUUACGCCAUUGACCUACAAGCAGUAAAUAGGCAUGGCUUAAGGGAAACUGAUGGCGGCAAAGUAAUGGAAUCUUUUAGUUUAAGGAGAUAAUUUAUUGGCUUUAAUAUUAUAUGGAAGCUAAGUGUUGUGUCAUUGCUGAACCUACUUCUUUCAUUAGUCUUCGUGGUAUCCACAUUUUCUUUUUUCACAAAUGCCUACUGAAUUGUAAAUUCACUGGGGCAAUUGUUUUCUUUUCCUUUUAUUUUCAAACAAUAUCAAAAUCAUUGUAAUUUACUUGCUUCAUAUUUCUACAAUGGCGCAUUUUCAUUUAAGUUUUUUGGUAACUUUGGGACAUUGAAAUAUGUAAUAAUGCCAACUACUUUCUUAUGAAAUUUGUUAUCGGAAAUAAAAUUAUCCAUUGUUGGAAGUUGGUGUAAUGCAGUUUCUAACGUGAAAAGCCAUUAAGGGAGGUAAAUUAGCUACCAGAUUUAAAUGCACCAUUUCUGAUGUCAUCAAUUUUGAUGCAGGAGGAAUUUUAUGUGACAAGAGCACCUGGAAGGUUGGACGUAAUGGGAGGGAUUGCGGACUAUUCUGGAAGCCUAGUUUUGCAGGUUAGUACUUAUUUUCCUCUUUUCUUUCCUCACCCAGAUUUUUUUAAGGGGUAAAUGUAUCAAUAGUCCCUCUAUCCCAAUAUUGCAACUUAGUCCCUGAGCUUGAACAUUCUAGUCCCAAAAUCUUUUCAAAUAUUGCAAUUCCAUCUUUGUCCGCUAUAAGAUUUCUGACAACAGGUAAAUCUUUUGGAUAAAAUAUUCUUCUUGACCCUGUAUUAAGUACACUGGGAAAAGGGAAUCGUAGUAUAAGAGGGUGAAAAUAAGUAUUUUCCAAGAAAAACUUGAAGUUUUCUGGUGGUCAAGCUGUCAAGAAUGGAAUUUGCCAUACAUGUGAAAGUUCUAGAACUCUAGAAUGCAGUAUUCAGGGGCAAUGAGUUGCAACAUUAGAAUUAGUGAAGGAUUAUCCCAUACAUUUCCUUUUAUCAUUUUGUAGUCAUGUAUGUAGUUGUUAGGAGACUGUAAGAUACUACCUAUCUCGCAAUUUGUCUACCAUAAUUUUUUUUGUAAUUUCUUAUUUUCUUUUUUAACAGAUGCCUAUUGGAGAGGCGUGUCAUGUUGCUGUACAAAGAAAUCAUCCCACUAAGCAAAAACUAUGGAAGCACGUCCUCGCACGACAAACAAAAAAAGGGGAAGGAUAUUCUCCUGUUCUGCAAAUUGUAUGUUGUUACUUUAUAUUUCUUAUUUACAGUGCUUAUCUGUUUGUUAUUACAAACUUACAAAGUAUAUUGUGGAGGAUAUUUCCCCCAUCCCUCUUACAUAAUUCCAAGAUAACCAGCCAUCAGUAAUACGAAAUAUCACCCUCCCGCUCAGUAACAUUUUCGGUGUAAUCCUGCACCAUUUGUAAUACUAUAUUACUGACUAGAUUACAUACUGGAUGAACCAAACGCAGU
rnacentral:lncRNA from 1 species